rnacentral:lncRNA from 1 species
CGCACGCCUAUAAAUACCUAUCUACUCCAGCUAGGAGUUCGAUCUAACACAACCAUCAUAUCCAUAUCCAGCCCAACAAAUGGCGCCUCUCAAGGUGACUGCUGCCGUCUGUGUCGUGCUGGUCCUGAUGAUCCAGCUACAGGUGCCAACGGUCGCGCAGGACAUACCAUGCGACGAGUACGAGCCGGGAUGCGGCCAGGCUUGCAAUGCGCAGCGCCCCUACUUCUGCAACAGCUUUUGCAACAUCUUUCCCACCCUGUGCAACUACUGCUUCCUCAUCCAAUCCGACUUGUGCGUGCCCGGGUGCACAAACCUGGAAUAUCACAUAUCUACCAAAGCAAAGUUCAGGUUGGACCUACUUGUGUAUAGUUUAUCUGCAAAGGUCAAAUGUUCUCUUGUUUGGAAGAAAUAAAAAGAAGAAUUUUUCAUAUAAGGAUAACACGAAUCUUGACACAAACCGAAUGGUUUAGAUAGAGGGUACGCUAGUAUGAGGGUACUAAAAAUCCACACUCGAAGUAUUCCUAUAUGCAUAUCAUAUAAUUAUCGUUUCGACCAAGUGUUUGGUUGUAUAUGUAAAUCGCGUAACUCCCACGAUAACCCACGUAGCCCAUUUAAAGAUAAAGAAGAGAAUUAUUCUACGAUCUUUACUUGUGUUGUAGGUAAGUUACCUUUUUAGUAUAUAUGAUUCCUAUUAAAUCUAUUAGGCUAUGUAAUUGUUAGAGUACCUCUAUGGAUUCACUCCUCUCAAACAUCAAUUUGGGCUACAAGAAUUUAUACAGGGGAAUUGCUCAUAGAAGUCCAAGAAACCAANNNNNNNNNNNNNNNNNNNNNNNNNNNNNNNNNNNNNNNNNNNNNNNNNNNNNNNNNNNNNNNNNNNNNNNNNNNNNNNNNNNNNNNNNNNNNNNNNAGCCAGGGGCGCCGCCAGUGACGUGAUCCUACGCGGAUUCCUUCUUCGUUGCUUCCUCCCCGAUAUACGAAUGUUCCAAGGCCCCGCCGGCCCUUGGUAAAAGUGGCAUGUAUGAAUGUUCCAAGGCCUCGUCGGCCCGUGAUAUGAAACGUCCGGACUUGUCAGCACCGGGUUCAUAAUAAAGUCUCAAAAAUGUGUUUGGCCUCGUCGGUCGCGAACAAAACGGGUCCAGCCUCGUCGGUCAAGACAUGAGAUAUCUCCGGCCUUGUUAGUCGUGGAACAGUGAAAUGACCCCCUCGCCUUGUCGGCCAAGGAGAAGUAUGUCUAGCCUCGCCGGCCUAGACUUGCGAGGGUUCCAACCUUAUUGGUCACGGAAGAGAUGGAUCGUGUGAUGAGACUUUGCAGCGGGCGCCCAGCCGUGAGGGCCAUGAACGAAGUAUCAAGAUUUACAUGCCAGGCGUGUCAUCAUAUUAAGUAGCCACGUUGUUCAAGAAUCAUGAAAACAUGUUCAGAUCUGAAUAUUUGAUGUCCACCAGUUGCUAAAUGAAUUAGCCUGCCAUACUGACUCUGCUAUGUGCGCAAACAAUUAGAGUGACUUCUAUUACCCCAAAUGGGCUGCAGUUUGUACAGCACACAUACUGAUUAAUCUUUUAUGAGCCUUUAAAAUUUUAGGCCGAAACUAUGAGCGGUUUAGCCGUGAGAAAUUAAAAAGUGUUGUUUAGUCUAUAAUCUCCGCCUCGUACUAUUUCGCUGACUUGUUAAUUUCUGCCAUUUACAUCAAACUUUGCACAAGGUAUACCAUGCAUGUCAACUGCAUGCUGUUAUCAAUUUUCCAAGGUCAAACUUGCUUAUACUCAGACUGCACCAUCUAGUGGUGUAGAGCACUUGCAUUCACACAGAUGUUUCUUCCAUAAUAGUACUUGCUUGUGACUUGUACCAUUGGAUGCAUGGGCGCAUGGCCAUAUUAACGUGUGGCCACUGCUGAUGAAAGGCUCAUCCAUGAUGGACCGUAUGCGCAUGAGCACCCUGGCGGCCGUACAUGUACGGCAGCCUGCUUGUGGCGUUGCGUCCGUGCUCAUGUUUGUUUUGGCCUAGCAGCAUGUCUAUGUAUAUGUGUGUCCUCUAGUCGGGCCAUUGUAUACUCCAUCCGUCCUUUAAAAAGUGUAUUUUCAACUUUAUUAGAAAGUCAACCUAUCUCAAACUUAGACACGUUCGGGUAGGAGUUUGUGCGUUGUUAUGGUCAAUUUGGAACUGCAGAAAUGAUUUGGCUUUUAACAGAACAACAACUAUUCAUUUUUGUAGGUUUUAUUCCGAGCUACUGCGCUGAUCCGUAUGUGGUCCUUACUCACUCCGACGGAGGCCAGGGAGCGUUUGGUUACUGGAUCUGUCCGGUGGAAGAUGGUAGCGCGGGAUAUCUUUAACCGGUUUGGAUGGCGGUCAUGUAAUAGGACAGGCAAUUAGUUUACCUAUCUUUGUUAUGCCAGCCGGUUGUGGCUUUUGGAACUUUUGUUUUUAGCAUUGUGGCUCUUGGUGAGCUAGCCAUUUAUUUGUUUCCAGACUUUCAGACCUUAUUGAACAUCCUUUUUUAUAUAUAAUUGUGGCUGUAUGCAUCGUUCUGAUGCAGAGGCCGGGGAGUCCCCCCUUUUCGAAAAAAAAAAAUCUCAAACUUUGACCGAAUUUGUGCAAAAAUAUAUCAGUAUUUGUGAAACCAAAUAGGUAUAUAAUGAAAAUAUAUUUUAUCAUGAAUCUAAUGAUACUAACUUGAUGACAUAAAUGUUGAUGUAUUGUUGUAUAAAUACAGUCAAACAUGAAAAUGUUUGACUUUCUAAAAAAGUUGGAAGUACACUCUUCAAAGGACGGAGGGAGUAUACUGGCCUGUACUAAUUUUGGUCACACAACACCUACACCUGUAUUUAGCUCACUGUAAAUUGAUCAAUUCUAGCUCGUAGACGUGCCUGUGUACAAUAACCAUGAAUCAUGAAUACACCUGUACCUGUGUAUAAUAAUCAUGAAUGUUGAAUCUCGCCUUAAUUUCCUAAGGUUGCAUGGAGACGUGCAGCUAAUCGGAAAUCGACGCCUCGUUGUCGACGGAAACGCCUCCUCCACUGAAGCAUCACCGGAAAUCUUAAAAAAUAAGUCCAAAAAUAAUGUGAGUAUCAGAAUUUAGCUUGGUGGGUUUGGGAUACCACUGUCCCUCUAACCAUCCAACCACAAGUUGGUGCGCCGAAGCCUUGCUAAAGGCAUGUAGGCAUGGAGAAGAUUUUCCUCUGAUUCUAAGAAAAUAGUUAGAAAAAACAUUAUGAAAAUACUUCCCAUACUCAUAGAUACACUAGUAGAAAAAGAGGUUUCCGUCCAGCCCCAUUAGUCGCGAAACUGUAGGAACCGCGACUAAUGAAGUCUUUAGUCGCGGUUCGGCAGACGAACCGCGACCAAAGGCUUGGGCCAGGGCGCUCGGUGGCCAGCUGGUGCACGUGAGGGGCUUUAGCCGCGGUUGGGCAGGCCAACCGCGACUAAAGGUGCCCAAAGGCCUUUAGUCGCGGUUGGCCUGGCCAACCGCGACUAAAGCUCCUCCCCUAUAUAUACCAGUUCAGCGCACUCACUUAGCCAUUUGGUGCCACUUCUCUUCACAAGGGGGUGUAGGUUUGCUUUUGGUUCCUUUUAUGCACACAAGGUGUUUGAUGAAAUGCCCAACAGCGUGAAACAAACAUGAUAUGAAGUGUUGGAGCCACACUUGAGGUUCCUCCUCGAUCACGGUUAGCAACUUGAACCUUUCAUGCAUGUGUGUCAUUGAUAAAAUAUGCAUGUGUGUUGUUCAUUGUUUAAUUUCUAUUGUUUAUAGCUAGUUACUUUAACAAAUGCAUGAUGGUUAAUUAUAUAUUUUAUAUUAUAAUAAUGCAGAUGAAUCGGCAAUGGAUGUACGGUAACCGACUCUCCGCGAGUUCACUACGGGUUUGAAAGAUUUCCUCGUAGUGGCUAAUGCGAACAAGCAGAAGGGUUUUGUUAUCUGUCCAUGUGUUGACUGUAAGAAUCAGAAGGGUUACUCUUCCUCAAGAGAAGUUCACCUGCACCUGCUUCGGCACGGUUUCAUGCCAAGCUAUAAUUGUUGGACCAAGCAUGGAGAAAGAGGGGUUAUAAUGGAAGAAGAUGAAGAAGGGGAUGAUUUCAUCUAUGAAAGCUAUCUUGCUCAUUUCGGUGAUACUUUCAUGGAGGAUGCUGAAGGUGAAGGGGAAGGUGAAGGGGCAAGUGAAGGGGAAGGUGAAGGGGAAGGUGAAGGUGAAGGUGAAGAAGAGGCACGUGAUGAGACCGUUGAUGAUCUUGGUCGGACCAUUGCUGAUGCACGGAGACGCUGCGAAACUGAAAAGGAGAGGGAGAAUUUGGAUCGCAUGUUAGAGGAUCACAGAAAGUCGUUGUACCCUGGAUGCGAUGAUGGUCUGAAAAAGCUGGGCUGCACACUGGAUUUGCUGAAAUGGAAGGCACAGGCAGGUGUAGCUGACUCGGCAUUUGAAAACUUGCUGAAAAUGUUGAAGAAUAUGUUUCCAAAGAAUAACGAGUUGCCCGCCAGUAUGUACGAAGCAAAGAAGGUUGUCUGCCCUCUAGGUUUAGAGGUUCUGAAGAUACAUGCAUGCAUCAACGACUGCAUCCUCUACCGCGGUGAAUACGAGAAUUUGAAUGAAUGCCCGGUAUGCACUGCAUUGCGUUAUAAGAUCAGAGGCGAUGACCCUGGUGACGAUGUUGAGGGCGGGAAACCCAGGAAGAGGGUUCCCGCCAAGGUGAUGUGGUAUGCUCCUAUAAUACCACAGUUGAAACGUCUGUUCAGGAACAAAGAGCAUGCCAAGUUGUUGCGAUGGCACAAAGAGGACCGUAAGUCGGACGGGGAGUUGAGACACACCGCAGAUGGAACGCAAUGGAGAAAGAUCGACAGAGAGUUCAAAGAUUUUGCAGCUGACGCAAGGAACAUAAGAUUUGGUCUAAGUACAGAUGGCAUGAAUCCUUUUGGCGAGCAGAGCUCCAGCCAUAGCACCUGGCCCGUGACUCUAUGCAUCUACAACCUUCCUCCUUGGUUGUGCAUGAAGCGGAAGUUCAUUAUGAUGCCAGUGCUCAUCCAAGGUCCGAAGCAACCCGGCAACGACAUCGAUGUGUACCUAAGGCCAUUAGUUGAUGAACUUUUACAGCUGUGGGGCAGACCUGGUGUCCGUGUGUGGGAUGAGCACAAAAAAGAGGAAUUUAACCUACGAGCGUUGCUUUUCGUAACCAUCAACGAUUGGCCUGCUCUUAGUAACCUUUCGAGACUGUCAAAUAAGGGAUACAAUGCAUGCACGCACUGCUUACAUGAGACUGAAAGUGUACAUUUGCCAAAUUGUAAGAAGAACGUGUACCUUGGGCAUCGUCGAUUUCUUCCGAAAAUUCAUCCAGUAAGAAAGAAAGGCAAGCAUUACAACGGCAAGGCAGAUCACCGGCCGAAGCCUGCGGAACGCACUGGUGCUGAGGUAUUUGAUAUGGUCAAGGAUUUGAAAGUCAUCUUUGGAAAGGGUCCUGGCGGACAAUCAGUUCCGAAGGGAGCUGACGGGCACGCAGCCAUGUGGAAGAAGAAAUCUAUAUUCUGGGAGCUAGAAUAUUGGAAAGUCCUAGAAGUCCGCUCUGCAAUCGACGUGAUGCACGUUACGAAGAAUAUUUGCGUGAACCUCCUAAGCUUCUUGGGCGUGUACGGGAAGACAAAUGAUACAAAGGAAGCAUGGCAGGACCAGCAACGUUUGAAAGACCCUGAUGACCGGCAUCCGGAAUGGUUUCAAGGUCGUGCCAGCUACGCUCUGACCAAAGAAGAGAAGGUCAUCUUUUUUGAAUGCCUGAGCAGUAUGAAGGUCCCGUCUGGAUUCUCGUCCAAUAUAAAGGGAAUAAUAAACAUGGCGGAGAAAAAGUUCCAAAACCUGAAGUCUCACGACUGCCACGUGAUUAUGACGCAAUUGCUUCCGAUUGCUUUGAGGGGGCUCCUGCCGGAAAAUGUUCGAGUAGCCAUUGUGAAGCUAUGUGCAUUCCUCAAUGCAAUCUCUCAGAAGGUAAUCAAUCCAGAAGAUCUACCACGGUUACAGAACGAUGUGAUCCAAUGUCUUGUCAGUUUCGAGUUGGUGUUCCCGCCAUCCUUCUUCAAUAUUAUGACGCACCUCUUGGUUCACCUAGUCGAAGAGAUUUUCAUUCCCAUUCCUGUAUUUCUACACAAUAUGUUCCCCUUCGAGAGGUUCAUGGGAGUAUUAAAGAAAUAUGUUCGUAACCGUGCUAGGCCAGAAGGAAGCAUCGCCAAGGGCUAUGGAAAUGAGGAGGUAAUUGAGUUUUGUGUUGACUUUAUUCCUGACCUUAAGCCGAUUGGUCUUCCUCGAUCGCGGCACGAGGGGAGACUAAGUGGAAAAGGCACGAUCGGAAGGAAAUCAACGACAUGUAUGGACGGCCAUUCUCUGACUGAAGCACACCACACUGUACUGACCAUUUCCAGCUUGGUGGCUCCGUACUUUGAGAAACACAAGAAUAUUUUACGCUCGGACAACCCGGGGAAGCCUGAAUCCUGGAUUAGGAAGGCCCACAUGGAGACUUUCGGCAGUUGGUUGAGAAAACAUUUAAUGAAUGACAAUGAUGUUGUAGAUCAGCUGUACAUGUUGGCCAAGACACCAUCUUCGACUAUAACGACUUUCCAAGGGUACGAGAUAAAUGGGAAUACAUUUUACACGAUCGCCCAAGAUAAAAAGAGCACCAACCAAAACAGUGGUGUCCGCUUUGAUGCAGCAACCGAGAAUGGGCAAAAGGUCACAUAUUAUGGUUACAUAGAGGAGAUAUGGGAACUUGACUAUGGACCCUCCUUUAAGGUCCCUUUGUUCCGGUGCAAAUGGUUCAAGCUAACAGGAGGUGGGGUAAAGGUGGACCAGCAAUACGGAAUGNNNNNNNNNNNNNNNNNNNNNNNNNNNNNNNNNNNNNNNNNNNNNNNNNNNNNNNNNNNNNNNNNNNNNNNNNNNNNNNNNNNNNNNNNNNNNNNNNNNNNNNNNNNNNNNNNNNNNNNNNNNNNNNNNNNNNNNNNNNNNNNNNNNNNNNNNNNNNNNNNNNNNNNNNNNNNNNNNNNNNNNNNNNNNNNNNNNNNNNNNNNNNNNNNNNNNNNNNNNNNNNNNNNNNNNNNNNNNNNNNNNNNNNNNNNNNNNNNNNNNNNNNNNNNNNNNNNNNNNNNNNNNNNNNNNNNNNNNNNNNNNNNNNNNNNNNNNNNNNNNNNNNNNNNNNNNNNNNNNNNNNNNNNNNNNNNNNNNNNNNNNNNNNNNNNNNNNNNNNNNNNNNNNNNNNNNNNNNNNNNNNNNNNNNNNNNNNNNNNNNNNNNNNNNNNNNNNNNNNNNNNNNNNNNNNNNNNNNNNNNNNNNNNNNNNNNNNNNNNNNNNNNNNNNNNNNNNNNNNNNNNNNNNNNNNNNNNNNNNNNNNNNNNNNNNNNNNNNNNNNNNNNNNNNNNNNNNNNNNNNNNNNNNNNNNNNNNNNNNNNNNNNNNNNNNNNNNNNNNNNNNNNNNNNNNNNNNNNNNNNNNNNNNNNNNNNNNNNNNNNNNNNNNNNNNNNNNNNNNNNNNNNNNNNNNNNNNNNNNNNNNNNNNNNNNNNNNNNNNNNNNNNNNNNNNNNNNNNNNNNNNNNNNNNNNNNNNNNNNNNNNNNNNNNNNNNNNNNNNNNNNNNNNNNNNNNNNNNNNNNNNNNNNNNNNNNNNNNNNNNAGAGAGAGAGAAUUUUUUUUGUUCUUUUUAAUUUUAACUAGUUAAUUAGUUUAACAAAAACGGUAAAUAACUUAAAACCUGAUAAUUAACAAAAAAACCGUAAAAUUUGAUAAUUAACAAAAAAAACGUAUAUACGGAGAGGGGGCGGCGAGGGGGGCGGUGAUGCGCGCGGUGUUUUUUUAGGGAUCGAGAGGGGACGGCGAGGGUUAUAAAUGUGUUGUCCUCGCCUCCCUCUCCGUGACGCCGUCGUCUGCCGCCCCGUCUCGCGCUCUACCGCGACACCCUCUCCCACCCCUUCCUCGCCCCCUCCUUUUGCCACCGCCCUUUCGCCACCGCCACCGCCAUCGCCCCCCUUCUUCACUUAAUUAAUUUGUUUUUACUACAUGUUUUCAGGACUGACAUAAUGGCGGACGAUAGAGCUGACCCGAUUAUGGACAACUAUGAUCCAGACGGUGAAGCACAUAUGUUCGGCAUCAUAAACGGCGAUAUUCUAUAUGUGCCGACCGGACAAGAAGAAGAUGACAUCUCUUCUUAUCUGAACCUUGACGGUGAAGAUGAAGGGCGCCGUCAGCAAGAUGAUGCCGAACAAACGUCGAUAAACGACGAUCUUCAAAUGGAAGUAGCAACCACCUCCGGCGCCGAGGUAUAUAUAUAUACAUUGAGCCUCUGGUGAUACAAACUAACUGAUUUGAAUAAAUAUGUGUGGACUAACGCGCGCGACUCUCUUUCUUAUUUUAGCCCUCGGCCGGAUCGUCGAAACAAUCGAGUACGUCGUCAAAGCGUGGCGCAACCAAGACGAUGAAACAAGGAGAAACAUGCACCAUCGAGGUUGUCAACAGUGCAACCGGCAGGCCGCUGGAGCCCCACAAGAACGCCACCAAGUUUGUCAACCAAUGCGGAGCCAUUGUUAGAGACAACGUCUCGAUCACCGUCCAGGAGUGGAAUAAGCCAAAGAAGGCACGAAUUGCUGGUUUCACUUUCGUCGAUAAGAGAACAAAAAAAGAUUGCUUCAAAAAGCUUAUGGAACAUUUCAUUCUACCUCCGGAAUACAACAAAUUCGAUGAGGAGGGUAACAAGAUUGAGGAAAACAAGGAGAGGAGGAGGCUAGUCAAACAAUUCGCUCUUCAUAAGAUGGCCGACGCAUUCCGGAAAUUCAAGCAAAAUCUAGCCCAUGACUUUGUCAAGCAGAACAAGACUCCGGAUUUCAAAGGACAAUAUGAGAAACUGAAACAUGAUUGGCCAGAAUUUGUGAAGCAAAAGAAAUCGGAGCAGUUCAUUCAAAUAUCGAAAAAAAUAAGGAAAAUGCGGCUAAGAAGGAGUACAAUCAUAUUAUGGGGCCAGGAGGGUAUCGCCUUUGGGAUCCUAGGUGGGAGAAGAUGGAGAACGAGCUGAGGGCGCGAGGAAUCCGUCCAGGUACGGAGGGAUGGGACCCAAGGGCCAAAAGCUGGUGGUACAGGCAUGGGGGAACGCUGAACCCGGAGACAGGGGACUGUGUUUACCGGGGCAAAAUAAUUAAACCCACCCAAGCCCUUAUUGACGCAAUGAGGGAUGCUCAAGAGGGGAAGAUCAAGUUCAACAGAGAGAACGACGCGCUGACAAAAGCCCUCGGGAAUCCUGAACACGGAGGACGUGUACGAGGCAUGGGGCACAUUCCGUGGAAAAUAGGGUUCCCCCAGAACGAUGACCCGUACGGUUACAGAAGCCGGAAGAGAAAGAUGGAUCGGGAAGUAGAUGUUGUGGCGCGGUUGGCAUCGGAAAUGGAUGUGAUGAAGAAAACCGUGAGUGUACUAGUAGCCGAACGAGAUGCAGCUCGGGCGCAGCAUGAAGAUCAUCCAGCGAAUCUCAGAAGCCAGCAGCGGAGAAGCAGUGUGGCUUCCACGGAGGCCCCACCGGCUGGUGCAGAUGCACCGACGAUCGAAAUUACUGCACCUGAGCCUCUGGUGGUCGAAAUUACUGCACCGGAGCCUCUGGUGGUCGAAAUUACUGCACCGGAGCCUCUGGUGGUCGAAAUUACUGCACCGGAGCCUCCUCGCUACCCCGUGGACGAUAUAAAGGAGAUGAAAGAAUGUCAUCUAUAUUAUCCUAUCGGGAACAUGUCCGUGAAGGUAGCCAUCGGCAGUGCUUUACCAUGUUUACCUGGAGCACUCCACCACAACACCCCCAUUCAAGAUGGCUAUGCUCGUGUCACGGUGGAGGACAUAGUCCAAGGGUUUGAGGACCUGGAGAUUGACAUUGCUACACUUGAAGGGGAGAAAAGACUUGGAGAUGUCAAGCGCCAUUUCAUUCUAUGGCAAAAGAAGUUUAUCAAGUUUCCAGGCGAGGCGCCAAGGACAACAAGUCCACCCCCCUACGGUGGUGGCGGUUCACCUACACCUCCGUCAUGUCAGCCGACGCCCCCCAGUCCACAACGUCCGGCGGGUGAUCAGACGCCGCCCCCCAGUCCUCGUCCGGCGGGUGACCAGACGCCGCCCCCCAAUCCACCUCCGGCAAAGAAGCAGAAGUAGUCCUGGAUUAUUAACCCGGACCCUUAUGUACCUAAGACCACAAAGGUACCGGAGCCAUCAUUGAAGCCUCUCCCCACAAGGCCUUGGGAACGUAGUGCCGAGGAAACUGCCGCGGCCGCGGCUGCUGAUCAUGAGAAAUGGAAGGCGGACUGCAAGAAGAAAAGAGAGCCCGAGCCCAAGCCAGUAUUUUCUGAUGAGCAAAAGAAGUGGGCUAAGUCAUUUUUGAGCACACCGUCCCAAGCCGCGAAGAAUCUGCCUGACGACUAUGCACGUGAACUUCGUAGGCAGGCACUCAUGUUGAAGGAGAAGAAAGAGCGGGCGGAGAACCAGGAGAACAAAGCCUUGGAGGAGGCCGAGAAAACGGAAUUAGAAAGUAAAAAAAGCGGGAAACGAGUUGCCCAGCUCGGGGAACAAAGUAAACAAUCGAUUGUCCCGCUUAUAGUGAAAGCCGCCGGUCCGGAUGACCCCGAUAUCAUAGCAGCUGCGGCAGCACAUGGAUUGACUGUAACGAGUGCCAGAGAACAAGCGGCCAACUUAGGUAUUACUCUUCGUGAACUGUUAGGCCUUGAUGAGGCGCCAGUGAAGGAGGUAGUAAUUACAUAUGUGAAGAAUGGGCCUCUCGUCGAGCCUGCGCAGGAACAGGAUCUACCUCCACAAAUGAAAGGUCUGCUGAAAUGGUACAAGGGUUACAUAAAAAAUAAAAACGCCAAAGAAUAUAUUUAUGCGGAAGUUAGAUAUGAGCAUCACUUCAAACAUUACUAUGUACAAAUUCAUCUGAGUGAAUUGUUCCAGCUUUUCAAUCUGCGCGAGCUCGACAAAUCUAUCAUCAGUUGCUACGUUCUGUAAGUGAUUUAUUUCUACCCCAUCUCGUUCAUAUUGCCUGCACUAUAUAUAUGUCCUUACUAUAUUGUUGUGUCCGCUAUUAUACAUGCAGAAUGAAGAUUAAGGAAUGCAGAGUAAGGAUCAUCCAUAAUGUUGGGUUCAUUGACCCACACAUCGUUAAUGGAUAUGUGUUGGAGCAUCACCCCGCCGACAUGGAGGCAGACCUGUGGCAAUUUCUUACAAAGCAGGAACUCAAAAGUGAUAUUCUAUUUCCUUACCAUUUUGGGUGAUUGUUUCUGUCUUGAGCACAUUCUCUUUUGUUUACUCCAUGCAUGGUAUGUGGCCGGCUAAUCGAUGAGUUAUGCAUGACGUACUGUGCAUGUAUCGUGUCCGCAGGUUCCACUGGAUUCUGCUAGUAAUUAAAGUUGACACCUCAGAAUGUCUCGUCCACGACUCUCUGAAUAAGGAUCCAAAGCUUUGGGUCGACAUGAGAAGAAUGCUGCAGAAGUAAUUAUUUUCAUUCAUUUGCGCUCUAUAUCGAUCGGCCUAUUUCGUUCAUUUCCUAAUAUCAAGUAACUAAUAACUCUCUUGUUCAUUUAAUUUUCUUUGCCUCGUAGGGUUUGGAGACGGUUCGUAGAUACAAAGGUCGGUGAAUUCAAAAAAGAGCUAGAAUUCAAAAGGGCAAAGGCUAAGAAUGGUGAGGAUAUUCAGCCAGCGGGGACCAAUCUAUGUGCAUACUAUGUCUGUGAGAUGAUCCGGAGAUACACCUCUGAGCGGGUUCCGAGUGAUACCAAUGCUCAGAGGAAUAACCUCCGGAUGAUGCUUAGUCCAGAAGCUCGCUUCCAACCACUUCAAGAGGAACUAGCUGGAUGGUUCAGGAGGGAAGUCCUCCAUCCUAAAGGAGAACACCAUUACGAGGACGUAGAACUUUAUAUGCAUUAAAUUAUGUAUGGAAACUUGUUCAAAAUUGUAUAUGGUCAUCCGAUGAUAUUGAAUAUAUAUUGUAUAUUCCUCUUGAAUUCUUUUUGGUUCUAAUUUCAAAUUUGUUUGAAAUUGUACAUUCAUAUGCAUGUAUGUAGUACCGUAGAAUAUGUGAAACUCCUUCAAAAUUAAAAUAAAGCACAAAAGAAAUAAAACAAUACAUAUUAAACAGAAAACAGGUUUAAGGGGGGGGGGCUAAAACCCUAAACCUGCGGCGGCCUUUAGUCGCGGUUGGCCAGAAGAACCGCGACUAAAGGUCCUCCGCCCCGACGGCCACCUGGCGCCCACGUGGACGGGCCUUUAGUCGCGGUUCUUAAGCAACCGCGACUAAAGGGUGGGGCCUUUAGUCGCGCCCGUUCGGUCGCGGUUGCGCAACCGCGACUAAUGGCAGUUGCGAACCGCGACCAAAGGCCCUUUUUCCACCAGUGAUACUUCGGUGCGACAAAAUCUCGUCAGAUACCCAGCUGAAGAAGGUGCUGACGACGUAGCCAUUGGCAAUACCAUAGUGGUUAGAACCGACGUAGUAUUCAUGGUUGGCAUAGCCUUGUGUAAAGACAGCAGUGACAACGAUAACGCCCAACCUUCCUUCAAAAUGUUCUUGAUUGGAAGAUGAAAUCAAAUGGCCAGCUCCCUGGCGUCGGUGCUAAAACUAACAAUUCUUAGGUAGGGGGUCUCGAACUGGUAGCGUCGGCAUGAUGGUAACAGGAGGAAACAUGGACACCGUUUUACUCAGGUUUGGGCCCUCUCUCACAUGUAAUACCCUACUCCUGCUCUUUAAUAUUUUGUGGAUGGGGUGCAAAGUGGAGAGAGAUCUACCUCGAAGUUAUACGAAUGUGUUCUAAUCUCUAAAAACCUUUCCUCUACAGACUAAACCCCUCGGCUUAUAUAGGCACCGUGUGUAUCUAAGUUUUACAUAUGAUUGGUUACAAUCUAAGGAUAACAUUCCGAACAAUUAAACAGGCCAUGAAGUGUAUUCCAUAUUUAGUAUGCCGAGAGUCAGGGCAUAUAUGGCCUCCGUGGUGUGCACCCUUUAAUUCAAGACACCAUCAGUAGCCCCUAAACAUGUCUUCAAGUGGAGGACCCAGACUUCUAUCUUCAAAACAACUUCAAUCUUAUAGUCAUCGGUUUCGUAGGUGAGUUCUAUCUUCCACAUCGGCUCCUUAAUUCGAGGACAUCUCAAUCCAAGUCUUUUUUAUGUUCUCAUAAUCAAUCUUCUCUUCAAAAAGCACCAGGCAAAAUGUGUAGAUCGCCUACUCCAUCAAAUAAGUGGUAUUUUUAACAAAGCCCUCAUCUGGGUAGUUUUUGCUUUUACUGACCCGACACUAGUAGAAAACGGACCAUCAGUCCCGGCUCCAGAGGCCCUUUAGUCCCGGUUCUGUAACCAGGACAAAACGAUCGGGACUAAAACCCAGAACUUUUAGUCCCGGUUGGCUUACGAACCGGGACUAAAGGGGCUCCACAUGGCUGCUGUGGGGUGCCCACGCAGGAGGACCUUUAGUCCCGGUUCGUAAACCGGGACUAAAAGGUCGCCACACGUCAGCAACCCCUAGGUGCUAGGGUUUUUUUUGAAGGGGGUGGGUGUUUAGGGGUUUUGGAUGGUUUAGGGGUUUCAUAUUGUGUUAGCUAGCUACUACAUAUAUAUAAAGAGAAGUGACCGCUCUUUCUCCGUGCAUGGUGGACGCUAGCUAGUACAUAUAGAGAGAAUUCAACGGUAUAGUAAGCAAAUGAAGGAAACCAUUAAUUACGCAAGAUCGUCAUGAACAUAUAUAGAGAGAAGUGACCCCUCUUUCUCCGUGCUUAGUCGAACAACAAGUUUACAUAUAUCUAUCCGACGCUACUACAUAUAUACAAUAUAACAUCCCUUACAUCAUCAAGCACCAAACUGUUGGGUUUCGUAGUAAUUUCAAAAAAUUCCUACGCACACGCAAGAUCAUGGUGAUGCAUAGCAACGAGAGGGGAGAGUGUUGUCUACGUACCCACGCAGACCGACUGCGGAAGCAUUGACACAACGUAGAGGAAGUAGUCGUACGUCUUCACGAUCCAACCGAUCAAGCACCGAAACUACGGCACCUCCGAGUUCGAGCACACGUUCAGCUCGAUGACGAUCCCCGAACUCCGAUCCAGCAAAGUGUCGGGGAAGAGUUCCGUCAGCACGACGGUGUGGUGACGAUCUUGAUGCACUACAGCAGCAGGGCUUCGCCUAAACUCCGCUACAGUAUUAUCGAGGAUUAUGGUGGCAGGGGGCACCGCACACGGCUAAGGAAUAGAUCACGUGGAUCAACUUGUGUGUUUCUGGGGUGCCUCUGCCUCAGUAUAUAAAGAAGCCAAGGGGGAGGGGGGCGCCGGCCAGGAGGAGGGCGCAGGAGGAGUCCUACUCCUUCCGGGAGUAGGACUCCCCCCCCAAUCCUAGUUGGACUAGGAUUCCCCGAGAGGGAAAGAGGGAGAGGGGGGCCGGCCACCUCUCCUAGUCCUAAUAGGACUAGGGGAGGGGGGAGGUGCGCAUCCACCUUGGGUUGCCCCUUUCUCCUUUCCACUAAAGCCCAUUAAGGCCCAUAUGGCUCCCGGGGGGUUCCGGUAACCUCCCGGUACUCCGGUAAAAUCCCGAUUUCACCCGGAACACUUCCAAUAUCCAAACAUAGGCUUCCAAUAUAUCAAUCUUUACGUCUCGACCAUUUCGAGACUCCUCGUCAUGUCCGUGAUCACAUCCGGGACCCCAAACAACCUUCGGUACAUCAAAAUGCAUAAACUCAUAAUAUAACUGUCAUCGUAACCUUAAGCGUGCGGACCCUACGGGUUCGAGAACAAUGUAGACAUGACCGAGACACGUCUCCGGUCAAUAACCAAUAGCGGGACCUGGAUGCCCAUAUUGGCUCCUACAUAUUCUACGAAGAUCUUUAUCGGUCAGACCGCAUAACAACAUACGUUGUUCCCUUUGUCAUCGGUAUGUUACUUGCCCGAGAUUCAAUCGUCGGUAUCCAAUACCUAGUUCAAUCUCGUUACCGGCAAGUCUCUUUACUCGUUCCGUAAUACAUCAUCUCACAACUAACAUAUUAGUUGUAAUGCUUGCAAGGCUUAUGUGAUGUGCAUUACCGAGAGGGCCCAGAGAUACCUCUCCGACAAUCGAAGUGACAAAUCCUAAUCUCAAAAUACGCCAACCCAACAUCUAUCUUUGGAGACACCUGUAGAGCUCCUUUAUAAUCACCCAUUUACAUUGUGAUGUUUGGUAGCACCCAAAGUGUUCCUCCGGUAAACGGGAGUUGCAUAAUCUCAUAGUCAUAGGAACAUGUAUAAGUCAUGAAGAAAGCAAUAGCAACAUACUAAACGAUCGGGUGCUAAGCUAAUGGAAUGGGUCAUGUCAAUCAGAUCAUUCAACUAAUGAUGUGAUCCCGUUAAUCAAAUAACAACUCUUUGUCAAUGGUUAGGAAACAUAACCAUCUUUGAUUAACGAGCUAGUCAAGUAGAGGCAUACUAGUGACACUCUGUUUGUCUAUGUAUUCACACAUGUAUUAUGUUUCCGGUUAAUACAAUUCUAGCAUGAAUAAUAAACAUAUAUCAUGAUAUAAGGAAAUAAAUAAUAACUUUAUUAUUGCCUCUAGGGCAUAUUUCCUUCAGUCUCCCACUUGCACUAGAGUCAAUAAUCUAGAUCACAUCGCUAUGUGAUUAACACCAAUAGUUCACAUCUUUAUGUGAUUGGUUCACAUCUCCAUGUGACUAACACCUAAAGGGUUUACUAGAUUCAAUAAUCUAGUUCACAUCGCUAUGUGAUUAACACCCAAAGAGUGAUCAUGUUUUGCUUGUGAGAGAAAUUUAGUCAACGGGCCUGCUAUAUUCAGAUCCGUAUGUAUUUUGCAAAAUUCUAUGUCUACAAUGCUCUAAUCUAGCUAAUUGCUCCCACUUUCAAUAUGUAUCCAGAUUGAGACUUAGAAUCAUCUGGAUCAGUAUCAAAAACUUGCAUCGACGUAACCCUUUACGACGAACCUUUUUGUCACGUCCAUAAUCGAGAAACAUAUCCUUAUUUCACUAAGGAUAAUUCUGACCGCUAUCUAGUGAUCUACUCCUAGAUCACUAUUGUACUCCCUUGCCAAAUCAGUGCAGGGUAUACAAUAGGUCUGGUAUACAGCAUGACAUACUUUAUAGAACCUAUGGCCAAGGCAUAGGGAAUGACUUUCAUUCUCUUUCUAUCUUCUGCCGUGGUCGGGCUUUAAGUCUUACUCAACUUCACACCUUGUAAUACAGGCAAGAACUCUUUCUUUGACUGCUCCAUUUUGAACUACUUCAAAAUCUUGUCAAGGUAUGUACUCAUUGAAAAAACUUAUCAAGUGUCUUGAUCUAUCUCUAUAGAUCUUGGAGCUAAAUAUGUAAGCAGCUUCACCGAAGUCUUUCUUUGAAAAACUCCUUUCAAACACUCCAUUAUGCUUUACAGAAUAAUUCUACAUUAUCUCCGAUCAACAAUAUGUCAUUCACAUAUACUUAUCAGAAAUGUUGUAGUGCUCCCACUCACUUUCUUGUAAAUACAGGCUUCACCGCAAGUCUGUAUAAAACUAUAUGCUUUGAUCAUCUCAUCAAAGCGUAUAUUCCAUCUCCGAGAUGCUUGCACAAGUCCACAGAUGGAUCGCUGGAGCUUGCACAUUUUGUUAGCACCUUUUGGUUUGACAAAACCUUCUGGUUGCAUCAUAUACAACUCUUCUUUAAUAAAUCCAUUAAGGAAGGCAGUUUUGUUUAUCCAUUUGCCAGAUUUCAUAAAAUGCGGCAAUUACUAACAAGAUUCAGACAGACUCAAGCAUAGAUACGAGUGAGAAGCUCUCAUCGUUGUCAACACCUUGAACUUGUCGAAAACCUUUUGCGACAAUUCUAGCUUUGUAGACAGUAACAUUACCAUCAGCGUCAGUCUUCUUCUUGAAGAUCCAUUUAUUCUCAAUUGCUUGCCGAUCAUCGGGCAAGUCAACCAAAUUCCAUACUUUGUUCUCAUACAUGGAUCCCAUCUCAGAUUUCAUGGCCUCAAACCAUUUCGCGGAAUCUGGGCUCAUCAUCGCUUCCUCAUAGUUCGUAGGUUCGUCAUGGUCAAGUAACAUGACCUCCAGAACAGGAUUACCGUACCACUCUGGUGCGGAUCUCACUCUGGUUUACCUACGAGAUUCGGUAGUAACUUGAUCUGAAGUUACAUGAUCAUCAUCAUUAGCUUCCUCACUAAUUGGUGUAGUUGUUACAAGAACAGAUUUUUGUGAUGAACUACUUUCCAAUAAGGGAGAAGGUACAAUUACCUUAUCAAGUUUUCUACUUUCCUCCCACUCACUUCUUUCGAGAGAAACUCCUUCUCUAGAAAGGAUCCAUUCUGAGCAACGAAUGUCUUGCCUUCGGAUCUGUGAUAGAAGGUGUACCCAACAUUCUUCUUUGGGUAUCCUAUGAAGACAUAUUUCUCCGAUUUGGGUUUGAGCUUAUCAGGAUGAAACCUUUUUCACAUAAGCACCACAACCCAAAACUUUAAGAAACGACAACUUUGGUUUCUUGCCAAACCAUAGUUCAUAAGGCGUCGUCUCAACGGAUUUAGAUGGUGCCCUUUUAACGUGAAUGCAGCUGUCUCUAAUGCAUAAUCCCAAAAUGAUAGUGGUAGGUCGCUAAGAGACAUCGUAGAUUGCACUAUAUCCAAUAAAGUACGGUUAUGACGUUCGGACACACCAUUAUGCUAUGGUGUUCCAUGUGGCAUGAGUUUGUGAAACUAUUCCACAUUGUUUUAAUUGAAGACCAAACUCGUAACUCAAAUACUCUUCUCUACGAUCAGAUCGUAGAAACUUUAUUUUCUUGUUACGAUGGUUUUUCACUUCACUCUGAAAUUCUUUGAACUUUUCAAAUGUUUCAGACUUAUGUUUCAUCAAGUAGAUAUACUCAUGUCUGCUCAAAUCAUCUGUGAAGAUCAGAAAAUAAUGAUACCUGUCGCGAGCCUCAAUAUUCAUCGGACCACAUACAUCAGUAUGUAUGAUUUUCCAACAAAUCUGUUGCUCGCUCCAUUGUUCCGAAGAACAGAGUCUUAGUCAUCUUGCCCAUGAGGCAAGGUUCGCAAGCAUCAACUGAUUCAUAAUCAAGUGAUUCCAAAAGCCCAUCAUCAUGGAGUUUCUUCAUGCGCUUUACACCGAUAUAACCUAAACGACAGUGCCACAAAUAAGUUGCACCUUCAUUAUCAACUCUGCAUCUUUUGGCUUUAACAUUAUGAAUAUGUGUAUUACUACUAUCGAGAUUCAAUAAGAAUAGACCACUCUUCAAGGGUGCAUGACCAUAAAGAUAUUACUCAUAUAAAUAGAACAACCAUUAUUCUCUGAUUUAAAUGAAUAACCGUCUCCCAUCAAAUAAGAUCCAGAUAUAAUGUUCAUGCUCAACGCUGGCACCAAAUAACAAUUAUUUAGGUCUAAUAUUAAUCCCGAAGGUAGAUGUAGAGGUAGCGUGCCGACUGCGAUCACAUCGACUUUGGAACCGUUUCCCACGCGCAUCGUCACCUCGUCCUUUGCCAGUGCCCGCUUAUUCCGUAGUCCCUGUUUCGAGUUGCAAAUAUUAGCAACAAAACCAGUAUCAAAUACCAGGUGCUACUGCGAGCUCUAGUAAGGUACACAUCAAUAACAUGUAUAUCACAUAUACCUUUGUUCACCUUGCCAUCCUUCUUAUCCGCCAAAUACUUGGGGUAGUUCUGCUUCCAGUGACCAGUCCCUUUGCAGUAGAAGCACUUAGUCUCAGGCUUAGGACUAGAUUUGGGCUUCUUCACUUGAGCAGCAACCUGCUUGCUGUUCUUCUUGAAGUUCCCCUUCUUCCCUCUGCCCUUUUCUUGAAACUAGUGGUCUUGUCAACCAUCAACACUUGAUGUUUUUCUUGAUUUCUACCUUCGUUGAUUUCAGCAUCACGAAGAGCUUGGGAGUUGUUUCCGUUAUCCCUUGCAUAUUAUAGUUCAUCACGAAGUUCUACUAACUUGGUGAUGGUGACUAGAGAAUUCUGUCAAUCACUAUCUUAUCUGGAAGAUUAACUCCCACUUGAUUCAAGCGAUUGUAGUACCCAGACAAUCUGAGCACAUGCUCACUAGUUGAGCGAUUCUCCUCCAUCUUUUAGCUAUAGAACUUGUUGGAGACUUCAUAUCUCUCAACUCGGGUAUUUUCUUGAAAUAUUAACUUCAACUCCUGGAACAUCUCAUAUGGUCCAUGACGUUCAAAACAUCUUUGAAGUCCCGAUUCUAAGCCGUUAAGCAUGGUGCACUUAAACUAUCAAGUAGUCAUCAUAUUGAGCUAGCCAAACGUUCAUAACAUCUGCAUCUGCUCCUGCAAUAGGUCUGUCACCUAGCGGUGCAUCAAGGACAUAAUUCUUCUGUGUAGCAAUGAGGAUAAACCUCAGAUCACGGAUCCAAUCCGCAUCAUUGCUACUAACAUCUUUCAACACAAUUUUCUCUAGGAACAUAUCAAAAUAAACAUAUGAAAGCAACAACGCGAGCUAUUGAUCUAUAACAUAGAUAUGCAAAUACUACCAGGACUAAGUUCAUGAUAAAUUUAAGUUCAAUUAAUCAAAUUACUUAAAGAACUCCCACUUAGAUAGACAUCCCUCUAAUCCUCUAAGUGAUCACGUGAUCCAAAUCAACUAAACCAUAACCGAUCAUCACGUGAGAUGGAGUAGUUUUCAGUGGUGAACAUCAUUAUGUUGAUCAUAUCUACUAUAUGAUUCACGCUCGACCUUUCGGUCUCCGUGUUCCGAGGCCAUAUCUACAUAUGCUAGGCUCGUCAAGUUUAACCUGAGUAUUCUGCGUGUGCAAAACUGGCUUGUACCCGUUGUAGAUGGACGUAGAGCUUAUCACACCCGAUCAUCACGUGGUGUCUGGGCACGACGAACUUUGGCAACGGUGCAUACAUAGGGAGAACACUUCUUGAUAAUUUAGUGAGAGAUCAUCUUAUAAUGCUACCGUCAAUCAAAGCAAGAUAAGAUGCAUAAAAGGAUAAACAUCACAUGCAAUCAAUAUAAGUGAUAUGAUAUGGCCAUCAUCAUCUUGUGCUUGUGAUCUCCAUCUCCGAAGCACCGUCGUGAUCACCAUCGUCACCGGCGCGACACCUUGAUCUCCAUCAUAGCAUCGUUGUCGUCUCGCCAAUCUUACGCUUCCACGACUAUCACUACCGCUUAGUAAUAAAGUAAAGCAUUACAUCGCGAUUGCAUUGCAUACAAUAAAACGACAACCAUAAGGCUCCUGCCAGUUGCCGAUAACUCGGUUACAAAACAUGAUCAUCUCAUACAAUAAAAUUCAGCAUCAUGCCUUGACCAUAUCACAUCACAACAUGCCCUGCAAAAACAAGUUAGACGUUCUCUACUUUGUUGUUGCAAGUUUUACGUGGCUGCUACGGGCUUAAGUAAGUACCAAUCUCACCUACGCAUCAAAACCACAAUGAUAGUUUGUCAAAUAGACUCUGUUUUAACCUUCGCAAGGACCGGACGUAGCCAUACUUGCUUCAACUAAAGUUGGAGAGACAGUCGCCCGCAAGCCACCUGUGUGCAAAGCACGUCGGGGGAACCGGUCUCGCGUAAGCGUACGCGUAAGGUUGGUCCGGGUCGUCUCGUCCAACAAUGCCGCCGAACCAAAGUAUGACAUGCUGGUAGGCAGUAUGACUUAUAUCGCCCACAACUCACUUGUGUUCUACUCGUGCAUACAACAUCAACAUAAAUAACCUAGGCUCUGAUACCACUAUUGGGUUUCGUAGUAAUUUCAAAAAAAUUCCUACGCACACGCAAGAUCAUGGUGAUGCAUAUCAAUGAGAGGGGAGAGUGUUGUCUACGUACCCACGCAGACCGACUGCGGAAGCGUUGACACAACAUAGAGGAAGUAGUCGUACGUCUUCACGAUCCAACCGAUCAAGCACCGAAACUACGGCACCUCCGAGUUCGAGCACACGUUCAGCUCGAUGACGAUCCCCGGACUCCGAUCCAGAAAAGUGUCGGGGAAGAGUUCCGUCAGCACGACGGCGUGGUGACGAUCUUGAUGCACUACAGCAGCAGGGCUUCGCCUAAACUCCGCUACAGUAUUAUCGAGGAUUAUGGUGGCAGGGGGCACCGCACACGGCUAAGGAAUAGAUCACGUGGAUCAACUUGUGUGUUUCUGGGGUGCCUCUGCCUCAGUAUAUAAAGGAGACAAGGGGGAGGGGGGCGCCGGCCAGGAGGAGGGCGCAGGAGGAGUCCUACUCCUUUCGGGAGUAGGACUCCCCCCCCCCAAUCCUAGUUUGACUAGGAUUCCCCGAGGGGGAAAGAGGGAGAGGGGGGCCGGCCACCUCUCCUAGUCCUAAUAGGACUAGGGGAGGGGGGAGGUGCGCAGCCACCUUGGGCUGCCCCUUUCUCCUUUCCACUAAAGCCCAUUAAGGCCCAUAUGGCUCCCGGGGGGUUUCGAUAACCUCCCGGUACUCCGGUAAAAUCCUGAUUUCACCCGGAACACUUCCGAUAUCCAAACAUAGGCUUCCAAUAUAUCAAUCUUUACGUCUCGACCAUUUCGAGACUCCUCGUCAUGUCCGUGAUCACAUCCGGGACUCCGAACAACCUUCGGUACAUCAAAAUGCAUAAACUCAUAAUAUAACUGUCAUCGUAACCUUAAGCAUGCGGACCCUACGGGUUCGAGAACAAUGUAGACAUGACCGAGACACGUCUCCGGUCAAUAACUAAUAGCGGGACCUGGAUGCCCAUAUUGGCUCCUACAUAUUCUACGAAGAUCUUUAUCGGUCAGACCGCAUAACAACAUACGUUGUUCCCUUUGUCAUCGGUAUGUUACUUGCCCGAGAUUCGAUCGUCGGUAUCCAAUACCUAGUUCAAUCUCGUUACCGGCAAGUCUCUUUACUCGUUCCGUAAUACAUCAUCUCACUACUAACAUAUUAGUUGUAAUGCUUGCAAGGCUUAUGUGAUGUGCAUUACCGAGAGGGCCCAGAGAUACCUCUCCGACAAUCGAAGUGACAAAUCGUAAUCUCAAAAUACGCCAACCCAACAUAUAUCUUUGGAGACACCUGUAGAGCUCCUUUAUAAUCACCCAUUUACGUUGUGAUCAGAUCAUUCAACUAAUGAUGUGAUCCCGUUAAUCAAAUAACAACUCUUUGUCAAUGGUUAGGAAACAUAACCAUCUUUGAUUAAUGAGCUAGUCAAGUAGAGGCAUACUAGUGACACUCUGUUUGUCUAUGUAUUCACACAUGUAUUAUGUUUCCGGUUAAUACAAUUCUAGCAUGAAUAAUAAACAUUUAUCAUGAUAUAAGGAAAUAAAUAAUAACUUUAUUAUUGCCUCUAGGGCAUAUUUCCUUCACAAACUCCCAUUGAAUUUCCGUAUGGUAUUCUCUCUUUUCAUGUAUGACGUGGUCAAGAAAGAAUCCCGUCAAUUCCUCUUGAAUUGCUCGUACGCGAUCAUGUGGUAGGAGUUCAUCCCGCAUCUGCCAGACCUAAUUUAAAGAAGGGGGUCAAUACAUAUAUAUGAAUGAAACUCAACACAAUUGAUGGUAAUAAAAUGUUGGGGAACGUAGCAGAAAUUCAAAAUUUUCCUACGUGUCACCAAGAUCUAUCUAUGGAGAGACCAGCAACGAGUAGAAAGAGAGUGCAUCUACAUACCCUUGUAGAUCGCUAAGCGGAAGCGUUCAAGUGAACGAGGUUGAUGAAGUCGUACUCGUCGUGAUUCAAAUCACCGAUGAUCAAGUGCCGAACGCACGGCACCUCCGCGUUCAACACAUGUACAGCCCGGUGACGUCUCCCAAGCCUUGAUCCAGCAAGGAGAAAGGGAGAGGUUGAGGAAGACUCCAUCCAACACCAGCACAAUGGCGUGGUGGUGGUGGAGGAGUGUGGCAAUCCUGCAGGGCUUCGCCAAGCACCGCGAGAGAGGAGGAGCACUUGGGAGAGGGAGGGCUGCGCCAGAACUUCGUGUUAUCAGCUCCCAUGCGUCUCCCCACUAUAUAUAGGGGUGGAGGGGCUGUUUUCUUGCCCUCCAAGUCCAUUGGGGCGUUGGCCAAGGUGGGAGGAAAGAAAUCCCAUCAUUUCCUUCCCCACCGAUUGUUAUCCCCCCUUUUUAGGGAUCUUGAUCUUAUCCCUUCGGGAUAUGAUCUUAUUCCUUCUAAAUGGGGAUCUUGGUGCGCCUUGACCAGGGGUGUGGGGCCUUGCCCCCACUACCCACGUUCAUGUGGGUCCCGCCAUGCAGGUGGGCCCCACUCUGGAACCUUCUAGAACCUUCCCGGUACAAUACCGAAAAAUCCCGAACAUUUUCCGGUGGCCAAAAUAGGACUUCCCAUAUAUAAAUCUUUACCUCCGGACCAUUCCGGAACUCUUCGUGACGUCCGGGAUCUCAUCCGGGACUCCGAACAACAUUCGGUAACCACAUACAAGCUUCCUUUAUAACCCUAGCGUCAUCGAACCUUAAGUGUGUAGACCCUACGGGUUCGGGAGACAUGUAGACAUGACCGAGACAUUCUCCGGUCAAUAAACAACAGCGGGAUCUGGAUACCCAUGAUGGCUCCCACAUGUUCCACGAUGAUCUCAUCGGAUGAACCACGAUGUCAAGGACUUAAUCAAUCCCGUAUUCAAUUCCCUUUGUUUAUCGGUAUGUUACUUGCCCGAGAUUCGAUCGUCGGUAUCCAAUACCUUGUUCAAUCUUGUUACCGGCAAGUCACUUUACUCGUUCCGUAACACAUCAUCCCGUGAUCAACUCCUUGGUCACAUUGCGCAUAUGAUGAUGUCCUACCGAGUGGGCCCAGAGAUACCUCUCCGUUUACACGGAGUGACAAAUCCCAGUCUCGAUCCGCAUAAAACAAUAGAUACUUUCGGAGAUACCUAUAGUGCACCUUUAUAGUCACCCAGUUACGUUGUGACGUUUGAUACACCCAAAGCACUCCUACGGUAUCCAGGAGUUACACGCUCUCAUGGUCAAAGGAAGAGAUACUUGACAUUGGCAAAGCUCUAGCAAACGAACUACACGAUCUUUGUGCUAUGCUCAGGAUUGGGUCUUGUCCAUCACAUCAUUCUCCUAAUGAUGUGAUCCCGUUAUCAACGACAUCCAAUGUCCAUAGCCAGGAAACCAUGACUAUCUGUUGAUCACAACGAGCUAGUCAACUAGAGGCUCACUACGGACAUAUUGUGGUCUAUGUAUUCACACGUGUAUUACGAUUUCCGGAUAAUACAGUUAUAGCAUGAAUAAAAGACAAUUAUCAUGAACAAGGAAAUAUAAUAAUAAUACUUUUAUUAUUGCCUCUAGGGCAUAUUUCCAACAGUCUCCCACUUGCACUAGAGUCAAUAAUCCAGUUCACAUCGCCAUGUGAUUAACACUCAUAGGUCACAUCGCCAUGUGACUAAUACCCAAGAGUUUACUAGAGUCAGUAGUCUAGUUCACAUCACUAUGUGAUUAACACUCAAUGAGUUUUAUGUUUGAUCAUGUUGCUUGUGAGAGAGGUUUUAGUCAACGGGUCUGAAUGUUUCAGAUCCGUGUGUGCUUUACAAAUCUCUAUGUCAUCUCCUAGAUGCAGCUACCACGCUCUAUUUGGAGCUAUUCCAAAUAACUGUUCUACUUGGAGCUAUUCUAAAUUGUUGCUCCAUUAUACGUAUCCGGUAUCUCUACUCAGAGCUAUCCGGAUAGGUGUUAAGCUUGCAUCAUCGUAACUCUUUACGUCGAACUCUUUAUCACCUCCAUAACCGAGAAAAUUCCUUAGUCCACUAGUUACUAAGGAUAACUUUGACCGCUGUCCUAUGAUCCAUUCAUGGAUCACUCUUGUACCCCUUGACUGACUCAUGGCAAGGCACACUUCAGGUGCGGUACUCAGCAUGGCAUACUGUAGAGCCUAUAUCUUAAGCAUAGGGGACGACCUUCGUCCUUUCUCUCUAUUCUGCCGAGGUCGAGCUUUAAGUCUUAACUUCGUACCUUACAACUCAGGCAAGAACUUCUUCUUUGACUGAUCCAUCUUGAACACCUUCAAGAUCAUGUCAAGGUAUGUGCUCAUUUGAAAGUAUUAUUAAGCAUUUUGAUCUAUCCUUAUAGAUCUUGAUGCUCAAUGUUCAAGUAGCUUAAUCCAGGCUUUCCAUUGAAAAACACUUUCAAAAUAACCCUAUAUGCUUUCCAGAUAUUGUACAUCAUUUCUGAUCAUCAAUAUGUCAACAACAUACACUCAUCAGAAAUUCUAUAGUGCUCCCACUCACUUCUUUGGAAAUACAAGUUUCUCAUAAACUUUGUACAAACCCAAAAUCUUUGAUCAUCAUCAAAGCAUACAUUCCAACUCCGAGAUGCUCACUCCAGUCCUUAGAAGGAUUGCUGGAGCUUUGCAUACUUAUUAGCAUCUUUUGGGAUUGACAAAACCUUCCGGUUGUAUCACAUACAACCUUUCCUCAAGUAUAACGUCGAGGAAACAAUGUUUUGACAUCCUAUCUGCAAGAUUUCAUCAAUCAUGCAGUAACUGCUAAUCCAAUUCCAACAGACUCUUAGCAUCGCUACGAGUGAGAAAACCUCACCGUAAUCAACUCCUUGAACUUGUCGGAAAAUAUCUUAACGACAAGUCGAGCUUUCUUAAUGGUAAUUCUUACCAUCAUUGUCUGUCUUCCUUUUAAAAUCCAUCCGUACCCAAUGGCCUUACGACCAUCAAGUAUUUCUUCCAAAGUCAUGGAUCCGUUCUCGGAUUUUAUGGCCUCGAGCCAUUUAUCAGAAUCCGGGCCCACCAUCGCUUCUCCAUAGCUCGUAGGUUCAUUGUUGUCCAGCAACAUGACUUCCAAGACAGGAUUACGUACCACUCUCAAGUAGUACGCAUCCUUGUCAUCCUACGAGGUUUGGGAGUGACUUGAUCUAAAGUUUCAUGAUCACUAUCAUAAGCUUCCACUUCAAUUGGUGUAGGUGCCACGGGAACAACUUCCUGUGCCCUGCUACACACUGGUUGAAGUGAUGGUUUAAUAACCUCAUCAAGUCUCCACCAUCCUCCCACUCAAUUCUUUCGAGAGAAACCUUUCCUCGAGAAAGGACCUGAUUCAAGAAACAAUCCUUUAUUGCUUUUGGAUCUGAGACAGGAGGUAUACCCAACUGUUUUGGGUGUCCUAUGAAGAUGCAUUUAUCCGCUUUGGGUUCUAGCUUAUCAGCCUGAAACUUUUUCACAUAAGCGUCGUAGCCCCAAACUUUUAAGAAACGACAACUUAGGUUUCUCUAAACCAUAAUUCAUACGGUGUCAUCUCAACGGAAUUACGUGGUGCCCUAUUUAAAGUGAAUGUGGUUGUCUCUAGUGCCUAACCCAUGAACGAUAGUGGUAAUUCGAUAAGAGACAUCAUGGUAUGCAUCAUAUCCAAUAGGGUGCAGUUAUGAUGUUCGGACACACCAUCACACUAUGGUGUUCUAGGCGGUAUUAAUUGCGAAACAAUUUCCACAAUGUCUUAAUUGUGUGCCAAAACUCGUAACUCAGAUACUCAUCUCUAUGAUCUUAUCAUAGACAUUUUAUCCUCUUGUCACGAUGAUCUUCAACUUUACUCUGAAAUUACUUGAACCAUUCAAUAAUUCAGACUUGUGUUUCAUCAAGUAAAUAUAUUCAACAUCUACUCGAAUCAUAUGUGAAGUAAGAACAUAAUGAUAUUCACUGCAUGCCUCAGCACUCAUUGGACUACACAUAUCAAAAUGUGUUACUUCCAACAAGUUGCUAUCUUGUUCCAUCUUACUGAAACCGAGGCUUUUCAGUCAUCCUGCCCAUGUGGUAUGAUUUGCAUAUCUCAAGUGAUUCAAAAUCAAGUGAGUUCAAACGGUCCAUUUGCAUGGAGUUUCUUCAUGCAUAUAUACCAAUAGACAUGGUUCGCAUGUCUCAAACUUUUCAAAAAUGAGUGAGUCCAAAGAUCCAUCAACAUGGAGCUUCUUCAUGCAUUUUAUACCGAUAUGACUUACGUGGCAGUGCCACAAAUAGGUGGUACUAUCAUUACUAUCUUUUGGCAUGAACAUGUGUAUCACUACGUUCGAGAUUUCAAUGAACCAUUCAUUUUAGGUGCAAGACCAUUGAAGGUAUUGUUCAAAUAAAUAGAGUAACCAUUAUUCUCUUUAAAUGAAUAACCGUAUUGCGAUAGACAUAAUCCAAUCAUGUCUAUGCUCAACGCAAACACCAAAUCUCGAUGGUAGAGGGAGCGUGCGAUGCUUGAUCAUAUCAACAUUGGAAACACUUCCAACACAUAUCGUCAGCUCACCUUUAGCUAGUCUCCGUUUAUGCCGUAGCUUUUAUUUCGAGUUACUAACACUUAGCAACCGAACCGGUAUCUUAUACCCUGGUGCUACUAGGAGUACUAGUAAAGUACACAUUAACAUAAUGUAUAUCCAAUAUACUUCUAUUGACCUUGCCAGCCAUCUCAUCUACCAAGUAUCUAGGGUAAUUCUGCUCUAGUGACUGUUCCCCUUAUUACAGAAGCACUUAGUCUCGGGUUUGGGUUCAACCUUGGGUUUCUUCAAUGGAGCAGCAGCUGAUUUGCCGUUUCAUGAAGUAUCCCUUCUUGCCCUUGCCCUUCUUGAAACUAGUGGUUUCACCAACCAUCAACAACUGAUGCUCCUUCUUGAUUUCUACUUUCGCGGUGUCAAACAUCGUGAAUACCUCAAGGAUCAUUUUAUUUAUCCCUGAUAUGUUAUAGUUCAUCACGAAGCUCUAGCAGCUCGGUGGCAAUGACUUUGGAGAAACAUCACUAUCUCAUUUGGAAGAUCAACUCCCACUCAAUUCAAGUGAUUGUUGCACUCAGACAAUCUGAGCACAAGCUCAAUGAUUGAGAUUUUCUCCCUUAGUUUGCAGGCUAAGAGAAUCGUCGGAGGUCUUAUACCUCUUGACGUGAGCACGAGCCUGAAAUCCCAAUUUCAGCCCUCGAAACAUCUCAUAUGUUCCGCGAUGUUUCGAAAACGUCUUUGGUGCCUCUACUUAAACCAUUUAACUGAACUAUCACGUAGUUAUCAAAACGUGUAUGUUCGAUGUUCAAAACAUCCACAAACGACGUUUGGGGUUCAGCACACUGAGCAGUGCAUUAAGGACAUAAGCUUUCUACUGUUCGCAUAAUCGCUACUAUCAACUUUCAACUAUAUUUUCUCUAGGAACAUAUCUAAAACAGUAGAACUAAAGCGCGAGCUACGACAUAAUUUGCAAAAGGUCUUUUGACUAUGUUCAGGAUAAUUAAGUUCAUCUUAUGAACUCCCACUCAGAUAGACAUCCCUCUGGUCAUCUAAGUGAUUACAUGAUCCGAGUCAACUAGGCCGUGUCCGAUCAUCACGUGAGACGGACUAGUCAUCAUCGGUGAACAUCUUCAUGUUGAUCGUAUCUACUAUACGAAUCAUGCUCGACCUUUCGGUCUCCGUGUUUCGAGGCCAUCUCUGUACAUGCUAGGCUCGUCAAGUUAACCCUAAGUGUUUUCGCUGUGUAAAACUGUCUUACACCCGUUGUAUGUGAACGUAAGAAUCCAUCACACCCGAUCAUCACGUGGUGCUUAGAAGCGACGAACUGUAGCAACGGUGCACAGUUAGGGGAGAACACUUCUUGAAAUUGUUGUAAGGGAUCAUCUUAUUUACUACCGUCGUUCUAAGCAAACAAGAUGCAUAAACAUGAUAAACAUCACAUGCAAUCAAAUAGAGUAGUGACAUGAUAUGGCCAAUAUCAUAUAGCUCCUUUGAUCUUCAUCUUCGGGGCUCCAUGAUCAUCUUGUCACCGGCAUGACACCAUGAUCUCCAUCAUCAUGAUCUCCAUCAUCGUGUCUUCAUGAAGUUGUCACGCCAACGACUACUUCUACUUCUAUGACUAACGCGUUUAGCAAUAAAGUAAAGUAGUUUACAUGGCGUUCUUCAAUGACACGCAGGUCAUACAAUAAAUAAAGACAACUCCUAUGGCUCCUGCCGGUUGUCAUACUCAUCGACAUGCAAGUCGUGAAUCCUAUUACAAGAACAUGAUCAAUCUCAUACAUCACAUAUAUCAUUCAUCACAUCCUUUUGGCCAUAUCACAUCACAUAGCAUACCCUGCAAAAACAAGUUAGACGUCCUCUAAUUGUUGUUUGCAUGUUUUACGUGGCUGCUAUGGGUUUCUAGCAAGAACGUUUCUUACCUACGCAGAACCACAACGUGAUAUGCCAAUUGCUAUUUACCCUUCAUAAGGACCCUUUUCAUCGAAUCCGUUCCGACUAAAGUGGGAGAGACUGGCACCCGCUAGCCACCUUAUGCACCAAGUGCAUGUCAAUCGGUGGAACCUGUCUCACGUAAGAGUACGUGUAAGGUCGGUCCGGGCCGCUUCAUCCCACAAUACCGUCGAAACAAAAUUGGACUAGUAACGGUAAGCAUAUUGAACAACAUCAACGCCCACAACUACUUUGUGUUCUACUCGUGCAAAGAAUCUACGCAAUAGACCUAGCUCCGAUACCACUGUUGGGGAACGUAGCAGAAAUUCAAAAUUUUCCUACGUGUCACCAAGAUCUAUCUAUGGAGAGACCAGCAACGAGUAGAAAGAGAGUGCAUCUACAUACCCUUGUAGAUCGCUAAGCGGAAGCGUUCAAGUGAACGAGGUUGAUGAAGUCGUACUCGUCGUGAUUCAAAUCACCCAUGAUCAAGUGCCGAACGCACGGCACCUCCGCGUUCAACACACAUACAGCCCGGUGACGUCUCCCAAGCCUUGAUCCAGCAAGGAGAAAGGGAGAGGUUGAGGAAGACUCCAUCCAACAGCAGCACAACGGCGUGGUGGUGGUGGAGGAGCGUGGCAAUCCUGCAGGGCUUCGCCAAGCACCGCGAGAGAGGAGGAGCACUUGGGAGAGGGAGGGCUGCGCCAGAACUUCGUGUUAUCAGCUCCCAUGCGUCUCCCCACUAUAUAUAGGGGUGGAGGGGCUGGUUUCUUGCCCUCCAAGUCCAUUGGGGCGUUGGCCAAGGUGGGAGGAAAGAAAUCCCAUCAUUUCCUUCCCCACCGAUUGUUAUCCCCCCUUUUUAGGGAUCUUAAUCUUAUCCCUUCGGGAUAUGAUCUUAUUCCUUCUAAGGGGGGAUCUUGGUGCGCCUUGACCAGGGGUGUGGGGCCUUGCCCCCACUACCCACGUUCAUGUGGGUCCUCCCAUGCAGGUGGGCCCCACUCCGGAACCUUCUAGAACCUUCCCGGUACAAUACCGAAAAAUCCCGAACAUUUUCCGGUGGCCAAAAUAGGACUUCCCAUAUAUAAAUCUUUACCUCCGGACCAUUCUGGAACUCCUCGUGACGUCCGGGAUCUCAUCCGGGACUCCGAACAACAUUCGGUAACCACAUACAAGCUUCCUUUAUAACCCUAGUGUCGUGGUUCUAAGUCUGACAGUAGAGUGGGGGUAGGUAUGGAGAGGCAAGGUCCUAGCUAUGGAGAGGUUGCAAACACAAAGGAUGUACGAGUUCAGGCCCUUCUCGGAGGAAGUAAUAGCCCUACGUCUCGGAGCCCGGAGGCGGUCGAGUGGAUUAUGAGUAUAUGAGCUACAAGGUGCCGAACCCCUCUGCCUGUGGAGGGGGGUGGCUUAUAUAGAGUGCGCCAGGACCCCAGCCAGCCCACGUAGGAGAGGGUUUAAGGUGAGUUAAGUCUGGGGCGUUACUGGUAACGCCCCACAUAAAGUGCCUUUACUAUCAUAAAGUCUACUUGAUUACAGGCCGUUGCAGUGCAGAGUGCCUCUUGACCUCCUGGUGGUCGAGUGAGUCUUCGUGGUCGAGUCCUUCAGGCCAGUCGAGUGAGUCCUUGUUGGUCGACUGGAAGGCGACCUCUUCUAAGGAUGUCCUGGGGUAAGUUACUUGGAUCAGGUCCAUGACCCUACCCUAGGUACAUAACCCCAUCAUUAGCCCCCGAAUGGAUUGAGGCUUCGAGUGAAGAAGGAGUUGAUGUCGUUUCCGAUUAACCUUUGCGCUCUAGUUGUGCGCUGUUCUGGACCAAAGAAUCUCUUCGUCGACAGGGAGCAACUUGCCUUCAGUCGACUCGAUCCACUCUAUUUUUGCGUCGAGUGAUCUUUCAGGCUUCGACGAUCUCCGAGCGACGGAUCGCCGGAAACACCGCGUCUGACAGACUGAUUUGCUGUUCGCGGAUUCCGUGGGAUGCGAAAUUUGGGGACGCGCGCGAAGCGGGGCGGACCACGGCGUUCGGAUGGGAUGGGGCAUAGACGCCUCGAUCUCCGCGCCGCUUUUUUCGCCACGUAUCCCGUCUGCAUAACUGCUCCCAGAUAUGAUUAGAUCGACCGGGCCCACCUGUCAUCCACUCAGAAGGGACCUUAUAAAUGUGCCCGGUGAGGAUUUCUGUGCUGCGCCUUAGCAUUCUCCCCCUCUCUCUGCUUCCUUCUUCCCUACUCAGCGUGCUCGCUCUCGCCCCCGCACCACUUCCCUUCGCGCAUCUCGCCGGCGACCAUGGCCAAGGAGAAGACGGCGGCGCUGGAGCGUGCAAAGAAGGCGUCGGCGUCGGAGAAGGCAAAGGGGAGAUCCACCAGCCGCGGAGGGUCCUCGUCCAGAUCCCUCCUGCCGAAGGGCUGGGUCCAAGGAGACUGGAUCCAGUCGACCAUCACAGAGAAUGACCUCCUCGACAUGGCCAACGAGGGCUUGAUCCCCCACGGAGCUGCGAGGCUUCCGGGGAAGGAGUGGCAGCCCCAGCCAGAAGAGGGUGAGUGUGUGCUUUUGGCCACCCAUGUUGAUCGUGGGUUUUCCUUGCCGCCGAGUGUUUUCUUCCGUGGCUUCUUGAAUUUCUUUGGAGCGCAGCUCCACCAUUUUACCCCAAACUCCAUUGCCUAUCUUGCUGCGUUCGUGUCCAUGUGUGAGGGUUUCUUGGGCUGUCGACCGCACUGGGGUUUGUUCAAACAUAUAUUCACGUGUCGCUCUCAGACCGUGAAGAAGGCGAGCCCAGGUGAUGAGAGAACCCGAGUCGUCCAAAUGUGUGGGGGUCUGGGGAUCCAGGUGAGGAAUAAGAGCACCUUCCCACCCAUGACCUUUCCCGAGUCAGUCAGAGGCUGGCAGUCGACCUGGUUCUACUGCCGGGACCAGUCGACGCCGGGACAGUCGAGUGGACUCCCACAGUUUACCAUGGACCGAGUGAACAAGCCCUCCUCUCUGAAGUUGAUCCCGGAGGAGAAAGCUGAUGUGAAGAUGUUGAUGGAGCGCGUGGUGCAGUUGGUUCGGGAGGGAGUGACGGGCAUGGAUCUCCUGGAGGUCUUCCUCAGGCGUCGCAUCCAGCCCCUCCAGUUCCGGAGCCACUGCAUGUGGUUGUACUGUGGGACCGAAGACGAGACUAGAGUCCAUCCAGAAGUAGUCGACGAUGUCACUCUGGAAAGAUGGAUGGCAGCCGUCACCGGAAACAAGGACAACCCACGCGGAGCCAGAAGGAUUCCUCCACUCGACCACCACAGCGAUCCAAAUAAGGUACGUUUGCCCCGCUCUCCACUGCAUUUUUGUCGCAUUCGUUCUUGUUUAUCCUGCCGACUGGUCGACUGAUCCUUGUCUUGAUAUCUGCUAGGAUCUCACCGAGCUGUACUCGAUGCCCAAUGGGGCACAAACUCCGACUGAGGAGGGUGAGGCGAGCGGGGGUGAGAGCCAGGAAGAGGAGGAGUGGGACUUGGACGUUGCAGGGGACGACGACGACGACGAUGAUGACGACGGCGAUAACGAUGACGUUGAAGACGAGGAGGAAGAGGAGGAGGUCGUGCCACCGCGCUCGGAAAGGCGGUCGAAGCUCGUCCACGACCCUUCGACUGAACGUGGCAAGGGGGUUGCGACUGCUGCACAGUCGACCAAGCGCCCUCGGACCACCUCUCCAGCGCCGACUGAAAAGGCGCCGAAGCAGCCUAGGGGGGCUCCGUCAAAGCCGACCAAGCUCCUGCCGAAGAUGAAGGUGUCCAUCCCCACCAUAUCAGGGUAAUUGUGCUGCUUAAGUCUUCUUAUUCUGUGUGAACUUUGUCUCUGGUCGACACUGAAGUUUUAGUCGACUGAUAUUUUGGAGUUGCAGUGCUGCUACUUCUGAAACCUCUGCCCGGGCUGACGACCACGAGAUGGAGGACGUAGCAACUUCGAACCCAGGUACUGUGCACUCAACGUCAUUUUUAGUCGACUGAUUCGCGAUCUCUGAUCCUGAUUCUUCUUCGUAGCUCCACCCAAUACUGUUAUCAAUCUCCCUGAUGACGAUGAGGAUGAAGAACCACUGGCACGCAGGAGGAGUCGGAAAGCGUCCGCCAGUAAGGUACCUCAGGAUGUGACGGCGCCUGAGAUUCUGACUGUGGAGGAAGAGAACACCACUCGACACACGGUGUCCUUCGCAAAUCCGCUGAUGAGUGCUCAGCAACCCUCCCUCUUCGCGACGCACCACGUCCCAGAGGACCAAGAUGGCGCAGCGAAGGAGGCGAUACGCCAGGCGGGAAUCAUGAUGGAGCAGCUGAAGACCAUCCGGGACGCGAGCCAGGCAGCUUAUGACGCCAGUUCUGCCCUCCAAAGCAAUGUUCAGGUCAGUCGACCACCGUUUGUUCUGUUGGAUAUACUGCCACAAACUUUUCCUUUCCGGGAUUUAUAGUAGUCACCCACUGGGUGUUGUCGAUUGAGCUCCGUAUUAGUGGAGGCACGCUGAGUGCACCCGCUGGGUGUAGUCCCCAAGGCUAAGGUCGACUGCUGGCAGUCGGCCUUAGGCUUUAUAAUUUCAGUCUUUCUGUCAUUGGACCAAGUCGACUGGAUUUCGCAAACCGGUGGGGGCACGCUGAGUGCACCCACUGGGUGUAGUCCCCGAGACUGUGGUCGACUGCUUGCAGUUGAUCACAGUCUUAGAGAAUGCAUCUCGCACUUUUUUUUGAGGUCGACUAGUCGACUUUGUCUUCAACAGGAUUAGUGGGGGCACGCUGAGUGCACCCACUGGGUGUAGUCCCCGAGACUACGGUCGAAUGCUUGUAUUCAGCUGUAGUCUUAGAAACGUGUGUUUUUCCCUUUUUCACUCGGAAGUGAAAUAUAUUUGACAUUUAGUCGAUUGGUUCUUCGCAGAACUCUUGUGAUCUUGUGGCUCGCUACUCAGAGCUGGAACACAAGCAUACUCAAGUCGAGCUGAGCUUGAAGCUGGUUCAGGAGAAGCUGACAAAAGCAAAGGAGGAGACCGAAGGUAUGUUUGGUGAGAUCCUGACGACUGCUUUUCCCCUUGCUUGUUUCAAAAUCUGAUCUUGCUGUAACUUGCAGGUAAGGUAAGGGAGGCCCAACAGAAGAAAGACCUUGAGCUAGCUGAGAAGAUCAAGCUUGCUGACGAGAAGUUAGCUUCAGUCACCAAGCUUGAACAAGACAAUACCAAUCUGAAAGCUGCUCUUGGGAUUGCCAACAAGGAGAUCAGUCGACUGAAAACUGAUAAAGCUGCCCUGACCGACCAAGUCAGCAAAUUGACUGGGAAGAAAACUGAUCUGGAGGCCUUCCUGAGUGGACUUGCCAAGAAGCUGUUUCUUAUGCUUGAAGGUAAACCUCUAUGCUUGGCAGACGUUUCUAAUCGUGAUUUUUCCAUUCGACCAUCCCCUUGACUUAGUGAUCACCCUUGCAGAAUUUUGUCAAAAGUUUGAAGAAGAAACUAGCCGGCUGGAGCCAAACCUCGACCCCGUCAAUUCUCCGGUGAACGACGAAGUUGCCAUGGAAGUUUUCCGACUGGAGUCCCGUGUUGCAGCUGUCGUGGACUAUCUCGCAAAGCUGAAGGCCGCCACAUCGCGCAUCGACUCGACGCUCUGGCCCGAGGAGACACUUCAGAAUGACCUUGAGUCGCUGAUGGCCCGCUUGAACACGAUCCCUGGUCGAGUGCAGGAGUGGAAGAAGUCCUCGGCUCGGUGUGGUGUAGAUGUCGCUCUGUGUCUGGCCCGAGUCCACUGCAAAGAUGCGCGAGAGGAGAAGCUGGCGGCCCUUCGGGUGGCCAAUACCAAGAAGCACGACUUCAGGUCCUUUAUGGAAACUUUCCUUGCAGCUGCCACUCAGAUUGCCGACGGAAUUGACCUUGAUGAAUUUGUUGCACCUUCCAGCCCUCCACAGGAGGGGUAAAAAACUUCUUCUGGCUCGACGCUUUAAAUUUGCCUCGGUAUGCCGAGUGGAAUUGUAACCGACAAACCUUAACGGGCUUGACGCCUGAGCACUUUCGGUUCCUUUAGAUGUCGAUUCAAACUUGAAUUUGGUGCUUGAAUACGAUUGCCUUCGGCUCGAAAUGUCUUUUGCAGGUUCAAAGCAAGGCGCCUUUACUGCAAUCGACUUAUUCUUUAGUCUACUUAGGCGAGCACUGGGCUGCGGCUAAGCCCCCGAGUGAGAGGUUUUACUCUUCACUCGGUAGGAUUUUGAUAACUUAGGCGAGUGCUUGGACUGCAGCUAAGUCCCCGAGUGAGAGGGUUGCUCUCCACUCGGCAGGAUUUCUAUAACUUAGGCGAGCACAGGGCUGCAGCUAAGCCUCUGAGUGAGAGGGUUGCUCCUCACUCGGUAGGAUUUUUAUAACUUAGGCGAGUGCUUGGACUGCAGCUAAGCCCCCGAGUGAGAGGGUUGCUCUUCACUCGGUAGGAUUUUGAUAAACUUAGGCGAGUGCUUGGACUGCAGCUAAGCCUCCGAGUGGAAGGCUGGCUUACCACUCGGUAGGAUUUUGAUAAACUUAGGCGAGUCUUUGGACUGCAGCUAAGCCUCCGAGUGGGAGUCUGGCUCACCACUCGGUAGGAUUUUGAUAAACUUAGGCGAGUCUUUGGACUGCAGCUAAGCCUCCGAGUGGGAGUCCGGCUCACCACUCGGUAGGAUUUUGAUAAACUUAGGUGAAACGGAUUCGCGGCUAAGCCUCCGAGUGGGAGUCUGGCUCACCACUCGGUAGGAUUUUUACAAACUUAGGCGAAACAGAUUCGCAGCUAAGUCACCCACUGAGGGGGAAUUUUAUGUGGACAAAAAUAAAAAGUGACAGAAAUUAUGGAGGGACUAUGACACUAUUAUUUUGAGGUCCAUGAACUACAAAAGUACUUUAUUGCAACUCAUCCGAGUGAUAAAACUUAAGUGUAGAAUGGGCGGAGUAGCUCCGCGUUCCAAGCUCGGGGCUCGUCGAUAUUAUGCUCGACGUUGUAAAGACGGUACGCCCCAUUGUGGAGGACCUUGGUGACGAUGAAGGGGCCUUCCCAAGAAGGAGCAAGCUUGUGUGGUUUGUGCUGAUCCACUCGGAGAACCAAAUCCCCUUCCUGGAAGGCUCGACCUCUCACAGUUCUGGCAUGGAAACGGCGCAAAUCUUGUUGGUAGAUGGUCGACCGGAUCAGAGCCAUCUCCCUUUCUUCCUCUAAAAGGUCGACUGCGUCCUGCCGCGCUUGUUCAUCCUCUGCUUCGUUGUAGAUUUCAACUCGGGGAGCAUUAUGGAGAAGAUCACUCGGCAAGACUGCUUCAGCUCCGUAGACCAAGAAGAAUGGAGUUCUUCCGGUCGACCGAUUAGGUGUGGUCCGCAGUCCCCAGAGUACAGAGGGAAGUUCGUCGACCCAAGCUCCAGCCGCGUGUUUGAGAUCACGCAUCAGUCGAGGCUUCAAUCCCUUAAGAAUCAGUCCAUUAGCUCGCUCUGCUUGUCCAUUCGACUGCGGAUGGGCGACUGAUGCGUAGUCGACCCGUGUGCCCUGGGAGUCGCAGAAAGCUCUGAAUUCCUCUGAGUCAAAGUUCGACCCAUUAUCCGUAAUGAUGCUGUGCGGGACUCCAUAUCUGAAUAUUAGUUCCCUGAUGAAGCUAACAGCAGUACCGGUGUCAAGGCUCUUGAUUGGUUUAGCCUCGAUCCACUUGGUGAACUUGUCGACUGCCACCAGUACAUGCGUGAAGCCACUUCGUCCUGUUCUCAAAGGGCCGACCAUGUCCAAUCCCCAUACUGCGAAAGGCCAGACGAGUGGGAUGGUCUUCAGAGCUGACGCAGGCUUGUGUGACAUAUUCGAGUAGAAUUGACAUCCCUCACACUUAUCCACUAUCUCUUUUGCCAUCUCAUUCGCCUUUGGCCAGUAAAAUCCGGCUCGGUAUGCUUUGGCCACGAUGGUCCGAGAGGACGCAUGAUGACCACAGGUCCCCGAGUGAAUAUCAUUGAGGAUGAGUCGACCUUCUUCUGGUGUUAUGCAUUUCUGACCAACUCCAGUCGCGCUUUCUCUGUAUAAUUGUCCUUUGAUUACGGUAAAGGCCUUAGAUCGACGGACGAUCUAUCGAGCCUCUUCCUCAUCCUCCGGAAGCUCUUUUCUCAGGAUAUAUGCGACAUACGGAAUCGUCCAGUCGGGAAUGACCACCAAAACCUCCAUGAUCAAGUCGACCACCGCUGGGACUUCAACUUCAGUCGGAUCUGUGGCACUCUUGGGCUGCGUAGUUUCUUCGGUGAAAGGAUCUUCUUUGACUGACGGAGUGUGUAUAUGCUCCAAGAACACACCACUCGGAAUGGCUUCUCUCUUGGAACCUAUCUUUGCUAGAUCAUCAGCUGCUUGAUUUUUCAGUCGGGGUAUAUGAUGGAGCUCCAACCCCUCGAACUUCUUUUCCAGCUUCCUCACUGCACUGCAGUAUCCAGUCAUGGCUGGGCUUCUCACGUCCCACUCUUUCAUCACCUGAUUGACCACUAAAUCCGAGUCGCCAUAGACCAUUAGGCGACGGACGCCGAGUGAAAUGGCCAUGCGCAACCCAUAUAAGAGGGCCUCAUAUUCUGCCUCAUUGUUGGAGGAAUCAAAGUGAAUCUGGAGCACAUAUCUGAGCUUAUCUCCUCUGGGGGAAACCAGGACAACCCCAGCACCGGAACCAUUCAACAUCUUAGAGCCAUCAAAGAACAUGGUCCAAUGCUCCGAGUGAACUUCAGUCGGCUGCUGCUGUUCAAUCCACUCGGCGAGGAAAUCUGCUAUUGCCUGGGACUUAAUGGCUUUCUUUGCCUCAAACUUGAUAUCAAGGGGAAGAAGUUCAAUCGCCCAUUUGGCCACUCGACCAGUUGCAUCUCUGUUGUGCAAAAUCUCUGAUAGUGGAGCGUCGCUGACGACUGUGAUGGAAUGGUCAGAGAAAUAAUGAGCAACCUUCUUUGUGGUCAUGUAUAUUCCAUACACAAGCUUCUGAUAAUGAGGAUAUCUCUGCUUGGAUGGAGUCAAGACUUCAGACAAAUAAUACACUGGGCGCUGAACUUUGAGAGCUUUUCCUUCUUCUUCCCGCUCGAUCGUUAGCACAGUACUGACGACUUGUCCUGUGGCUGCGAUGUAGAGCAACAGAGGCUCUUUGCUGAUUGGAGCAGCAAGCACCGGCUGGGUGGAGAGCAGAGCUUUUAGCUCGGCAAACGCUGCAUCAGCUUCUAGAGUCCACUCGAACUUGUCUGCCUUCUUCAUCAGUCGGUAAAGAGGCAAUGCCUUUUCACCGAGUCGUGAGAUGAAUCGACUUAAUGCGGCCAAGCAUCCAGUAAGCUUCUGGACAUCGUGCACUCGCACAGGGCGUUUCAUUCGGAGAAUAGUUCCAAUCUUCUCUGGGUUAGCGUCGAUUCCCCGUUCGGAAACGAGAAAACCGAGUAACUUGCCACCAGGAACUCCAAAUGUGCACUUUGAUGGAUUGAGCUUGAUAUCAUACCUUCUGAGGUUGGCAAAUGUUUUGGCGAGAUCAGCGAGCAGGUCGGAACCUUUUCGUGACUUGACAACGAUAUCAUCCAUAUAUGCUUCCACAUUCCGACUGAUUUGAGUGAGUAGACACUUCUGAAUCAUUCGCAUAAAUGUGGCUCCGGCAUUCUUGAGGCCGAAUGGCAUGGUGAUAUAGCAGAAGCACCCGAAUGGAGUGAUGAAAGUUGUUUUUACCUCGUCGGGCCCGUACAGACGGAUCUGGUGGUACCCGGAGUAAGCAUCUAAAAAAGAUAACCUCUCGCAUCCCGCGGUCGAGUCAACAAUUUGAUCUAUGCGAGGGAGAGGAAAGUGAUCUUUCGGGCAGGCCCGGUUGAUGUGCUUGAAAUCAAUGCACAUUCGGAGCGACUUGUCCUUCUUAGGAACCAUGACGACAUUAGCGAGCCACUCGGAGUGGUAUAUCUCUCGGAUAAAUCCUGCCGCCAACAGUCGAGCCACUUCUUCACCAAUGGCUUUUCUCUUCUGGACGGCGGACCGCCGAAGAUGCUCUUUGACUGGUUUGGCAGAGGCGUCGACUCUUAGGCGAUGCUCAGCCAGUCCCCUGGGAACACCUGGCAUGUCAGCGGGCUUCCAUGCAAAAAUGUCCCAGUUCUCACGGAGGAACUGGAUGAGCGCUUCUUCCUAUUUUGGGUCGAGUGUUGUGGAGAUGCGGGUCGGAGCGGCUUCGGGGUCGGUCGGAUGAAUGUGAACAGGCUUCGUCUCACCGGAUGACUGGAAAGCAGACUCUGUGGCGGGCUUCUUAGAUCGCAGCAAGUCACUCGGAUCUGCGUUUUGCUUGUACUCCUCGAACUCGACCGCUGUCACUUGGGAAUCGGCAAUCUUGGAGCCCUUCUGAAAGCACUCUUCUGCCUUUUUCCUAUCACCGGUGACAGUGAUCACUCCUUUGGGGCCGGGCAUCUUCAAUUUGAGGUACACGUAACAUGGUCGAGCCAUGAACCGUGCAUAAGCUGGUCUCCCCAAAAUGGCAUGAUAUGCACUCUGAAAAUCCACGACCUCAAACGUCAACUUUUCUUUGCGAAAAUGCUUCGAAUCACCAAACACUACGUCCAAAGCAAUCUGGCCGAGUGACUCGGCCUUCUUCCCUGGUAUAACUCCAUGAAAGCUCAUGUUACUAGUGCUCAGUCGGGACAUCGGAAUGCCCAUACCUUUCAGUGUGUCUGCAUAUAAUAAGUUCAGCCCACUUCCACCAUCCAUCAGCACCUUUGUCAGUCGAGUGCCUUCGACAACUGGAUCGACCACCAAAGCUUGCCUCCCAGGGGUGGCAAUAUGAGUCGGGUGAUCAGAUUGGUCGAAUGUUAUGGGUGUUUGAGACCACUUCAGAUAAUUUGCUUUUGCUGGGGCAACCAUGUUCACCUCUCGGUUAAUCACUUUCAGUCGACUUCUGCUUUCCACAUCUGCAAAGAUCAUCAGAGUGGAAUUAAUAUGCGGAUAUCCUCCCUCACUGUCCUCCUUGUCUCCGGCCUUGUCCGACUCCUUCUCCUUGUCCUUAGACUAUUUUCCCUGAAACUGCUGGAUCAGGAGUCGACAUUGGCGAGUGGUGUGCUUCGGGUAGAUGAUAUUCCCCUCUUCGUCUUUCUUCGUAUGGAUGUGACAGGGCAUAUCCAUUACGUCGUUCCCUUCUUUAUCCUUUACCUUCUUGGGGUUCCAGGAUCCUUUUAGUUUCCCCUUAAACUUUCCCUGAGUCACGGCCAGAGCCUCUCCAGGAGCUGCCAGUUCAGCCUUCCGCUUCUGUUUCCGACUGGUGUUUCCUUUUUCCGACUGACUCGGCUUGUGUUUGCCGCUUCGGAGUCGGUCUUCUUCUUCGCCGUUGGCGUACUUGGUAGCAAUCUCCAUCAUCUGACUCAAGGUCAUGUCACCGGUUCGACCAAACUUCAAACUCACUUCUCUGUUCUUGACGCCAUCUUUGAAGGCGCAGACUGCCUGAUGAUCAGACACAUUCUCCACAGUGUGGUGCAAAGUGAUCCACCUCUGAAUAUACUCUCUGAGAGUCUCAUCAGCCUUCUGCACGCAGACUUGCAACUCUGUCAAUCCAGCUGGUCGCUUGCAAGUUCCUUCAAACGUUCUGACGAACACUCGGGACAGAUCUUCCCAAGUGUAAAUGCUGCUAGGAGGUAAUUGAGUCAACCAUGCCCUGGCAGAACCUUCCAGCAUGAGAGGCAAGUGCUUCAUGGCCACCUCGUCGUUCCCACCACCGAUCUGAACUGCCACUCGGUAGUCUUCAAGCCAAGUUUCAGGCUUAGACUCACCAGUGAACUUGCUGACUCCUGUCGCCAACCUGAAAUUGGGAGGGAUAACUGCGGCUCUGAUAGCUCUGCUGAAGCAUUCAGGACCAGAAACAUGCAUUCGACUGCUUGUGGGUACAUCUCUAUCAAGUCCACCUCGAUGGGCUCUGUUCCGGUCAACCAACCCUUGUACGAUAAUGGAUCGCGCGUCGAAGCCUGGUUCUCUGGGGUCGACUGGAAUCCUUCGCCCUGAACUGUACUGACGCCUGUCAUCUGGCUGCCGAGGAGCGUAAGACCCACCCCUCGGAGGGGAAUUGGGCACUCGACGCCUGUCAUCUCGGUCGAGUCUGUCGUCAUAUUGAUCUCGCCGAUUCCCGCGCCCUUCACGCCGCGGAGGCGAUCGGGGGCUGUGCGCCGACUGAACCGUAUUCACAGUGACGGAUCGACUGUGAAUUCUGUUGCGCGACUGAGACACGGCUGAAUUCUGAUCUCCUGCUUCCCGGAGCAAAUCCCUGAUCUGCAGCAAACCUCUGCCAGCUUCCGACUGCGAGGGCUGGAUGGACACCGCUAUACGGGUCGCAGCUGCUAAAUUCUGAAUUGGGGUUCGAUAUACCUGAGUCGGCGGGAAGAGUUGACGUCGACUGGUGUCGGGUAUUCGUUGCCGCGCGCGCUCGUCGAGUGCUCGCUGAAGGUUCUCCAGCCGAGUGCGCUCGGCCAAAUUAGCCAGACGCGCCUCCUCCAAGGCACGAGCCUCGGGGGUUUCUCCUACGAUGGGAGUAUGCAGGGCAUCCACGUUCCUGCGGCGAAGUUCCUCUCUUUGCAGAGAGUCGAGUGGCUCGGGCUGGUACUCUUCGUAGCCUCGUGCGGGGUCGUCUCCGUCACCUGCUCCACCGUCAUGGGCGAAGCCAGGGGGACCGCGGGGCUCGUCGACCAUCAAGAUUUCUGCCGCUGGAUCACUGCUACCGCACUCGGAUGCAGUCUCUAUGGUGCCAGUCGAUAGGUCGAACAAGCCGUAGAGAUAUUCGUCGGGCUCGAUUGCCGCGACUUGAGUGGUGGCUGAUUGGCGAGCCACCGCGUGCCUCACCCAUCGCUGAAGCCUCGACUGGCCCGAGCGCUUGCGCUGGCGGGAGACCGGGAGGGUGGACGAUGGAGGAGCCGUCCGAUACUGGGUCGACGGUUGCCGCAGCAGAACGCCGCAGACACAUGCGCGAAAAUGCGUCGCACCGCGGACGGGGAGCGCAUCUACGUCGAGUGGAGCCUCCUGGAGCCAUGCUGAGUCGUCGGCGAUGAAGGUGAGAGUGCCGAGACGGAUCUCUUGACCCUCGACCAAAACUCCAGCAGGCACCAUGAUGAAAGUACUCGGAAGAAUCGCAACUUCUCCACAAAAUUGCUAAAACACCUGCCCCAUGGUGGGCGCCAACUGUCGUGGUUCUAAGCCUGACAGUAGAGUGGGGGGUAGGUAUGGAGAGGCAAGGUCCUAGCUAUGGAGAGGUUGCAAACACAAAGGAUGUACGAGUUCAGGCCCUUCUCGGAGGAAGUAAUAGCCCUACGUCUCGGAGCCCGGAGGCGGUCGAGUGGAUUAUGAGUAUAUGAGCUACAAGGUGCCGAACCCCUCUGCCUGUGGAGGGGGUGGCUUAUCUAGAGUGCGCCAGGACCCCAGCCAGCCCACGUAGGAGAGGGUUUAAGGUGAGUUAAGUCUGGGGCGUUACUGGUAACGCCCCACAUAAAGUGCCUUUACUAUCAUAAAGUCUACUUGAUUACAGGCCGUUGCAGUGCAGAGUGCCUCUUGACCUCCUGGUGGUCGAGUGAGUCUUCGUGGUCGAGUCCUUCAGGCCAGUCGAGUGAGUCCUCGUUGGUCGACUGGAAGGCGACCUCUUCUAAGGAUGUCCUGGGGUAAGUUACUUGGAUCAGGUCCAUGACCCUACCCUAGGUACAUAACCCCAUCACCUAGCGUCAUCGAACCUUAAGUGUGUAGACCCUACGGGUUCGGGAGACAUGUAGACAUGACCGAGACGUUCUCCGGUCAAUAACCAACAGCGGGAUAUGGAUACCCAUGAUGGCUCCCACAUGUUCCACGAUGAUAUCAUCGGAUGAACCACGAUGUCAAGGACUUAAUCAAUCCCGUAUUCAAUUCCCUUUGUCUAUCGGUAUGUUACUUGCCCGAGAUUCGAUCGUCGGUAUCCAAUACCUUGUUCAAUCUCGUUACCGGCAAGUCACUUUACUCGUUCCGUAACACAUCAUCCCGUGAUCAACUCCUUGGUCACAUUGCGCAUAUGAUGAUGUCCUACCGAGUGGGCCCAGAGAUACCUCUCCGUUUACACGGAGUGACAAAUCCCAGUCUCGAUCCGCAUAAAACAAUAGAUACUUUCGGAGAUACCUGUAGUGCACCUUUAUAGUCACCCAGUUAUGUUGUGACGUUUGAUACACCCAAAGCACUCCUACGGUAUCCAGGAGUUACACGCUCUCAUGGUCAAAGGAAGAGAUACUUGACAUUGGCAAAGCUCUAGCAAACGAACUACACGAUCUUUGUGCUAUGCUCAGGAUUGGGUCUUGUCCAUCACAUCAUUCUCCUAAUGAUGUGAUCCCGUUAUCAACGACAUCCAAUGUCCAUAGCCAGGAAACCAUGACUAUCUGUUGAUCACAACGAGCUAGUCAACUAGAGGCUCACUAGGGACAUAUUGUGGUCUAUGUAUUCACACGUGUAUUACGAUUUCCGGAUAAUACAGUUAUAGCAUGAAUAAAAGACAAUUAUCAUGAACAAGGAAAUAUAAUAAUAAUACUUUUAUUAUUGCCUCUAGGGCAUAUUUCCAACAUAAAAUACAAUUGUGAAUAUUGUUUACGUAUGUCAAAUUGUUUGUCAGAGAAGCCCCGCUCAGAGGUCGAGUGGCGAAUGAACUCGCAAAGAUAGUAUCCACAUAAAUUAUUCCGGCCUGCCUGCCAUAAGCACUUUACGAGAAUAGAGUUCAAUCAAACUGACAAUCAAGCAUGAUAACGGUAUUGAUGAAACCAGAAUCAAUGAGAGAUGUGAGGAACUAGCUAGUACUACUUAAUUUGGUGUGUGUAAAUCGCAGCUCGUUCUUCAGGCUCGGAACCAUUCCUAUGAACUCUUUCCAAACCUUGCCAGGCAAAGAAAAUGAUUACUUGAUAUCAGGAAAUGAACGAAAGUAGCCGAUAUGGUGCAAUGUGUUGGAAAUAUGCCCUAGAGGCAAUAAUAAAAGCAUUAUUAUUAUAUUUCCUUGUUCAUGAUAAUUGUCUUUAUUCAUGCUAUAAUUGUGUUAUCCGGAAAUCGUAAUGCAUGUGUGAAUAACAGACACCAACAUGUCCCUAGUGAGCCUCUAGUUGACUAGCUCGUUGAUCAACAGAUAGUCAUGGUUUCCUGACUAUGGACACUGGAUGUCAUUGAUAACGAGAUCACAUCAUUGGGAGAAUGAUGUGAUGGACGAGACCCAAUCCUAAACAUAGCACAAGAUCGUAUAGUUCGUUUGCUAGAGUUUUGCAAUGUCAAAGUAUCUUUUCCUUAGACCAUGAGAUCGUGUAACUCCCGGAUACCGUAGGAGUGCUUUGGGUAUGCCAAACGUCACAACGUAACUGGGUGACUAUAAAGGUAGACUACGGGUAUCUCCGAAAGUGUCUGUUGGGUGACAUGGAUCAAGACUGGGAUUUGUCACUCCGUAUGACGGAGAGGUAUCACUGGGCCCACUCGGUAAUGCAUCAUCAUAAUGAGCUCAGAGUGACCAAGUGUCUGGUCACGGGAUCAUGCAUUACGGCACGAGUAAAGUGACUUGCCGGUAACGAGAUUGAACGAGGUAUUGGGAUACCGACGAUCGAAUCUCGGGCAAGUAACAUAUCGAUAGACAAAGGGAAUAGCGUACGGGGUUGAUUGAAUCCUCGACAUCGUGGUUCAUCCGAUGAGAUCAUCGUGGAGCAUGUGGGAGCCAACAUGGGUAUCCAGAUCCCGCUGUUGGUUAUUGACCGGAGAGUCGUCUCGGUCAUGUCUGCUUGUCUCCCGAACCCGUAGGGUCUACACACUUAAGGUUCAGUUACGCUAGGGUUGUAGGGAUAUGUAUAUGCAGUAACCCGAAUGUUGUUCGGAGUCCCGGAUGAGAUCCCGGACGUCACGAGGAGUUCCGGAAUGGUCCGGAGGUAAAGAUUUAUAUAUGGGAAGUCUUGUUUCGGCCAUCGGGACAAGUUUCGGGGUUAUCGGUAUUGUACCGGGACCACCGGAAGGGUCCCGGGGGUCCACCGGGUGGGUCCACCUGUCCCGGGGGGCCACAUGGGCUGUAAGGGGGUGCGCCUUGGCCUAAUGGGCCAAGGGCACCAGCCCCACAUAGGCCCAUGCGCCUAGGGUUUAAGGGGGAAAGAGUCCUAGGAGGGUAAGGCACCUCCUAGGUGCCUUGGGGGGGAGGAAAACCCCCCCUAGGCCGCCGCACCCCCUAGGAGAUUGGAUCUCCUAGGGCCGGCCACCCCCCCCUUGGCACCCCUAUAUAUAGUGGGGGAGAGGAGGGACUUCAUACCUGAACGCCUCGGCCUUUGGUUGCCUCCUUCUCCCUCCCCAACACCUCCUCAACCUCCAUAGUGCUUAGCGAAGCUCUGCCGGAGUACUGCAGCUCCAUCAACACCACGCCGUCGUGCUGCUGCUGGUGCCAUCUCCCUCAACCUCUCCUCCCUCCCUUGCUGGAUCAAGAAGGAGGAGACGUGGCUGUUCCAUACGUGUGUUGAACGCGGAGGUGCCGUCCGUUCGGCGCUGGUCAUCGGUGAUUUGGAUCACGUCGAGUACGACUACAUCAUCACCGUUCUUUUGAACGCUUCCGUUCGCGAUCUACAAAGGUAUGUAGAUGCAUCUAAUCACUCGUUACUAGAUGAACUCCUAGAUGAUCUUGGUGAAACGAGUAGGAAAAUUUUGUUUUCUGCAACGUUACCCAACAGUGGCAUCAUGAGCUAGGUCUAUGCGUAGUUCUUCUUGCGCGAGUAGAACACAAUUUGUUGUGGGCGUAGAUUUGUCAACUUUCUUGCCGUUACUAGUCCUUUCUUGCUUCAGCGGUAUUGUGGGAUGAAGCGGCCCGGACCAACCUUACACGUACGCUUACGUGAGACCGGUUCCACCGACUAACAUGCACUAGUUGCAUAAGGUGGCUGGCGGGUGUCUGUCUCUCCUACUUUAGUUGGAGCGGAAUCGAUGAACAGGGUCCUUAUGAAGGGUAAAUAGAAGUUGACAAAUCACGUUGUGGCUUUAACGUAGGUAAGAAAACGUUCUUGCUAGAACCCUAAUUCAGCCACGUAAAACUUGCAACAACAAUUAGAGGACGUCUAACUUGUUUUUGCAGCAAGUGGUUUGUGAUAUGAUAUGGCCAAAGUUGUGAUGAAUGAUGAAUGAUCUAUAUGUGAUGUAUGAGAUGUUCAUGCUAUUGUAAUAGGAUUCACGACUUGCAUGUCGAUGAGUAUGACAACCGGCAGGAGCCAUAGGAGUUGUCUUUAUUCUUUUAUAUGACCUGCGUGUCAUCAAGAAACGCCAUGUAAAUUACUUUACUUUAUUGCUAAACGCGUUAGCCAUAGUAGUAGAAGUAAUAGUUGGCGAGCAACUUCAUGGAGACACGAUGAUGGAGAUCAUGAUGAUGGAGAUCAUGGUGUCAAGCCGGUGACAAGUUGAUCAUGGAGCCCCAAGAUGGAGAUCAAAGGAGCUAUGUGAUAUUGGCCAUAUCAUGUCACGUUUAUUAUUUGAUUGCAUGUGAUGUUUAUCAUGUUUUGCAUCUUGUUUACUUAGAACGACGGUAGUAAAUAAGAUGAUCCCUCACAAUAAUUUCAAGAAGUGUUCCCCCUAACUGUGCACCGUUGCGACAGUUCGCUAUUUCAAAACACCACGUGAUGAUCGGGUGUUUUAUUCAGACAUUCACAUACAACGGGUGUAAGACAGAUUUACACAUGCAAACACUUAGGUUGACUUGACGAGCCUAGCAUGUACAGACAUGGCCUCGGAACACAAAAGACCGAAAGGUCGAGCAUGAGUCGUAUAGAAGAUACGAUCAACAUGAAGAUGUUCACCGAUGUUGACUAGUCCGUCUCACGUGAUGAUCGGACACGGUCUAGUUUAACUCGGAUCAUGUAAUACUUAGAUGACCAGAGGGAUGUCUAAUCUAAGUGGGAGUUCACUAAUAAUUUGAUUAGUUGAACUUAAUUAUCAUGAACUUAGUCUAAAAUCUUUGCAAUAUGUCUUGUAGAUCAAAUGGCCAACGUAGUCCUCAACUUCAACGCGUUCCUAGAGAAAACUAAGCUGAAAGACGAUGGCAGCAACUAUACGGACUGGUCCGGAACCUGAGGAUCAUCCUCAUAGCUGCCAAGAAAGAUUAUGUCCUACAAGCACCGCUUGGUGACGCACCCGUUCUCCCUGCAGAACAAGAUGUUAUGAACGCUUGGCAGGCACGUUUCGAUGACUACUCCCUCGUUCAGUGCGGCAUGCUUUACAGCCUAGAGCCGGGGCUCCAAAAGCGUUUUGAGAGACAUGGAGCAUAUGAGAUGUUCGAAGAGCUGAAAAUGGUUUUCCAAGCUCAUGCCCGGGUCGAGAGAUAUGAAGUCUCCGACAAAUUCUUUAGCUGUAAGAUGGAGGAAAACAGUUCUGUCAGUAAGCACAUACUCACUAUGUCUGGGUUGCAUAACCGCUUGACUCAGCUGGGAGUUAAUGUCCCGGAUGAUGCGGUCAUUGACAGAAUCCUCCAGUCGCUUCCACCAAGCUACAAGAGCUUUGUGAUGAACUUCAAUAUGCAGGGGAUGGAAAAGACCAUUCCUGAAGUAUUUGCUAUGCUGAAAUCAGCAGAGGUAGAAGUCAGAAAGGAACAUCAAGUGUUGAUGGUCAAUAAAACCACUAAGUUCAAGAAAGGCAAGGGUAAAAAGAACUUCAAGAAGGACGGCAAGGAGGUUGCCGCGCCCGGCAAGCAAGCUGCUGGGAAGAAGCCAAAGAAUGGACCCAAGCCCGAGACUGAGUGCUUUUAUUGCAAGGGAAGCGGUCACUGGAAGCGGAACUGCCCUAAGUACUUAGCGGAUAAGAAGGCCGACAAAACAAAAGGUAUAUGUGAUAUACAUGUAAUUGAUGUGUACCUUACUAGUGCCCGUAGUAGCUCCUGGGUAUUUGAUACCGGUGCAGUUGCUCACAUUUGUAACUCAAAGCAAGGGCUGCGGAAUAAGCGGAAACUGGCAAAGGACGAGGUGACGAUGCGCGUCGGGAAUGGUUCCAAGGUCAAUGUGAUCGCCGUCGGCACGCUACCUCUGCAUCUCCCUUCGGGAUUAGUUUUAAACCUUAAUAAUUGUUAUUUAGUGCCAGCUUUGAGCAUGAACAUUGUAUCGGGAUCUCGUUUAAUUCGAGAUGGCUACUCUUUUAAAUCUGAGAAUAAUGGUUGUUCCAUUUUUAUGAGAGAUAUGUUUUAUGGUCAUGCUCCUAUGGUGAAUGGUUUAUUCCUUAUGAAUCUCGAACGUGAUGCUACACAUAUUCAUAAUGUGAGUACCAAAAGAAGUAAGGUUGAUAAUGAUAGUCCCACAUACUUGUGGCACUGCCGCCUUGGUCACAUAGGUGUUAAACCCAUGAAGAAGCUCCAUGCUGAUGGACUUUUAGAGUCUCUUGAUUAUGAAUCAUUUGACACGUGCGAACCAUGCCUUAUGGGUAAAAUGACCAAGACUCCAUUCUCAGGAACAAUGGAGCGAGCAACCGACUUAUUGGAAAUCAUACAUACUGAUGUGUGCGGUCCGAUGAGUGUUGAGGCUCGCGGUGGCUAUCGUUAUGUUCUCACCCUCACUGAUGAUUUAAGUAGGUAUGGGUAUAUCUACUUAAUGAAACACAAGUCUGAAACCUUUGAAAAGUUCAAGGAAUUUUAGAGUGAGGUUGAAAAUCAACGUGACAGGAAAAUCAAGUUUCUACGAUCAGAUCGUGGAGGAGAAUACUUGAGUCACGAGUUUGGGGCACACUUAAGAAAAUGUGGAAUAGUUUCACAACUCACGCCGCCUGGAACACCUCAGCGUAAUGGUGUGUCCGAACGUCGUAAUCGCACUCUGUUAGAUAUGGUGCGAUCUAUGAUGUCUCUUACCGAUUUACCGCUUUCUUUUUGGGGCUAUGCUUUAGAGACUGCCGCAUUCACUUUAAAUAGGGCUCCGUCGAAAUCCGUUGAGACGACACCGUAUGAAUUAUGGUUUGGGAAGAAACCUAAGCUGUCGUUUCUAAAAGUUUGGGGAUGCGAUGCUUAUGUCAAGAAACUUCAACCUGAAAAGCUCGAACCCAAAUCGGAAAAAUGCGUGUUCAUAGGGUACCCAAAAGAAACUAUUGGGUACACCUUCUACCUCAGAUCCGAAGGCAAGAUCUUUGUUGCCAAGAAUGGGUCCUUUCUGGAGAAAGAGUUUCUCUCGAAAGAAGUAAGUGGGAGGAAAGUAGAGCUUGAUGAAGUAUUGCCUCUUGAACCGGAAAAUGGCGCAACUCAAGAAAAUGUUCCUGAGGUGCCUGCACCGACUAGAGAGGAAGUUAAUGAAAAUGGUCAAGAUACUUCUGAUCAAGCCCCUACUGAAAUCCGAAGGUCCACAAGGACACGUUCCGCACUAGAGUGGUACGGCAACCCUGUCUUGGAAAUCAUGUUGUUAGACAACGGUGAACCUUCGAACUAUGAAGAAGCGAUGGCGGGACCGGAUUCCGACAAAUGGCUGGAAGCCAUGAAAUCCGAGAUAGGAUCCAUGUAUGAAAACAAAGUAUGGACUUUGACUGACUUGCCCGUUGAGCGGCGAGCCAUAGAAAAUAAAUGGAUCUUUAAGAGGAAGACAGACGCGGAUGGUAAUGUGACCAUCUAUAAAGCUCGGCUUGUCGCUAAGGGUUAUCGACAAGUUCAAGGGGUUGACUACGAUGAGACUUUCUCACCGGUAGCGAAGCUGAAGUCCGUCCGAAUCAUGUUAGCAAUUGCCGCAUUCUAUGAUUACGAAAUAUGGCAAAUGGACGUCAAAACGGCAUUCCUUAAUGGUUUCCUUAAGGAAGAAUUGUAUAUGAUGCAGCCGGAAGGUUUUGUCGAUCCUAAGAAUGCUGACAAAGUGUGCAAGCUCCAACGCUCGAUUUAUGGGCUGGUGCAAGCAUCUCGGAGUUGGAACAUUCGCUUUGAUGAAAUGAUCAAAGCGUUUGGGUUUACACAGACUUAUGGAGAAGCCUGCGUUUACAAGAAAGUGAGUGGGAGCUCUGUAGCAUUUCUCAUAUUAUAUGUAGAUGACAUACUUUUGAUGGGAAAUGAUAUAGAACUCUUGGACAGCAUCAAGGCCUACUUGAAUAAAAGUUUUUCAAUGAAGGACCUUGGAGAAGCUGCUUAUAUAUUAGGCAUCAAAAUCUAUAGAGAUAGAUCGAGAUGCCUCAUAGGUCUUUCACAAAGCACAUACCUUGAUAAGAUAUUGAAGAAGUUCAAUAUGGAUCAAUCCAAGAAGGGGUUCUUGCCUGUGUUGCAAGGUAUGAAAUUGAGCUCAGCUCAAUGUCCGACCACGGCAGAAGAUAUAGAAGAGAUGAGCGUCAUCCCCUAUGCCUCAGCCAUAGGUUCUAUUAUGUAUGCCAUGCUGUGUACCAGACCUGAUGUAAACCUUGCCGUAAGUUUGGUAGGAAGGUACCAAAGUAAUCCCGGCAAGGAACACUGGACAGCGGUCAAGAAUAUCCUGAAGUACCUGAAAAGGACUAAGGAAAUGUUUCUCGUUUAUGGAGGUGACGAAGAGCUCAUCGUAAAGGGUUACGUCGACGCUAGCUUUGACACAGAUCUGGAUGACUCUAAGUCACAAACCGGAUACGUGUAUAUUUUGAAUGGUGGGCAGUAAGCUGGUGCAGUUGCAAGCAAAGCGUCGUGGCGGGAUCUACAUGUGAAGCGGAGUACAUGGCAGCCUCGGAGGCAGCACAUGAAGCAAUAUGGGUGAAGGAGUUCAUCACCGACCUAGGAGUCAUACCCAAUGCGUCGGGGCCGAUCAAGCUCUUCUGUGACAACACUGGAGCUAUUGCACUUGCCAAGGAGCCCAGGUUUCACAAGAAGACAAGGCACAUCAAGCGUCGCUUCAACUCCAUUCGUGAAAAUGUUCAAGAUGGAGACAUAGAGAUUUGUAAAGUACAUACGGACCUGAAUGUAGCAGAUCCGUUGACUAAACCUCUCCCUAGAGCAAAACAUGAUCAACACCAGAAUUCCAUGGGUGUUCGAUUCAUCACAAUGUAACUAGAUUAUUGACUCUAGUGCAAGUGGGAGACUGUUGGAAAUAUGCCCUAGAGGCAAUAAUAAAAGCAUUAUUAUUAUAUUUCCUUGUUCAUGAUAAUUGUCUUUAUUCAUGCUUUAAUUGUGUUAUCCGGAAAUCGUAAUGCAUGUGUGAAUAACAGACACCAACAUGUCCCUAGUGAGCCUCUAGUUGACUAGCUCGUUGAUCAACAGAUAGUCAUGGUUUCCUGACUAUGGACACUGGAUGUCAUUGAUAACGAGAUCACAUCAUUGGGAGAAUGAUGUGAUGGACGAGACCCAAUCCUAAACAUAGCACAAGAUCGUAUAGUUCGUUUGCUAGAGUUUUGCAAUGUCAAAGUAUCUUUUCCUUAGACCAUGAGAUCGUGUAACUCCCGGAUACCGUAGGAGUGCUUUGGGUAUGCCAAACGUCACAACGUAACUGGGUGACUAUAAAGGUAGACUACGGGUAUCUCCGAAAGUGUCUGUUGGGUGACAUGGAUCAAGACUGGGAUUUGUCACUCCGUAUGACGGAGAGGUAUCACUGGGCCCACUUGGUAAUGCAUCAUCAUAAUGAGCUCAGAGUGACCAAGUGUCUGGUCGCGGGAUCAUGCAUUACGGUACGAGUAAAGUGACUUGCCGGUAACGAGAUUGAACGAGGUAUUGGGAUACCGACGAUCGAAUCUCGGGCAAGUAACAUAUCGAUAGACAAAGGGAAUAGCGUACGGGGUUGAUUGAAUCCUCGACAUCGUGGUUCAUCCGAUGAGAUCAUCGUGGAGCAUAUGGGAGCCAACAUGGGUAUCCAGAUCCCGCUGUUGGUUAUUGACCGGAGAGUCGUCUCGGUCAUGUCUGCUUGUCUCCCGAACCCGUAGGGUCUACACACUUAAGGUUCAGUUACGCUAGGGUUGUAGGGAUAUGUAUAUGCAGUAACCCGAAUGUUGUUCGGAGUCCCGGAUGAGAUCCCGGACGUCACGAGGAGUUCCGGAAUGGUCCGGAGGUAAAGAUUUAUAUAUGGGAAGUCUUGUUUCGGGCAUCGGGACAAGUUUCGGGGUUAUCGGUAUUGUACCGGGACCACCGGAAGGGUCCCGGGGGUCCACCGGGUGGGUCCACCUGUCCCGGGGGGCCACAUGGGCUGUAAGGGGGUGCGCCUUGGCCUAAUGGGCCAAGGGCACCAGCCCCACAUAGGCCCAUGCGCCUAGGGUUUAAGGGGGAAAGAGUCCUAGGAGGGUAAGGCUCCUCCUAGGUGCCUUGGGGGGGAGGAAAACCCCCCCUAGGCCGCCGCACCCCCUAGGAGAUUGGAUCUCCUAGGGCCGGCCACCCCCCCCUUGGCACCCCUAUAUAUAGUGGGGGAGAGGAGGGACUUCAUACCUGAACGCCUCGGCCUUUGGUUGCCUCCUUCUCCCUCCCCAACACCUCCUCAACCUCCAUAGUGCUUAGCGAAGCUCUGCCGGAGUACUGCAGCUCCAUCAACACCACGCCGUCGUGCUGCUGCUGGUGCCAUCUCCCUCAACCUCUCCUCCCUCCCUUGCUGGAUCAAGAAGGAGGAGACGUGGCUGUUCCGUACGUGUGUUGAACGCGGAGGUGCCGUCCGUUCGGCGCUGGUCAUCGGUGAUUUGGAUCACGUCGAGUACGACUACAUCAUCACCGUUCUUUUGAACGCUUCCGCUCGCGAUCUACAAAGGUAUGUAGAUGCAUCUAAUCACUCGUUGCUAGAUGAACUCCUAGAUGAUCUUGGUGAAACGAGUAGGAAAAUUUUGUUUUCUGCAACGUUACCCAACACAAUGAUGAUUGAACUUACUUCUGGAGCAUUGCACUCAUGUCCGCAUAAUCCUUGGGAUCUUUACGUAUCGAGUCUAAGAAAGUUACUACUCCCACGUCAAGCUUAAUGGAUUGCAGCCUCGCGUAAGCGAAACCGAAUAUGCACAAGAUAGUAACACUCACUUGAAGUUGUAAGGAAAGCGUAUUUCCCUUUUGUUUUGAUGUCGAAGGAACGCUUUCAGCAAGUUUUCCUCGAUAUCUUUGGCUCUAUUUUGUACUGUUCAUUCAUUUACGGUAUUUGCGCUCAUGAACACAAUGUCAUAGAUUCGUCCUCUGUUGCAUUCAACGAUCCCUGCAUAAUACAGUGAGGAUAAUUAUAUAUAAAUGCAAUGAACGAGAUGAGCUAGAGACUUAAUUGCAGAAAUAAUACUUACAGACAAUAGCAAUUCAUGAGUUGUUUGUUGAGGGCAUGUUGAUUGAAUAACUGAAAUAAUUCCACAAAUUCAAUAGGCAUCAGGUCGACUCCAAUGAAGUCGUCCUCAUCUUUAAUUCUCACCAUCAUACUAUCGGUGCCAUCCUUCCUGCAGAUGUCCAAGUACCACCCAUGCAAUCUUCGCAUCAUCGUUGUUAGAUGAGGGGCUUGAUCAGCUUUAAUGAGAGGCUUCCCGUGCUCGUAUCUAAAGAUCUCUACUACCUCAGCCGUUUCAAACUGUACAUCAUCGCCCACGUAAUCACCAAGAUUGGUACCGGGCAGUAGCCCCGGAUAAUUAGCGAUAUCGCUAGAUACCUUGAGCGGGGGAAUGAUUGAUUCUCCUGUUCGCUGAGCUAGGGUUUUCCCACUUCUUCAUCUUACAUCACUGGAGGUACUUCCCGACCGCCGCGCUUCGUCAUAUGUCCUUUAACUACAUCAGUCAUAGUUGGAUUGCAGCGGAGGCGGUGGUGGUCGCUUAAGGGCAUCUAGAGUGCGCUUCACUUUCACCGGGUCUAUUGUUUCCUUCGAAGACGGACAUUCCCGUUCAAAAUGGGCCUGCACUUCAGCAUCCACGAUGACCUUGGUUCCUCGCCAGUCCUCUCAUAUGGUAACUUUGGAGGAGUCCGAACGCAUCGGAGACAGCUGAUGCGGAGGAGGAUUCUGCUGAGGGGCCUCAUCCGUUAGAGUCCGCUGAGGCGACGGAGAAGGCUGACGCGCUGGAGACGACUCAUGCAUCGGAGAUAGCAGAGAUGGAAUGUGAGGAGGAGUCCGUCGAGGAUCCAGCUGAGUCUGCUGAGGCGGCGUCCAGUUUGGAAGCUUGAUGUGCUCCUUUCUUCAUAGACAUGUACUCCUUAAGUCACUUUCCAGAAACAUGUCCCCUUCACCUGUAGGGUAUUCAUGCUCCAGCACCACAAACCCCUCCAUUACUUCAUCCACCCCGACAAUAGCAAAGCCAUGUGGAAUCAGACGGCUAUGGAAAGUUCUCUCAGCUCGAGGAGGUAAAACAGAGCCGACCGCCACCUUCACUGUUAGGUUAUGGCAUUUCUCCAUUAGCACACAAUGUUCAUUCUCUGUGAUACUAUCCAUGGGGUAGCGAGGAGCCUUGAUAUCAGGCUGAACGACCUCCGUGGAAACCACACUACUUCGCUGCUGAGAUGGUGGGGUAGCUUUGGGGGCAGCGUCGAACGAAGGAUCUUCGUGCCGCUGAGAUGGUUGGCUAGUAGCUCGCUAUCUCUCAAGUUCCUCUAGUUUCGCUAAUCUUUCACUGAUCUUCUGCAUUUCGCUUGCUUUCUCUUUCUUCUUUCUCUGUCGGCCUCUAUAACUACCACUGCCAGGAAACCCAUGCACCCACCGAGCGGAGCCUAAUGUGCCUCGUGUUCGUCCUGGGUGUUCAGGAGUCCCGAGGGCCUUGGACAGCUCGUCCUCCUCUCUGUCGGGAACAAACCUCCCUUCUAGCGCUUCCUGGAUUGCUUCCUCAAGCUUUUUCAUGGGUGUUUCAAGUUGAUCUUUCGUCCAAACACACUUCGCUGAUUCUGGGUUCAAAGUUCCCCAACCCCAAAGAACCAACUCCUUGCCCGAUCUGGCCAGUGCAAUGUCGUUGGUUGGACCCUUUAGCAAGCAGGUCUUGCUCAGCUUUGUCCCACGUAGGUCUGGCUUUGCUGUAGCCACCUGACCCCGUAAGAUGGUGAUACUUCUUCUUUGCAGCAUUUUUCUUAUUUAUAAGUGACCUUUGCUGACCCUUCUCCAAUUCCUUAUAGGUCACAAAUGUGGGCCAGUGAUCUUUUAUCUUCUCAUAUUGACCGGUGAAUUCUGGAGUCUUGUCUUUGUCAACAAUAUUUUUCUUAAAAUCUUUCUUCCAGUUCUUGAAUAGUUCUUCCAUCUUCUUAAGAGCAAACACCUUGACCUUCGGGCGAAUAAUUGGCUUAUUCAGAUCCUCCUCUGGCAGUAGGCUGAAAUUUGUCAUCAGCGAGCUCCAAAGAUCAUCGUUCUGUCUAUCCUGGACAUAAGAAACUUCAGGGUCCUUCUUUUUAUUCCAUUCUUGGAUGCUGAUUGGGAUGUUGUCCCUAACAACAACUCCACACUGAUGUACAAAUGUGUCCGUGGUCCGGUUGGGAGCAAUCGGUUGGCCAUCUCGAGCAAUUUCUUCCAUCGUGAACCUUUCAUCCUCGCCCAAUCUUUUCUUCGGGCCUCGUCUCCUUACCGAAGUUUGGCUCGAUACGAAGGGCUAUAAAAGAAGAAAUAAGCGUCAAUAUAUGUACAUAAAAAACAAUUAAUGCAUCUAGUUAGCAGAGACUUAAUUUUUAUAUAUAUACCUCACCGGACUUUGCUAUAGUUAAGGCUCCUUCCUCUGUUGGAUCACCAGAUCUGUCAUGAUCUCCUUCCUCCUCCAUUGGAUCACCGGAGCCGUCAUGAUCUCCUUCCUCCUCCACUGGAUCAUCGAUGAAGUUGAGAUAUGAUAAGGUGAUGUCACCUCCGUCGCGGAUUAUAUCCCCCAACAACUCUUCUUUUUCUAAGUCUCUGUCCAUAGUUUCUGCAAACAUUAUAACAUGUCAAUAUACAACCAUGAGAGAUGGAUUAGUGGCAAACAUAGACUUAAUCACAACAAAGGAAUGAUAUGCAUAUAUAUGAGCAAUGGAUAAGUGGCAAACAUCAUGAGAAGUUCACAAGUUUUAUAACAGUCAGCUACACACGUCGAUCGAGGACUCCUCCCCCCUCAUGUCUGAUGAGCCAUCCUAUCUUUCGAGAGAGGAUACUUUGCAUACAGCCUCUCUCAUGGUUGCCGAGGAUACUUGCGGACCCCCCAUCAUGUCAAAGUUAUCAGGGAUAUGUUGAAUUCUGAGAGAGUUAGGGGUGUUCUAACGCGGCACUACAUGAUGUAGGUGAAGGGGGAUAACAUCCGGGAAUGUUUUCCCGAAGUCUGCAUUUUCAGAAAUAUGAACCGGAGGGGGACAGUUUCCAGGUUCUCUAUGCUAGCUGCUUGUGACAGACGGACGGAGAGCAUAUUUGGAUUCAUCAUAUUUUCUGAUCGAUUUUCAUAUAUAAAUUAUUUUCAUCGGAGUUGCAGUUAAUUUGCAACGAAUUUCUAAAGUUUUACCAAUAUCCUAUGAACAAAAACAAAUCAUCAUAUGAAUAUAUAGGCCGAUAUAUCACUUUUCGGGCUCUACCUACAUAAACUUAACAUAUCAUUUGGUAAAUAUCAAUUUUUCGACAUAACAUCCGAUAUGGACCAAAAUAUUGACCGAUAUUGCCGAUAUCUUGCCCGAUAUGUCAAUCGAUAUAGAACGAUACAUAGAUGACAAUAACUCUUUAUUAGAAAGCAGUGAAAUAAGAUUAUGCAUUAAUAACUUCAUUAUAUAUAAAAAUACUAUACUUGUUUUUUCUGAUAUAUCUACAUAUCGUCCGAUAUAUCACCCGAUAUCCGACAUUUGAUAUGUCGAAGCCAAAACAAUAUGAGCCUGAUAUACAUACAUACAUACAUAUCAAUAUUUUCCAUCCAUACAUACAUACAUACAUAUACAUCUACAUUAUAUACACACUAAGAAUCUAUGUAUACAUCAACAUAUACAUACAUAGUUAAGAAACAAAAAAAAACAAAACAAAUGGACAGCGAGCCGGGGUGGGGGCGCCUCACAGCAGGGGCGGCGACGGCGACGACGGGGGCGGCGACGAGGAGCGNNNNNNNNNNNNNNNNNNNNNNNNNNNNNNNNNNNNNNNNNNNNNNNNNNNNNNNNNNNNNNNNNNNNNNNNNNNNNNNNNNNNNNNNNNNNNNNNNNNNNNNNNNNNNNNNNNNNNNNNNNNNNNNNNNNNNNNNNNNNNNNNNNNNNNNNNNNNNNNNNNNNNNNNNNNNNNNNNNNNNNNNNNNNNNNNNNNNNNNNNNNNNNNNNNNNNNNNNNNNNNNNNNNNNNNNNNNNNNNNNNNNNNNNNNNNNNNNNNNNNGAGAGCGUGUGGGCUCGGGGGCAGCGAUGACGACGGCGUCGGGGCAGGGCACAGCGAGGGGAGCGGCGGACGGUGUCGGGGCAGCCUGGCGGAGUCGAGGUGGUCGUCGCAUUGAGGAGAUCAAACUGGAGGGAGGAGAAUGGAGAGUCUGGGCAAAAUUUCCUAACUGUUGGCUUAUAUACCCAAUCCUUUAGUCCUGGUUGGUGGCUCAAAUCGGGACGAAAGGCCCCCUUUCGUCCCGAUUCGAGCUACCAACUGGGACUAAAGCCCUUUGCUACCGCAUCCACAAGUUUAGUCCCACCUCGCUAGUUGAGAAAGGCUCAGAGUGGUUUAUAAGCGCUGCUGCCGCUACCCGCUCGAGCUCCUCUCAACUGCAGGCAGUACAUGCCUAUUUGACGCCAUGUUGGGCCUGGUUGCACCGCGGGCCUGCAUCCUGGCCCAUUUCUAGGGUUUCUAGUCAUAUGCAGGCCGUGGUGGCAAGUAGGUGGGCCUUUUUUGCAUUUGUAAUGUUUUUAAAAUUUUAAUGUUAUUUUUUGCAUAUGUUAUUUGUAGCUAUACAAUUUUAGUUGCGUAAAUUUUAUAUAAUUUUAGUUACAUAAAGUUUAUAUAAUUUUAGUUGCAUAAAUUUUAUUUUUUAUAGUGUCUUUUUAGUUUUAUAAAAUCUUUAUAGUUUUCUAUUAAAGUUUGUAACAAAAAAUACUCUACGAAAAUUCUUUGUACUAUUAAAGUUUUUAACAAAUAAGUACUUUGAUAUUAUUUUUAAUAUUAUUUUGAUUCUUUUUGAGUUGAUUCUUUUUGCCGUUGAAGAAUAUUAUAUAUAAUUGAUUCUUUUUAGUUCAUUCUUUUUGCUUUUAGAGUUUUAUAAAAACUUUUUAGUUUAUUCUUUUUGCUGUUAGAGUUUUAUAAUAGCUUUUUUAUUCAUUCUUUUUGCUAUUAGUUCAUUCUUUGAGCUAAACGACCCAGAAAUUGAAAAGCAGUAUAAAUGAACUCUGAAAAGGUUGAAAGUUGGCAUGUUCUCAUCAUUUCACCCACGUAGCAUGUGCUAAAAAGUUGAGAGGGUUACGGCAAAAACUGGAUGGACUUCGUGUACAAAAUGGACAAUUUCUUUCGAAGUAUCAAGGUUUCGGAUGAAAACUCAUCUGUUACAAAGGCAUUUAACUUUUUAAAACUUAUUUUAACUCCAGACUUUUUGUGCGUUCAACAUGGGACGAAGUCACUAUUCUGACCCUUUGAACGAACUUUGUCACAAAAUGAACUCGACGUGAAAGUAUUUCACGAUCUGACCCUUUUAGCAACGCCAUAGCCCGCGGCGUUUCUGCUCAAAGAAGAAACGCCGAGAUAGCUAGCGCUUCUGAUCAAAGAAGAAACACCGAGGUAGCUAGCGUUGCGGACCAGGUAAGAAACGCCGAAGGCGCUGGCGUUUCUAGCCAUCAUAGAAACGCCAAAGAACCAUGGCGUUGCUGCCCUUUUUCAUGUGCAUGUGGAACCUGGAUGAACAACCUAAUUAAUAAGGCUAAUUAAUUAUGACCAAAGAGGGCAGCAACGCCAUGGUCAUUGACGUUUCCAUGAUGGGUUGCAACGCCAGCGCCUUGGGCGUUUCUUACCUGGUCCGCAACGCUAGCUACCUCGGCAUUUCUUCUUUGGUCAGACACGCUAGCUACCUCGGCGUUUCUAUAUUGGACAGAAACGCCACGGGCUAUGGCAUUGCUAAAAGGGUCAGAUCAUGAAAUACUUUGACAUCGAGUUCAUUUUGUGACAAAGUUUGUUUAAAGGGUCAGAAUAGUGAUUUCGUCCUUCAACAUGCACCAUUCAAAGCCACAUCAUCAGUUUGCAACCAUUUCUGACUACAUUUGCUAUUUUUCAUGUAUUUACUGAUUUAUUUUAGCUAAAUGACCUUGAAAUUGAAAAGAAAUACAAAUAAACUUUGAAAAUAUUAAAAGUUAACAUGGUAUCAUCAAUUCACCCACGUAGCAUGUGCCAAAAAGUUGAGAGAGUUACGGCAAAAACUGGAUGCACUUCAUAUGCAAAAUGGAUAAUCUCAUUCGAAGUCAGGGUUGCGGACGAAAAAUCAUCCGUUACGAAGUCAUUUUUUUAUUAUUUCAACUCCAGAAUUUUUGUGCGUUCAACAUGCACCAUUCAAAGUCACACCAUCAAUUUUCAACCCUUUUUGAGUUCAUUUGCUAUUUUUCAUGCAUUCACUGAUUUGUUCUAGCUAAAUGACCCUAAAAUUGAAAAGCAGUACAAAUAAACUCUCAAAAGGGUGAAAGUUGGCAUGGUAUCAUAAUUUCACCCACGUACAUGUGCUAAAAAGUUCAGAGGGUUAUGCCAAAAACUGGAUGCACUUCGUGUACAAAAUGUACAAUCUCUUUCGAAGUAUCAUGGUUCGGACGAAAAUUGAUCUGUUACAAAAGCAUUUAUUUUUUUAACUUAUUUCAACUCCAGACUUUUCGUGCGUUCAACAUGCACCAUUUAGACCCACAUCAUCAAUUUUCAACUCUUUCUGACUUCAUUUCCUAUUUUUCAUGCAUUUAUUGAUUUGUUUUAGCUAAAUGAACCUGAAAUUGAAAAGCAGUACAAAUGAACUCUGAAAAGGUUGGAACUUGCCAUGUGCCAAAAAGUUGAGAAAAUUACGGCAAAAAAUGGAUGCUCUUCGUGUACAAAAUGGACAAUCUCUUUCGAAGUAUCAGGAUUUUGAACGAAAACUCAUCUGGUUUAAAUGGUGGGAUUUGUUCUCCUUGAGAAACAUUGGAUGGGAGCUGCCAGGAAAUUGUAUUUAAUUACUUUAAGUAUUUAAAUUCUAAUAAUUACUUGCUAAGUUACAACUUGUGAUCAGAUUUACUUCCUUAGGUGUUGGUCGAGAGUGAGAGAUAAAGAAAUUUUUGUUUGGUUGACUUAUUAAGGAAGUUUGAGUCGGCAUCGUGUACCCUUUUUGUAAAAGCAAGUUAUAUUUUGGAGUUUAGACAGCAUCGUGUACCGGAUGAAGCGGUCGACUUUGGGUGUCGUUGUUAUUUAUUUUCUAUUAAUUUUCUAUGUGGAAAUUACACUUGGCUCUAGGUCUGUCGUUUUCGACGGGUUGCGUGCUGGUUAAGUCUACUUAGGCGGGAGGUUCUCCGUGUGUCGAGGGAUUGUCCGUUGGUUGUCGUUACCCCUUCUUUGGGUUACAUGUACUACUCCCGUAAUUGGGAGAUUUUAUUAGCUAAAUUCAGAGGAGUGCAUUAUAUCAUGAAAGAUCAGGCCAAAUCAGUAGCACGACAAAGUUGUGCUUUCAUCAGUUGGUAUUUGGACCAAAGGUUAUCCACGGUAAAAUAGUUUUCUUCCCCUAACGAUUGAUAUUUUUAUUUAUCAUGAGGAAAGAUUGUAGUUCGCAAAAAGGUGAUGUCGAUGAAGAAGGGAUCCAUUGCGUGCCUUGCCUUGCUACCAUUGCUUUACAUGUGCGUGUCGGACCAGCUAGUUGUGCCAUGUUAAUGAAUUGCCAUUCCAGUAUGAAUUUGGUGAGUAAGACUAUAAUUGAUGCUUUGAACUUUCCGUUGAUUGAACAUCCAGAAUCAUACGAGCUUUGGUGGACUGACAAAUUUUAUUAAGAUCAUGCAUCGUGUCGAAGUAGUUUUCCUUUAUGUAGAUACGGUGAUUUGUCGUGUGUGAUGUGAUUCCUAUGCAUAUGCAUGUGUGUUCUAUACUGUUGGGAAAACCCCGGACGGACAGGAGAAAAUUAACUUAUCAUUAUGUUGUUGAAUUUUCUUUUGUACGAAUGGCUCGACUUAUAUUACUUGACUCAUAUACCCUGGAGCGAUACAUGGCAGAUCGCCAAAGGCAUGAUCAUGCUCAAGAAGCAAUUGAUGUGAAUGUACUCAAUGACCAAGAGGAAGCAGACGUGGACAAUCAUCAUGCUGAAUUUUUGGCCUCGACAGUUUCUGCGGAUGCAUGUGCUGAGAAUAUAGACUUGAAACCGAGGACGGUUUCGUUUUAAGGGGGAGAGGAUGAUAUGGACAACACUAGUUCUAUUCGUACCAUCGACAACCAUGACAUACAAGACGUUGGUCUGCUUCAAAUUAAGGCAAUUUCGCUCGUCACUGUUUGUGAUAAUGUGAGGCAUCUUGAUAAGGAGAAAAUGAAGGUUGAAUUAGAAUCAAAAUUUGUUGUUGUGCCAAAAUACACAAUGCAUGCUUGGAUAUUAGAAAAAGAAAGAAAAUAAUUUCAACACAUACACGUUUGAUCCAGGCAUGCGUCAACUAGGUUGUUUCUUUGGUUGCCAUGCCCACAUCAAGAGUAUACAUGGACAAGAUACCUUUUGAUUGAGACUAACAGAAGAAUCCUAAUUGGUUACAACUUCUCAUGAUCAAGGCCAUCGGGGAUUUAUGUGUACGUGAGCUGGUUUAAAUGGUGGGAUUUGAUCUCCUUGAGAAACAUUAGAUGGGGGCUGCCAGAAAAUUAUGUUUUAUUACUUUAAGUAAGUAAAUUUAAAUGAUUACUUGCUAAGUUAAAGCUUGUGAUCAGAUUUACUUCCUUAGGUGUUGGUCGAGAGUUAGAGAUAAAAAAGUUUUUGUUUGGUCGACUUAUUAGGCAAGUUUUAGUCGGCUAGCUGUACUGUUAUAUAUAAUCAUGGUACCCUCUUUGUAAAAGCUGGUUGUAUUUUAGAGUUUAAACAGCGUCGUGUAUCGACCAGGAAGCGGCCGUCUUCGGGUGUCGCUGUUAUUUAUCUUUUAUAAAUUUUCGGUGUGGAAGUUACACUUGGCUCAAGGUCCUUCGUUUCCGACGGGUUGUGUGCUUGUUAUGUCUAUUUCGGCGGGAGGUUCUUCGUGUGUCGAGGGAUUGUCGUUGGUUGUCGUUACCACAUAUUCCGAUUACAUCUACCGCUUGCGUAACUGGGAGAUUUUAUCAGCUGAAUUCAGAGGAGUACAUUGUAUCAUGAGAGAUCGGGCCAAAUCAGUAGCACGACGAGGUUGUGCUUUCAUCAAUUGGUAUUUGUACCAAAGGUUGUCCACGGUAAAAUUGUUUUCUUCCACUUACAAGUGAUAUUUUUAUUUAUCAUAAGGAAAGAUUGUAGUUCGCAAAAGGUGAUGGCGACGGAGAAGGAUACAUUGCGUGCCUUGCCUUGGUACCAAUGCUUUGUGCGUGUGCGUGUCGGACCAGCUAGUUGUGCCAUGUUAAUGAAUUUCUAUUCCAGUAUGAAUUUGGUGAGUAAGACUGUAGUUGAUGCUUGGAACUUGCCGUUGAUUGAAGUUGGUGGACGGACAAGUUUUAUCAAGAUCAUGCAUCGCGUCGAAGUAGUUUCCCUUUAUGCAGAUAUGGUGAUCUAGUCAUGUAUGAUUAUUCAUAUGCAUAUGCAUGUGUGUUCUAUACUGUUGGGAAAACCCUGGACGGGCAGUAGGUAAUUAACUUAUCAUUAUGAUGGUGAAUUUUCUUUUGUACGAAAGGCUCGACUUAUACUACUUGACUCAUAUACCCUUGAGCAAUAUAUGGCAGAUUUGACCUUCAACCGUCUCACUUUCCUGCCUGACCGAGGGAAUUCUGAAAUUUGUAGUGCUGCUACUUCUGGGACUUCCAAGUACAAGGAAGGUGAUGACGAGGAGAUGGAAGACGUGGCCACAUCCAAAGCAGGUAUGACUCCUAUUAUCUUGCCUUGACUUCGUCAAUCAUGUCCACGGUCGACUGAACUUCUUGCAGUCGAUUCAUUUGCAGCUUCGCAGAAUAUUAUUGAAGUUCCAGACGACGAUGAAGAUGUGCCACAGAAGCCCACGGGAAGGAGGAGCAGGACCUUAGGCAGGAGGGCGCCAGCUGGCAAGACGCCCCAAACGACGCCAGCGUUAGAACCAGUGGUCCAGCAGUCUGCAGACCUCAAUCGAGCUUCUGUUACCUUCACUGAUCUUGUGUCGAGUGUACGCCCUUUGGCGUCGAUUGCUCAAGUCCUUGUUUCACCUGUGCAACUCCAUGCCUCAGAUCCCCAAGCUGCUGCAACUGUUCCAUCAACUUCACUCUUCACUGCCCAUCCUACCCCAGAGGACCCAAUAAGUGCCGCUAAGGAAGCUAUACGCUAGGCGGGCCUUAUGAUGGAGCAAAUGAGGUGGUGCAUGAUGCCAGCCAAGCUGCUUAUGACGCCAGCUCAGCUCUCCAGGCUAAUGUCCAAGUUAGUUGACUUCCGACUGAUCUUUAGCUUGACGCUUGUUCUGUUAGGUUAUGCUACUUGAAAACUACUGCUUUAUGAUACGUCUCCGUCGUAUCUACCUUUCCAAACACUUUUGCACUUGUUUUGGACUCUAACUUGCAUGAUUUGAAUGGAACUAACCCGGACUGACGCUGUUUUUAGCAGAAUUGCCAUGGUGUUAUUUUUGUGCAGAAAUAAAAGUUCUCGGAAUGACCUGAAAAUCAAUGGAGAAUUAUUUUGGAAUAUAUAAAAAAUACUGGAAGGAAGAUCCACGUUAGUGGGGCCUCCACCUUUCCACGAGGGUGGGGGCGCGCCCUACCCCCCUGGGCGCGCCCCCUACCUCAUGGGCCCCCUGAUGCUCCACCGACCUCAACCUUGACUCCAUAUAUUCAUUUUUGAGGAGAAAAAAACAGGGAGAAGGAUUCCAUCGUAGGCUUGCUGGACGGUGAUGGGUUGGACGAGAUUUACCAUGUAAUAGAGUUAGUUUUGUUAGGGUUUGAUCCCUAGUAUCCACUAUGUUCUGAGAUUCAUGUUGCUAUGACUUUGCUAUGCUUAAUGCUUGUCACUAGGGCCCGAGUGCCAUGAUUUCAGAUCUGAAACUAUUAUGUUUUCAUUAAUAUAUGAGAGUUCUUGAUCCUAUCUUGCAAGUCUAUAGUCACCUAUUAUGUGUUUUAUGAUCCGUUAACCCCGAAGUGACAAUAAUCAGGAUACUUACCGGUGAUGACCGUAGUUUGAGGAGUUCAUGUAUUCACUAUGUGUUAAUGCUUUGGUCUGAUACUCUAUUAAAAGGAGGCCUUUAUAUCCCUUAGUUUCCAAUAGGACCCCACUGCCACGGGAGGGUAGGACAAAAGAUGUCAUGCAAGUUCUUUUCCAUAACCACGUAUGACUAUAUUCGGAAUACAUGCCUACAUUACAUUGAUGAACUGCAGCUAGUUCUGUGUCACCCUAGGUUAUGACAGUUACAUGAUGAACCGCAUCCGGCAUAAUUCUCUAUCACCGAUCCAUUGCCUACGAGCUUUCCAUAUAUUGUUCUCCGCUUAUUUAUUUUUCCGUUGCUAUUGUUAUCAUCACUACAAAACACCAAAAAUAUUACUUUUGCUACUAUUACCUUUUACUACCGUUACCAAUACUACCAUAUUACUUUGCUACUAAAUAAUUUGCUACAGAUAUUAAAUUUGCAGGUGCGGUUGAAUUGAAAACUCAGCUGCUAAUACUUGAGAAUAUUCUUUGGCUCCCCUUGUGUCAAAUCAAUAAAUUUGGGUUGAAUAAUCUACCCUCGAAAACUGUUGCGAUCCCCUAUACUUGUGGGUUAUCACUUUACUAUCCGUAAGAUGUCUGUGGAUGAGUGUUCUAGAACCAUAAUGUGCAUCUAUCAAGAGUCUGCAUCUUGCAUCUGUACACCCACUGGGUGUUUUCAACUUUUGCUGAGUAAUUUUUCCACUUGAGUCGACCAUGUUGUGUCGAGUCUAUCUUUGAAUCAGUGGGGGCGCGCAGAGUGCACCCACUGGGUGUAGUCCCCGAGACCGUCGUCUAAUGUUUGAUUCGGCAGAGGUCUUUAUCAAAAAUAUCUCUUUACAGUUCUUCCACUCGGUUUAGACAGGUCUUGUCGAGUAGGAGUCAGACCAGUGGGGGCACGCCCAGUGCACCCACUGGGUGUAGUCCCCGAGACCGCGGUCGACUGCGGACAGUCGGCGGUGGUCUGAGAACAUGCAUUGCCACAUUUCUUCUUGUUCUUUGAACCACGCCGAGUUGAAAGCAAAACUAGUGGGGGCUCGCCAAGUGCACCUAUUGGGUGUAGUCCUCGAGACUACUAUUGAAUGUUUGAUUCGACAGUAGUCUUAGAACUCUUUUGCGGUAAUGACUUGAACUUGUAUCUUUUUCUCUCGGAAGCAAUUGAUCUUUGUCUCAGUCGAUUGACAUGUCUUACUUAUUGACUAUAGAAAUCUUGUGACUUCGGGAGCCAGUUCGUUGAUUUGCAGAAACAAUAGAUCCAACUCGGUCUCGACCUGGCUCUAGCCAAGGGGAACUUGAAGAAGGCACAGGAUGACGCAACUGCCAUGGGAGGUAAUGACUUGCCGACUUUUUGCUUUGUCAUCUUUUCUUUCCAUUCGCUUAACCGAGUGACACUACUCGAGCAGAUGUGCAUAGUGAAAACAGGCAACUCCAAGCACGUCUGAAGAAUGUUAUUUCUUUAGAGAAAAUGAAGUAGGCGCUGGAACAGAAGGAUCUUGACUUUGCCGCAGCUCAGAAGAUGGCGCGACAAAAAACCGAACUUGCCGACAAGAAGUUGGCUUCAGUCGGCAAGUUAGAAGAAGAAAACGCCAAACUGAAGACUGCCAUUGGCGAGGCCAACGAGGAAGUUGAGCAGCUGAAGAAGGACAAGGUGGCUUUGACUGAACGAGUUGGAGAUCUCACUCGGAAGAGAGAUGAACUGGAGGUUUAUCUAGGAGGACUCGCCAAGAAGUUGUUCCUUAUGCUUGAAGGUGUUUUUCUUUGUACGAAUGAUUUGCUACUGUCGACUCAUCAUAUAACUGUUGACUCAUUGUUUUAUUGUGUGUGCAAAAUUCUGUGAAAACUUCGAGGAAGAGACUGGGAGAAUUGAAACGAGCUUGGACCCCAUCAACUCCCCUGUCAAGGAUGAAGCUGCCAUGUAUGUGCUACGACUGGAGUCUCGCCUUGCCAGCGUUAUGGACUACCUUGCGCGACUGAAGGUGGCCGUGUCGCGGAUUGACCCAGCGCUUUGGCCAAGGGUGACAUUUCAGAACGAUCUCAAAUUCCUGAUGACUCGACUAAAUGAGAUCCAUAGUCGAGUGCAAGAAUGGAAGAAGUCGUCUGCUCGGUGUGGUGCUGACGUUGCUCUAUCUCUCGUUCGUGUCCACUGCAAAGAAGCCAAGGAAGAGAAACUAGCAGUGCUCAAGGUUACCAAUACCAAGAAGCUUGACUUCCAAUCCUUUAUGGAAACCUUCAUCAAAGCAGCCACUCGCAUUGCAGAUGGAAUCGCCUUGGAUGAGUUCGUCGAGCCUGCCAGCCCUCCUCUCGCGGAGUGAACAAACUUUAAGCUCAGAUUAAAUUUGCCUCGGAAUGCCGAGUGAUUUUGUAACUGUUAAACUCCUUCGGGCCUAACACCCAAGUACUUUUAUCCGUGGUUCGGAACCUCGUGGGAAUUAUCUACACAUGGAUUUUCUUUGAAUAUGCUUGCCGUUGUCUCCGAGUGGAACUUGUUUCUUCAUUUGGAACAGACUUUUGUACAUGUGAUGAGCUCAGAAGAGAAGGUCGCAGACGACCUGCACCUUGUCGUCCUUGCGGAUAGAGAUAGAGCGUACAUUGUAUUUGUGGCGCAGCUCCAAGGAGAGGGUCGCAGACGACCUGCACCUCGCUGUCCUUGCGGAUCGAGAUGGAGCGUGUGGCUAAGUCUCCGAGGGAGAGGAUUGCUCUUCACUCGAAGGUUUAAACACUUAGGCGAGUACGAGACUGCAGGUAAGCCUCCGAGUGAGAGGAUUGCUCAUCACUCGAUAGGAUUUUUUAAACUUAGGCGAGUACGGGACUGUAGUUAAGACCCCGAUUGAGAGGAUUGCUCAUCACUCGGUAGGAUUUUUAAAACUUAGGCGAGUACGAGACUGCAGCUAAGCCUCCGAGUGAGAGGAUUGCUCAUCACUCGGUAGGAUUUCUAAAACUUAGGCGAGUACGAGAUUGUAGCUAAGCCCCCGAGAGAGAGGAUUGCUCAUCAAUCGGUAGGAUUUUUUAAACUUAGGCGAGUACGGGACUGCAGCUAAGCCCCUNNNNNNNNNNNNNNNNNNNNNNNNNNNNNNNNNNNNNNNNNNNNNNNNNNNNNNNNNNNNNNNNNNNNNNNNNNNNNNNNNNNNNNNNNNNNNNNNNNNNNNNNNNNNNNNNNNNNNNNNNNNNNNNNNNNNNNNNNNNNNNNNNNNNNNNNNNNNNNNNNNNNNNNNNNNNNNNNNNNNNNNNNNNNNNNNNNNNNNNNNNNNNNNNNNNNNNNNNNNNNNNNGAGUACGGGACUACAGCUACGCCUCCGAGUGAGAGGAUUGCUCUUCACUCAGUAGGAUUUUGAAACUCAGGCAAGUACAAGACUGCAGCUAAGCCCCCGAGUGAGAGGAUUGCUCAUCACUUGGUAGGAUUUUUUAAACUUAGGCAAGUACGGGACUGUAGCUAAGCCUCCGAGUGAGAGGAUUGCUCAUCACUCGGUAGGAUUGUUAAAACUUAGGCGAAUCAGAUUCACGGCUAAGCCCUCGAGUGAGAGGCUUUCUCUUCACUCGAUUGGAUUUUUAAAACUUAGGCGAGUACGAGACUGCAGCUAAGCCCCCGAGUCGACCGAUUGGUGUUGUUCUUAAUCCCCAAAGGACUGAUGGAAGCUCAUUUACCCAAGCGCCUGCUGCAUGUUUGAGGUCACGCAUCAAUCAGGCUUUCAACCCUUGUAGGAUCAAACCAUUUGCUUUUUCUGCCUGUCCAUUUGACUGCGGGUGGGCGACUAAAGCGUAGUCAACUCGAGUGCCUUGGGAAGCGCAAAACACUCUGAACUCAUCAGAAUCAAAGUUGGAGCCAUUAUCUGUGAUAAUGUUGUGAGGGGCUCCAUAUCUGAAUGCCAGCUCUCUGAUGAAACUGAUGGUAGUGCCUGAAUUGAGAUUCUUGAUGGGUUUGGCUUCGAUCCAUUUAGUGAACUUGUCGACUGCUACAAGAAAAUGAGUGAAACCACUUCUACCGGUUCUCAGUUGACCGACCAUAUCCAAUCGCCAAACAGCAAAUGGCCAGACGAGUGGAAUAGUCUUCAAGGAUGAUGCAGGCUUGUGGGACAUGUUGGAGUAGAACUGACGACCUUCACAUUUGUCAACUAUAUCUUUUGCCAUCUCAUUAGCUCGCGACCAAUAAAAUCCCGCCCGGUAUGCUUUGGCCACGAUGGUCCGAGAGGACGCAUAGUGACCAUAGGUCCCCGAGUGGAUGUCAUUGAGGAUCAUUCGACCUUCUUCAGGUGUAAUGCAUCGCUGGGCAACGCCAGUAACACUCUCUCUGAAAAGCCGUCCACCUAUCAUGGUGAAAGCUUUGGAUUGACAGGCAAUCUGACGGGCUUCAUUUUCAUCUUCUGGAAGUUCUUUCCUAAGCAGGUACGCAAUAUAUGGCACCGUCCAAUUGGGGAUGACGACCAAAACCUCCAUGAUCAGGUCGGCCACGGCUGGAAUCUCGACUUCAGUCGGAUCGGCAGAGCUUUUUGGUUGCGGGGGCUCUUCUGUGAAAGGAUCCUCUUGAACUGACGGUGUGUGAAGAUGCUCUUCUGUGAAAGGAGCAAGCUUGUGGGGCCAUUGCCGGUCGACUCAAAGCACAAGGUCUCCUUCCUGGAAUGCUCGAUCUCUCAUGUUUCUGGCAUGGAAUCGACGGAGGUCUUGCUGAUAAAUGGUCGACCAGAUCAAGGCCAUCUCUCUUUCAUCUUCCAGAAGAUCAACAUCAUCUUGUCGAGCUUAUUCUACUUUAGCUUAUGAGAAGAGUUCUACUCAGGGUGCAUUGUGAAGCAAAUCAGUCGGCAGCACGGCUUCAGCCCCAUAGACCAUGAAGAAGGGAGUUCGGCCAGUCGACCGAUUCGAUGUUGUUCUUAAUCCCCAAAGGACUGAUGGAAGCUCAUUUACCCAAGCGUCUACUGCAUGUUUGAGGUCACACAUCAAUCGGGAUUUCAGCCUUUGGAGGAUCAAACCAUUUGCUUUUUUCUGCUUGUCCAUUCCACUGCGGGUGGGCGACUGAAGCGUUAUCAACCCGAGUGCCUUGGGAAGCGCAAAAUGCUCUGAACUCAUAAGAAUCAAAGUUGGAGCCAUUAUCCAUGACAAUGUUGUGAGGGACUCCAUAUCUGAAUGUCGGCUCUAUGAUGAAACUCAUGGCAGUGCCUGAAUCGAGAUUCUUGAUGGGUUUGGCUUUGAUCCAUUUACUGAACUUGUCGACUACUACAAGCAAAUGAGUGAAACCACUUCUGCUGGUUCUCAGAGGCUCGACCAUAUCCAAUCCCCAAACAGCAAGUGGCCAAAUGAGUGGAAUGGUCUUCAAGGGUGAUGUAGGCUUGCGGGACAAGUUGGAGUAGAACUGACAACCUUCACAUUUGUCGACUAUAUCUUUUGCCAUCUCAUUAGCUCGCGGCCAAUAAAAUCCCGCUCGGUAUGCUUUGGCCAUGAUGGUCCGAGAGGAUGCAUGGUGACCAUAGGUCCCCGAGUGGAUGUCAUUAAGGAUCAUUCGACCUUCUUCAGGUGUAAUGCAUCGCUGGGCAACUCCAGUAACACUCUCUCUAAAAAGCCGUCCACCUAUCACGGUGAAAGCUUUGGAUCGACGGACAAUCUGACGGGCUUCAUUUUCAUCUUCUAGAAGUUCUUUCCUGAGCAGGUACGCAAUAUAUGGCACCGUCCAAUCGGGGAUGACGACCAAAACCUCCAUGAUCAGGUCGACCACGGCUGGAAUCUCGACUUCAGUCGGAUCGGCAGAGCUUUUUGGUUGCAGUGGCUCUUCUGUGAAAGGAUCCUCUUCAACUGACGGUGUGUGAAGAUGCUCUAGGAACACAUUGCUAGGAAUGGGCUCCCGCUUAGAACCUAUCUUCGCCAGGUCAUCAGCUGCUUGAUUCUUCAGUCGGGGUAUAUGGUGGAGCUCUAACCCUUCAAACUUCUUUUCUAACUUUCUUACCGCAUUGCAAUAGCCAGUCAUGGCUGGGCUCCUGAUGUCCCACUCUUUCAUCACUUGAUUGACCACUAAGUCUGAGUCGCCGUAAACCAUUAGGCGACGGACAUCGAGUGAAAUGGCCAUACGCAACCCAUAUAGAACUACCUCAUAUUCAGCCAAAUUAUUGGAGGAAUCAAAGUGAUCUGGAGAACGUAACUGACCUUGUCGCCUCGGGGGGAUACCAUUACUACCCCAGCACCAGAACCAUUCAGCAUCUUGGAACCGUCAAAGAACAUAGUCCAAUGCUCCGAGUGAAUCUGAGUCGGUUGUUGCUGCUCAACCCACUCGACGAGGAAAUCUGCUAUUGCUAGGGACUUGAUUUCUUUCUUUGCCUCAAACUUGAUAUCCAAUGGAAGGAGUUCAUUCGCCCAUUUUGCCACUCGACCAGUUGCAUCCCUGUUGUUCAGAAUUUCUGACAAUGGAGCGUCACUGACGACUGUAAUCAAAUGAUCUGAGAAAUAAUGUGCAACCUUCUUUGUGGUCAAGUAAAUUCCAUAAACAACCUUCUCAUAAUGCGGAUAUCUCUGGUUGGAUGGAGUCAAGACUUCAAAAAUAUAAUACAUUGGGCCUUGAACCUUGUAGGAUUUACCUUCUUCUUCCCACUCGACCGUGAGUACUAUACUGACUACUUAUCCAGUGGCUGCAAUAUAAAGUGGUAAAGGCUCUUUGCUGAUUGUGGCAGUGAGCACCGGCUGGGUGGAAAGCAGUGCUUUGAGCUCUGCAAACGCCGCGUCAGCUUCAGGUGUCCACUCGAACUUAUCAGAUUUCUUCAUCAGUCGGUAAAGAGGCAAUGUGAUGACCCACAAGUGUAGGGGAUCUAUCAUAGCCUUUUCAAUAAGUAAGAGCGUCGAACCCAACGAGGAGCAGAAGAAAAUGAUAAGCAGUUUUCAGUAAGAUAUUCUCUGCAAGCACUGAAAUUAUCGGUAACAUAUAGUUUUGUGAUAAGGUAAUUUGUAACGAGUAGAAACUAAUAAAAGUAAACGAGGUGCAGCAAGAUGGCCCAAUCCUUUUUGUAGCAAAGGACAAGCCUGGACAAAAUCUCAUAUGAAGGAAAGCGCUCCCGAGGACACAUGGGAAUUAUCGUCAAGCUAGUUUUCAUCACGUUCAUAUGAUUCGCGCUCGGUACUUUGAUAAUUUGAUAUGUGGGUGGACCGGUGCUUGGGUACUGACCUUACUUGGACAAGUAUACCACUUAUGAUUAACCCCUAUUGCAAGAAUCCGCAACUACAACAGAAGUACUAAGGUAAACCUAACCAUAGCAUGAAACAUAUGGAUCCAAAUCAGCCCCUUACGAAGCAACGCACAAACUAGGGUUUAAGCUUCUGUCACUCUAGCAACCCAUCAUCUACUUAUUACUUCCCAAUUCCUCCCUCUAGGCCCAAAUGAUGGUGAAGUGUCAUGUAUUCGACGUUCACAUGACACCAUAGAGGGAUGACAACAUACAUCUCAUCGAAAUAUCAAACGAAUACUAAAUUCACACGACUACUUAUAACAAGACUUCUCCCAUGUCCUCAAGAACAAACGUAAUUACUCACAAAGCAUAUUCAUGUUCAUAAUCAGAGGGAUAUUAAUAUGCAUAAUGGAUCUGAACAUAUGACCUUCCACCAAGUAAACCAACUAUCAUCAACUACAAGGAGUAAUGAACACUACUAGCAACCCAUGGGUACCAAUCUGAGGUUUGGAUACAAAGAUUGGAUAUAAGAGAUGAUCUAGGGUUUGAGAUGAGACGGUGCUGGUGAAGAUGUUGAUGGAGAUUGACCCCCUCCCGAUGAGAGGUUCGUUGGUGAUGACGAUGGUGACGAUUUCCCCCUCCCGGAGGGAAGUUUCCCCGGCAGAACAGCUCUGCCGGAGCCCUAGAUUGGUUCCGCCAAGGUUCCGCCUCGUGGCGGCGGAGUUUCUUCCCGAAAGCUUGCUUUUGAUUUUUUUUCUUUACGAAAGACUCCAUAUAGCUAAAGAUGGGCAUCGGAGGGCCACCAGGGGGGCCAUGAGGCAGGGGGCACGCACAGGGGGGUAGGGUGCCCACACCCUCAUGGACGGUGGGUGGCCCCCCUCUGGUACUUCUUGCGCCCAAUAUUUUUUAUAUAUUCUGAAACAUGCUCCCGUGAAGUUUCAGGAUUUUUGGAGAUGUGCAGAAUAGGUCUCUAAUAUUUGCUCCUUUUCCAGCCCAGAAUUCCAGCUGCCGGCAUUCCCCCUCUUCAUGUAAACCUUGUAAAAUAAGAGAGAAUAGGCAUAAGUAUUGUGACAUAAUGUGUAAUAACAGCCCAUAAUGCAAUAAAUAUCGAUAUAAAAGCAUGAUGCAAAAUGGACGAUCAACUCCCCCAAGCUUAAACCUCGCUUGUCCUCAAGCGAAAGCCGAUAUUGAAAAAUAUGUCCACAUGUUUAGAGAUAGAGGUGUCGAUAAAAAUAAAAUACGGACAUGAGGGCAUCAAGAUCAUUCUUAGAACAACAUAUAUAUAUAUAUAUACACAUAUAUAUAUUGUUAUAUGAUCUCUUAUGCUAAAGUAACAAUUCAAUCACAAUUUCAAGUAUGAAUCAUAAACUUCAUUGAAAAAUAACAAACUAUAAUCUCAGUCAUUGAAGCAAUUGCAAUUUAUCAUACCAUAGGAAAGAGUCAAUAUAAGAGCUUUUCAGCAAGUCAACAUACUCAACUAUCAUUUAGUCUUUCACAAUUGCUAACACUCACGCAAUAUUUAUGGGUAUGAAGUUCUAAUCGGACACAAAGAAAGAUAGGGGCUUAUAGUUUUGUCUCCCGACUUUAUACCUCAAGGGUAAUGUCAACAGUAAUAGCUCAUGCAAACCCACAUCCAAUUAGCCAUAUAUAUCAGGAUCUUUCCAACACAUUGUGCUUGCCAAAGAAUAAAAUGUAAAAAGGAAAGGUGAGGAUCACCAUGACUCUUAUAUAAGAUAGAAGAUAAAAGUAAAAGAUAGGUCCUUCAUAGAGGGCAGUAGAGGUUGUCAUGCGCUUUUAUGGUUGGAUGAACAAAAUCUUAAUGCAAAAGAACGUCAUUUUAUAUUGCCACUUGUGAUAUGGACCUUUAUUAUGCAGUCCAUCGUUUUUAUUUCUUCCACAUCACAAGAUAGUAUAAAGCUUAUUUUCUCCACAUUAAUAAGUCAUACAUAUUUAGAGAGCAAUUCUUAUUGCAUGCACCGAUGACAACUUACUUGAAGGUUCUUACUCAAUCCACAGGUAGGUAUGGUGGACUCUCAUGGCAAAAACGGUUUUAGGGAUAUUUGGAAGCACAAGUAGUAUCUCUACUUGGUGCAAAGAAAUUAGCUAGCAUGAGAGGGAAAGGCAAGCUCAACAUGUUGGAUGAUCCAUGACAAUAUAAUUUAUGUCAGAUGUAAGAAAACAUAACCCAUUACGUUGUCUUCCUUGUCCAACGUCAACUCUUUAGCAUGUCUUAUUUUAAUGAGUGCUCAAAAUCAUAAAAGAUGUCCAAGAUAGUAUAUUUAUAUGUGAAAACCUCUCUUUCUUUGUUACUUCCUAUUAAUUGCAACGAUGACCAAAACUAUGUUUGUCAACUCUCAACAAAUUUUAUUCAUCAUACUCUUUAUAUGUGAGCUCAUUACUCUCUAUAAGAUCCACAUGAUCUCUUUAUUUCUUUUUAUAUCUUCUCUUUUAUUUUAUUCCCUCAAGAUCAUAGCAAAAUAAUAAAGCCCUUGACUCAACACUAAUCUUUAUUAUAUAUAUAGCUCACAGACUCGAUUACAUAGAAGGAUCAUAAAGCAAAACUCACAACUAGAUCAUACUAAAACUUUAUUCUACAAGAUCAAGAUAUAACCAAAAGGAUCGAACUAAGAAAAACGGUAAAGGUAAAAGUGAUGGUGAUACGAUACCGGGGGCACUCCCCCAAGCUUGGGAGUUGCUAAGGGGAGUGCCCAUACCCAUGUGUUUAUGUCUGCCUCUUCGUAGGUGGUGCUGUGAUAUUCUUGGCGAUGAUGCCCCUCAAGAUACGAUUCUCUUCUUCAAGCUUAUUGACUUGCUGCUUGUGGCUCAUUAUUUCUUUUCGGAGCGUGCCCGUGACGGCUAGAGCUCCUUUCACCCAUGGAUGUUGCAUAGCUGCAUGAUAACAAGUAACACUCUUUUUCAUAUUUUCAUAAGAAAGAAAUCUGACAUUGGAAGGGAUAACCGAGGUUGGAAUGGCUAAGCUCUGUAGUUCCCCCAUCGUGAAUCCAGAUCGGAAACGAGAAGUAACUUCUUGGUCCUCUUCCAUGGCAUCUAUCCAUUUCAAGUCGGCCUCCAUCUCUUCUUCCGUUGAUGGCCCAAAGUGGUCAGCAUCACUAUUUGCUCUUGGUCCCGGUGUCGGAUGAGACACCCGACUCUCUCUGACUGACUCUUGAGAAGACAUCUUGCUCCGAAUCUGCAGCAGAAACAAAUCGAAAUAAGAACAGGAGAUAUUUGCGUGAUACGGUGGUCAAAACCUUCGGGAGAUUAUAUAAUGAAUUUUUACCGACCAAAAGAAGUAUCGUGCAAGAGAACGGAGUCCGGAGAGCGCACAAGGUGCCCACGAGGCAGGGGGGCGCGCCCAGGCGGUAGGGCGCGCCCUCCACCCUCGUGGAAGCCUCGUGUCCUUUCCGGUCUACUUCUUAUUUUCCUAUUUUCUUAAAUAUUCCAAAAUGGAGAAAAAUUCCCCUUAGAACUGUUUUGGAGUCGGUUUACUUACCGUACCACGUACCUAUUCCUUUUCAGAGUCUGAAAUGUCCCGGAAACUGUCUCUUAUGUAUUCCUACGGGGUUACGGUUUCAAUAACAUUAGUUUCAACAUUUAUAGGAUUACCUGAGAUAUAAUGUUUGAUUCUUUGACCGUUCACCACCCUCGGAUUUGUUCCUUCGAAGUUGUUGAUAUUUAUGGCACCGGAACGAUAGACCUCCUCGAUAACGUAAGGACCUUCCCAUUUAGAAAGAAGUUUUCCUGCAAAAAAUCUUAAACGACAAUUGUAUAGCAAUACAUAAUCACCUACAUUAAAAUCACGCUUUUGUAUCCUUUUGUCAUGCCAUCUUUUAACUUUUUCUUUAACAAUUUGGCAUUUUCAUAAGCCCGGGUUCUCCAUUCAUCAAGUGAGCUAAUGUCAAAUAACCUCUUCUCACCGGCAAGUUUGAAAUCAUAAUUGAGCUCUUUGAUGGCCCAAUAUGCCUUAUGUUCUAAUUCGAGAGGUAAGUGGCAUGAUUUUUCGUAAACCAUUUUAUACGGAGACAUACCCAUAGGAUUUUUAUAUGCAGUUCUAUAAGCCCAUAAUGCAUCAUCAAGUUUCUUGGACCAAUUCUUUCUAGAUCUAUUAACAGUCUUUUGCAAAAUUAAUUUAAGUUCUCUGUUACUCAAUUCUACUUGACCACUAGACUGUGGAUGAUAUGGAGAUGCAAUUCUAUGAUUAACAUCAUAGUUAGCAAGCAUUUUACGAAAGGCACCAUGAAUAAAAUGUGAACCACCAUCAGUCAUUGAAUAUCUAGGGACUCCAAACCUAAGAAAAAUAACUUCUUUAAGCAUCUUAAUAGAGGUGUUAUGAUCAGCACUACUAGUUGGAAUAACUUCUACCCACUUAGUAACAUAAUCAACAACAACUAAAAUGUGUGUAUACCCAUUAGGGGAAGGAAAAGGUCCCAUAUAAUCAAAGCCCCAAACAUCAAAUGGUUCAAUAACGAGUGAAUAAUUCAUAGCCAUUUCUUGAUGUCUACUAAUAUUACCAAUUAUUUGACAUUCAUCACAAGAUAAGACGAACUUACGGGCAUCCUUGAAGAGAGUAGGCCAAUAAAAACCGGAUUGCAAUACCUUAUGUGCAGUUCUAUCUCCGGCAUGGUGUCCUCCAUAAGCUUUAGAGUGACACUUGCGUAGGAUCUGUUCCUGUUCGUCUAAUAAUACCAUCUACUCCUUUAUAAAGGUGUGGGUCAUCCCAGAAGUAAUGUCUUAAAUCAUAGAAAAACUUUUUUCUUUUGCUGGUAUGUGAAACUAGGUGGUAUAAAUUUAGCAACAAUGUAAUUGGCAUAAUCAGCAUACGAUGGAGUAGUACGAGAAGCAUUUAUGACAACUAAUUGUCCAUCAGGAAAGCUAUCAUCCAUAAGUAGUGGGUCAUCAAGAACAUUCUCUAACCUAGACAAGUUGUCGGCAAUGGAUUCCCAGCUCCCUUUCUAUCAAUAAUAUGCAAAUCAAAUUCUUGUAGCAGGAGAACCCAUCUAAUAAGUCUAGGUUUAGCAUCUUUCUUUUCCAUAAGAUAUUUAAUAGCACCAUGAUCAGUGUUAAUAGUUACUUUAGAAUCAACAAUAUAAGGUCUGAACUUAUCACAAGCAAAUACAACUACUAAAAAUUCUUUUUCAGUAGUAGCAUAAUUUCUUUGAGCAUUGUCUAGAGUUUUACUAGCAUAUUGAAUAACAUUUAAUUUCUUAUCAACUCUUUGUCCUAGAACAGCACCUACAGCAUAAUCACUAGCAUCACACAUAAUUUCAAAUGGUAAAUUCCAACCAGGAGGCUGAACAAUAGGUGCAGAAACCAAAGCUUUCUUAAGUAUUUCAAAUGCUUCUACACAAUCAUCAUCUGUCACAUCCCUAGUUCUAGUAUGCUCUGAGCUAGCUACUCAUGUGUUGCAUCAUUUUAAAUUCUCAUGAAUUUGAAUUGGGGACUGUUGAAACCCUAGCACAGAUGAAUCCAACUAGGUUCAAAUAAAAAAAAUCAUUUUCAAUGAUCCCAAAAUUCCUUUGGAAAAGUUCAUCAUUUUUUAAUUGGUCUACAACCUCUGCCAAAAAUGGUGCACAUUUUCCUAGGUCACUUUGGAUUUUUGAAUGAAUUCAUAAAGUAUUUGAAUUUGGCCAUUUAAUUGCUAUAAAUAAUUAAAAUGCCCAAACAAUUCUGAAAGUGGUUGAGGGCUAUUGGAAAUAUUUUCAAAAGUGCCCACAAUUAUUUUCAGGGUUUUUGAAAAUGCCUUAGCAUUUUAUUUAUGUCAAAAACAAUUACAGAAAAAUAGAAAAGAGAACAGAAAAAUAAAACAGAACACAAACUUACCUGGCCUUACCUGAGAGACCCAGCAGCAGCCAGCCCACCAGAGCCCAGCUGCCAGUCGUCGUCCUCCUUGCGCCAGAAGGACGCGGGCGCGUGCCCGCCGCGCGUGGCCACACGCCGGCCACCUCCAGGCUGCCUGCCUGUGCGACGACCCCACUGGAGGCGCCACGCACCCCCCAGGCCCUCUCACUCCUCCCCCAUGCUCAUCCCCUCCUCUGUCCCUCUCGCGCGCACCCACCCGAGCGCAGCCGUCGCCGCCGCUCAUUGCUGUCGUGCCCUGAGCCUCCCCCUCACCUCUCCGACAUGCCCAGGGGCUCCGCCACCGUCGCCUACGCCCCCUGUUGACUCACGCGACUCCAAACGCUGCCGAACGCCAUCUUCACCUUCGUCUUCAACCUCGGGCAACCAAGCCUGUCUCCGAUCGAUUCGGCGCCGCCAGGACCUCCCCGAGCUCGCUGACCCCCUCUUUGGCACCGCUAUGAGCUCCUACGCCCCUCGCUCCUCUCACCGUUGAUGCGCUCGUCCUCUAGUCGUGUUUUACACCUCGUCCGAAGCUCGCUGCCGCCGUCCAUGGCGCCACCACGGCCACAGCUGCUGCCACCCGCGUCCGAGCUCAUCAGCGCGCUCAGCGCACCCAUAGGAGCACGAUGCACUCACCAUCUCCUCCCCUAGUGCUCCGUAGCCCCGUUUCCAUCGAUGGCCGAACCACGGCCGCCGCAAACCACAUCGCCGGCGUCGAUUCCGGCGACCAUCUGGUCCAGCUCCACCAUCCACACACGCGGCUCAGCCCCAGCUCUCCAUAGCACCCAACCACGCCCCAAACAAUGGUCUGUAGCGCGAUCCCGACGCGCUCCGCCGCGUCGGGACUCGCCGGCGGCUAAACGCCGGCGACCGCUGACCCGUUGUCCGGCGUGGGUUAACCCCACUGCCCGGUUUGACCUCCCCCUCUCUCUCACUGACUUGCGGCCCCGCCCGACUAAUUACCCUAGUUAGCACUAAUUAACUAGUUAGGUUAGUUACCACUGACUAGUGGGCCCUGCCCAGUUAGUUAGGGCUAACUAACUUAGUUAGUUGACUGGGUUACUACUAGUGGGUCCCACUGGUCAGGUUUCACUUGGUCGACGCCUGUUGACUGCCGUCAUCACCCUGACGCAGUGCUGACGCAAUAAUGUAAUUUCUGGAUUAAAAACAAUUAUGGAAAUUCCUGAACUUGCUUUGAACUUCCAAAAAUCAUAGAAAUUCAACCGUAGCUCAGAAUGAAAUAAAUUAUAUAUGAAAAAUUAUCAGAAAAGUCCAAUCUAUCCAUCUGUACCAUUUUCAUGCAUGUUAUAACAACUUAAAGCCACUAUUUAGGACAAAUCAAAUGAAUGGUAUUUAAAUAACCACAUGUGGAGUUUGAAUUUGAACUUUGGGUUCAAACCAACUUCAUUUAAUUGUGUUGCUAGUUGCAUUAGCUCGAUCAACAACAUAUUGCCAUGUAAUUAUCAUGCAUCAUGUUGUGCAUUGCAUUGAUUGUGUUCCUUCUCUGUUGCCGGUGGUUGUCCCCUCUCAAUAGACGUUGUACCGACGCUGUGAUCAUUGACACUGAUGAAGACCCAAUGAUAUCUUCAGAAGUGCCAGGCAAGCAAAAACCCCUUGUUCAUUCCGAUACAAUCCCACUCUCUCGCUCCUGCUCUCAUUUACUGCAUUAGGACAAUAAUGAUUCAACUAUUACAUGUUGUGGUAGUUGAACCCCUUUCCUCUGCAUGACCUGUCAUUGCCAUCGUAAAUAGAUGAAACCCACUAGCAUGAGUAGGAGUUGUUUGAGCCCUGAUGUGCCUAUUCAUUCAUGCUUGUUUGUCAUGCCUGCUAUUGCAUAGAGUUGUGUCGGGUCUAAUUCAUCGGGAAUGAAUUGGAAUGGUGAUGAACAUGUCCUACUGCUUGUGAGCUAAGUGUGUGAAUACGAUUUGGUAAAGGUAGCGGUGAGAGGCCAUGUAGGAGUACAUGGUGGGUUGUCUCAUUGAAACCGUUCUUAGGAACUGAGUUCUGUGUCUAUGAUCCAUGAACAGCUACUACCACUCAUUGGGAUCAUUAAUUGACCCUCUCAGCUUCUUAAUCACCCUAGUACUCUGUCCAGGAGUUGCAACUAGUUUCUGGUGUUUGUAGGUUAUGUGUUGGCGGCCGUGCGUAGCGCUGACCCUAGGGGUGGGCUAUGAUGCGGUAGAUACACCGUGGCACGGUGUACCGCGCUCCCGUUUGGUGUCUCGGGAACCCUGUUCACAUCGUUCGGGGCCGUAUGUGGAAACCUCGGCCGGACUCCCUGUGGAUGGAACCUGGAUAGGCGAUAAACCUGGACUAGAGACUUGAGUGGUUAGGUAGGCCGUGGCCGACACCCUCGUUGGGCUUCCGCUUGAAGGUUGCCGAGUACAUGUCGUGUAAACAACGGUAAGUGGUGGGAGCAUGUGUGAAGAAGUACACCCCCUGCAGGCUUAUCAUUAUCUAUUCGAAUAGCUAGAUUCCACGGAUAUGGAAAUUUGGACCCCUUGCAUAGUUCAUAGACAAGUGAAAGUGGAUACUCUAAAAUGCGCAAGAUAAGCGUGAGUGCUAUGGAUGGCGUUCUCGUAGGGAGACGGGAGCGGAUCCAUAGUGGUGUAUUGAUAUGGUGAAUAUGUGGACUCGUGUGAGCCACCUCAAAAGAGUUACUUGCAGUCAUAGUUUAAGAUAGUGACCGAGUCAAAGCUGGCUUGCUGCAGUUAAACUCCACCACCCCCCCCCUUUGUUUAUACCGAUGCAUAUGUAGCUAGUUCUGAUGUAAGCCUUGCUGAGUACUUUUGUACUCAUGUUUGCUUAAUUUAUGUUUUGUAGAGAGACUUCAGUCUUGCUAGUAGUUUUGCGUGGACUUCGAUGUUUAGCUUGAUACCUCAGCUACGAUCUUGUCCCCUCGGCAGGAUCUGGUAGAUAGUCAGGCUUCUUAGCCUUUUCCAUUUGUAGAUGUCUGUACUCAGACAUGUUAAGCUUCCGCAUGUGCUUCGAUUUGUAUGCUAUGAUUGUUGGGUCAUGAGACCCAUGUUUGUAAUAUCUCGCUCCUCGAAGCCUAAUGAAUAAAUACUUUGAGUCGUAGAGUUAUGUUGUGAUGCCAUGUUGUAUUUACACAUAUCGAGCAUAUUGUGUGUAUGAUUGAAAUGCUUGGUAUGUGUGGGAUCCGACAAUCUAGUUGUUUAUCCUUGGCAGCCUCUCUUAUGGGGAAAUGUAGUCUAGUGCUUCCAUGAGCCAUAGUAGUCCACUACAGCCCGGUUCACCGGACUCCUGCUAGCCCAGCACCACUGCUCAGGACACUUGACUGGCCGGCAUGUGUUUCACUUCGUUCCUAUGUCUGUCCCUUCGGGGAAAUGUCACGCGGUGACUUCCGGAGUCCUGCCUAGCCUGCUACAGCCCGGGUUCCCCGGAGUCCUGUUAGCCCAGUGCUACAGCCCGGAUUCACUCGCUGAUGACCGGCAUGCUCGAUGUGAUUCAUGUAUGCCUGUCUCCAUAGGUCUGUGCCGCUUUGGGUUCACGACUAGCCAUGUCGGCCCAGGUUCUCUGUCAUAUGGAUGCUAGCGACACUAUCAUAUACGUGAGACAAAAGGCGCAAAUGGUCCCGGGCCAUGGUAAGGCGACACCCGUGGGUAUACCGUGUGUGAGGCCGCAAUGUGAUAUGAGGUGUUACCGGAUAGAUCGAUGUGACUUGGAAUCGGGGUCCUGACAUCAUCAAAGACAAAAGGAACAUCUUUUUGUAAGAGAUUAGUCAGAGGCCGGGAAAUUUUAGAGAAGUCCUUAAUGUACCUGCUAUAGAAUUCGGCAUGACCAAGGAAACCUCGUAUACCUUUGAUGUCCUUGGGACACGACAUCUUUUCAAUAGCAUCAACUUUAGCUUUGUCAACUUCAAUACCUCUUUUAGAAAUUUUAUGCCCCAAGACAACACCUUCAUUAACCAUAAAGUGGCACUUCUACCAAUUCAAGACAAGGAUAGUUUCUUCCCAUCUCUGCAAAACUCAAUCAGGGUUGCUCAAGCAAUCAUCAAAAGAGGAUCCAUAAACAGAGAAAUCAUCCAUGAAAACUUCACAAAUCUUUUCACAAAAGUCAGAGAAUAUAGCCAUCAUGCAUCUUUGAAAGGUAGCACGUGCAUUACAUAAACCAAAAGGCAUACGUCUAUAAGCGAAGGUACCGAAAGGACAAGUAAAAGUAGUCUUUUAUUGAUCAUCAGCUGACACAGGUAUUUGAGAGAAACUAGAGUAACCAUCUAGAAAGCAAAAAAUGUGUAUGUUUGGAUAAUCUCUCUAGCAUUUGGUCAAUGAAAGGAAAAGGGUAUUGAUCUUUUUUAGUAGCUUUAUUUAAUUUUCGGAAAUCAACUACCAUCGUAUAACCUGUAAUAAUUCUUUGCGGAAUCAAUUAAUCUUUAUCAUUAGGAACGACAAUAAUACUUCCCUUCUUAGGGACACAAUGGACUUGGCUCACCCACUAACUAUCAGCAACGGGAUAAAUUAUACCUGCUUCAAGUAGCUUUAAUAUUUCCUUUCUAACCACUUCUUUCAUCUUAGGAUUUAGUCGUCGUUGGUGAUCAGUAACUGGUUUGGUGUCUUUCUCCAAAUAUAUUUUGUGUUGACAUAGAGUGGGACUAAUGCCCUUAAGAUCAUCAAGAGUAUAUCCAAUAGCAGCACGUUGCUUUUUCAGAGUUUUCAAUAAUUUCUCUUCUUCAUGCUCUGAAAGGUUAGCACUAAUAAUAACAGGAUAUAUCUUCUUUUCAUCUAAGCAUAUUUAAGAAUAUCAGGCAAUGGUUUAAGCUCAAACACGGGAUCACCCUUGGGUGGAGGAGGAUCCCCUAGGAUUUCAACAGGCAAGUUGUGUUUCAAAAUAGGUCCAUGUUUAAAGAAUACUUCAUCUAUUUCCCUUCUUUCAUUCAUAUACAUAUCAUUUUCAUGGUCUAGCAAAUAUUGUUCUAAACGAUCAUUAGGAGGCACGACAAUAUAAGCAAGACCAAUAAUUUCAUCUUUAUUAGGCAAUUCCUCAUCACGGGGUUUUCUACUAAAUUUAGCAAAAUUAAACUCAUGAGACAUAUCCCCUAAACCAAUAGAAACAAUAUCCUUAUUGCAUUCUAUCUUAGCAUUAACAAUAUUCAAGAAGGGUCGACCAAAUAUAAUGGGACAAAAGUCAUCUUGUGGGGAACCGAGAACAAGAAAAUCAUCAUGGUAUUUAACUUUCCCACACAAGACUUCAACAUCUCUAACAAUCCCAACUGGUGAAAUAGUAUCUCUAUUGGCAAGUUUAAUUGUGACAUCAAUCUCUUCUAUCUUAGCAGGUGCAAUAUCAUGCAUAAUUUCUUUGUAUAAGGAAUGAGGUAUUGCACUUGCACUAGCACCCAUAUCACAUAGGCCAUGAUAGCAAUGAUCUCCUAUUUUAACGAAAAUAACAGGCAUGCAUACAAUAGGUCUAUGUUUAUUUUUAGCAUCAGGUCUAGCAAUUCUAGCAGCUUCAUUGCAGAAGUAAAUAACAUGCCUAUCAAUAUUAUUGGCCAAGAGAUCUUCAACCAUAGCAAUUUUAGGUUCAAAUUUAAUUUGCUCAGGGGGUUUGGCUGUCUUAAUAUUACUUUUGUUAACCAUAGUUGAAGCUUUAUCAUGAUCCUUUAUUCUAACAGGGAAAUGUGGUUUCUCAAUAUAAGCAGCAGGAACAACGGGAUCAUCAUAAGUGAUAGUAUUUUCUUCAACUUUAAUAGGUGCAACUACUUUUACUUCAAUGGUAUGAUUAUAUUUAAACCACUUCUCCUUAGGGAGAUCAACAUGAGUAGAAAACGAUUCACAGAAAGAAGCUACUAUCUCAGAGUCAAGUCCAUAUUUAGUGCUAAAUUCGCGGAAAGCAUCGGUAUCCAUAAUAGAUUUAACACAAUCAAACUUAGGUGUUAUACCUGACUCCUUACCUUCGUCGAGGUCCCAAUUUUCAGAUUUGUGUUUAAUUCUUUCCAAUAAAUCCCAUUUGAAUUCAAUAGUCUUCAUCAUAAAAGAUCCAGUACAAGAAGUAUCGAGCAUGGAGCGAUUACUGAGAGAAAGCCGAGCAUAAAUUUUUUGAAUAAUCAUUUCUUUUGAGAGCUCAUGAUUGGGGCAUGAAUAUAACAUUGACUUAAGACUCCCCCAAGCUUGAGCGAUGCUUUCUCCUUCGCGAGGCCAGAAAUUAUAUAUAUAAUUAUGAUCACGAUGAACAAGAUGCAUAGGAUAAAACUUCUGAUGAAAUUCCAAUUUCAAUCGCUUGUAGUCCCAUGAUCCCAUAUCAUCACAUAGCCUAUACCAUGUCAAAGACUCUCCCUUCAAAGAUAAAGGGAAUACCUUCUUAUUGAUAACAUUAUCGGGCAUACCUGCAAGCUUAAAUAAUCCACAAACUUCAUCCACAUAGAUUAAGUGUACAUCGGGAUGCAAUGUUCCAUCUCCUGCAAAAGGAUUAGCUAGCAGUUUCUCUAUCAUACCCGAAGGAAUUUCAAAGUAAACAUUUUCGGUAGGUUCUGUAGGUUGAGGAGCAACUCUUUGCUCUACUGGUCGGGGUGAAGAUAGCCCGAACAAGCCCCUCAAAGGAUUAUGUUCCAUAGUAAGAAGUGACAGUAAAUUUCAGCACACCAUAUAAAAUUUUCCUUACCAAAUUCCACCUACCAAUGGCGCCAGAAAAGAAUCUUGAUGACCCACAAGUGUAGGGGAUCUAUCGUAGCCUUUUCGAUAAGUAAGAGUGUCGAACCCAAUGAGGAGCAGAAGGAAAUGAUAAGCAGUUUUCAGUAAGGUAUUCUCUGCAAGCACUGAAAUUAUCGGUAACAGAUAGUUUUGUGAUAAGGUAAUUUGUAACGAGUAGCAUGUAAUAAAAAUAAACAAGGUGCAGCAAGAUGGACCAAUCCUUUUUGUAGCAAAGGACAAGCCUGGACAAACUCUUAUAUGAAGGAAAGCGCUCUCGAGGACACAUGGGAAUUAUCGUCAAGCUAGUUUUCAUCACGUUCAUAUGAUUCGGGUUCGGUACGUUGAUAAUUUGAUAUGUGGGUGGACCGGUGCUUGGGUACUGCCCUUACUUGGAAAAGCAUCCCACUUAUGAUUAACCCCUAUUGCAAGCAUCUGCAACUACAACAGAAGUAUUAAGGUAAACAUAACCAUAGCAUGAAACAUAUGGAUCCAAAUCAGCCCCUUACGAAGCAACGCAUAAACUAGGGUUUAAGCUUCUGUCACUCUAGCAACCCAUCAUCUACUUAUUACUUCCCAAUGCCUCCCUCUAGGACCAAACAAUGGUGAAGUGUCAUGUAGUCGACAUUCACAUGACACCACUAGAGGGAUGACAAAAUACAUCUCAUCAAAAUAUCGAACGAAUACCAAAUUCACAUGACUACUAAUAGCAAGACUUCUCCCAUGUCCUCAGGAACAAACGUAACUACUCACAAAGAAUAUUCAUGUUCAUAAUCAGAGGGGUAUUAAUAUGCAUAAUGGAUCUGAACAUAUGAUCUUCCAUCAAGUAAACCAACUAGAAUCAACUACAAGGAGUAAUCAACACUACUAGCAACCCACAGGUACCAAUCUGAGGUUUGGAUACAAAGAUUGGAUACAAGAGAUGAACUAGGGUUUGAGAUGAGAUGGUGCUAGUGAAGAUGUUGAUGGAGAUUGACCCCCUGCCAAUGAGAGGAUCGUUGCUGAUGACGAUGGUGAGGAUUUCCCCCUCCCGGAGGGAAGUUUCCCCGGCAGAAUAGCUCUGCCGGAGCACUAGAUUGGUUCCGCCAAGGUUCCGCCUAGUGGCGGUGGAGUUUCUUCCCGAAAGCUUGCUUAUGAUUUUUUUCUAGACGAAAGACUCCAUAUAGCCAAAGAUGGGCAUCGGAGGGCCGCCAGGGGGCCCACGAGGCAGGGGGCGCACCUAUGGGGUAGGGCGCCCCCACCCUCGUGGACGGUGGGUGGCCCCCCUCUGGUACUUCUUGCGCCCAAUUUUUCUUAUAUAUUCUGAAACGUGCUCCCGUGAAGUUUCAGGACUGUUGGAGAUGUGCAGAAUAGGUCUCUAAUAUUUGCUCCUUUUCCAGCCUAGAAUUUCAGCUGCCGGCAUUCCCCCCCUUCAUGUAAACCUUGUAAAAAAGAGAGAAUAGGCAUAAGUAUUGUGACAUAAUGUGUAAUAACAGUCCAUAAUGCAAUAAAUAUCGAUAUAAGAGCAUGAUGCAAAAUGAACGUAUCACAAUGCCUUUUCACCGAGACGAGAGAUGAAUCGACUCAAAGCGGCCAAACAACCAGUGAGCUUCUGAACGACAUGCACAUGCACAGGGCGCUUCAUUCGGAGGAUUGCACCAACUUUCUCUGGGUUUGCAUCGAUCACUCGUUCGGAAACGAGGAAACCGAGUAACUUUCCACCCGGGACUCCGAAUGUGCACUUCGACGGAUUAAGCUUGAUAUCAUAUCUCCUCAGAUUGGCAAAGGUUUCAGCAAGGUCAGUCAGCAGGUCAGAACCUUUACGCGACUUAACCACGGUGUCAUCCAUAUAUUCUUCUACAUUCCGACUGAUUUGAGUAAGUAGGCACUUCUGAAUCAUCCUCAUAAAUGUGGCACCAGCAUUCUUGAGACCGAAUGUCAUGGUAACAUAGCAAAAGCACCCGAAUGGGGUGAUAAAAGCCGUUUUUAUUUCAUCGGGUCCAUACAGUCGGAUCUGAUGAUACCCGGAAUAUGCAUCCAGAAAAGACAAACGCUCACACCCCGCAGUUGAGUCAACAAUCUGGUCGAUAAGGGGGAGAGGGAAAUGAUCUUUCGGGCAUGCCCGAUUGAUAUGCUUGAAAUCAAUGCACAUGCAAAGUGAAUCGUCCUUCUUGGGGACCAUGACAACAUUAGCGAGCCACUCGUAGUGGUAAAUCUCGCGGAUGAACUCACCUGCCAGAAGCCGAGCCACCUCUUCGCCGAUUGCCUUUCUCUUCUCCACGGUGGACCGGCGGAGAUGCUCUUUAACGGGUUUUGCUUUUGGAUCGAUGCGCAAACGGUGCUCAGCUAGUCCCCUGGGUACACCUGGCAUGUCAGAUGGCUUCCAUGCGAAGAUGUCCCAGUUCUCACGAAGGAACUCGAUGAGCGCUUCUUCCUAUUCGCUGUCGAGUGUCAUUGAAAUAUGAGUUAGAGAAGCACUGGGGUCGGUCCUGUGAAUGUGAAUUGGCUUCGUUUCACCACACGACUGAAAUGCAGAAUCUAAGGCAGGCUUCUUAGCUCACAACAAAUCACUCGGAUCUACAUUCUUCUGGUAUUCUUGCAUUUCUACUGCUGCCAUUUUUUCAUCAGCAAUCUUUGAGACCUUCUAGAGGCACUCUUCUGCUCUCUGCCGAUUACCAGUAACUGUGAUCACGCCUCUGGGGCUAGGCAUAUUCAACUUAAGGUAUACGUAACAUGGUCGAGCCAUGAAACGAGCAUAUGCAGGUCUGCCCAGAAUAGCAUGAUAGGCGCUUUGAAAAUCCAUAACUUCAAAUGUCAACUUUUCCUUACGGUAAUUCUUUGACUCGCCGAAAACCACGUCAAGAGUGAUGUGGCCGAGUGAGUCAACUUUCUUUCCAGGGAUGACAUCGUGGAACCUCAUGUUGCUGUCACUAAGCUUGGACAUCGGAAUGCCCAUCCCUCUCAGGGUCUCAGUGUAGAGAAUAUUCAGACCACUGCCACCAUCCAUCAACACUUUGGUAAGUUGAGUGCCUCCAACAACUGGGUCGACUACCAAUGCUUGCCGCCCUGGAGUGGCAACGUGUGCUGGGUGAUCGGACUGGUCGAAUGUAAUAGCAGUUUGUGACCACUUCAAAUAUGUCAUUGUUGACGGAGCAACCAUGUUCACUUCUCUGUUUAUAACCUUCAGUCGACUUUUGCUCUCGACGUCAGCAAAAAUCACCAAAGUGGAGUUAACAUUGGGGAAACCCUCAUCCUCCUCUUUGUCUUCAUCCUUAUCAGAUUCAUUCUCUUUCUCACUGGGAUGUUUUUCUCGGAACUGCUGGAUAAGGAGUCGACAUUGUCGAGUGGUAUGCUUGGGGUAAAUCAGAUUUCCCUCUUCGUCCUUCUUGGUGUGAAUAUGACAAGGCAAAUAUAGCACAUCAUUUCCUAGUUGAUCUUUUACCUUCUUGGGGGUCCAGGGUCCCUUAGGGUUUCCCUUGAAUUUUCCUUGGAUCACAGCUGCAAUCUCACCGGGUCCUGUGGGUUCAACUUUGUGUUUCUGCUUCCGAUUGGAAUUACCUCCUCUGGUGUCAUGGCCAACUGGUUUCCUCUUGCCACUGCGGAGUCGGUCUUCUUCCUCACCGUUUGCGUACUGAGUGGCUAUUUCCAUCAUUCGGGUCAGAGUCAUAUCUCCUGUUCGACCAAAUUUCAGGUUUAGCUCCCUGUACCGAGCGCCAUCCUUGAAGGCGCAAACUGCUUGGUGAUGAGACACAUUUUCCACUGUGUGAUGCAAAGUGGUCCACCUCUGGAUGUAAUCCCUCAAAGUUUCAUUCGGUUUCUGUACGCAAUGAUGUAAUUCUGCCAACCCUACAGGUCGUUUGCAUGUGCCCUCAAAUUUCCUGACAAACACUCGAGCCAACUCUUCCCAACUCAAUAUACUUCCUGGAGUCAACUGAUUCAGCCAUGCUCUGGCCGAACCCUCUAACAUCAAAGGAAGAUGCUUCAUUGCCACCUCAUCAUUAGCACCACCGAUCUGUACAGCCACUCGGUAAUCCUCCAACCAAGUGUCAGGCUUCGAUUCACCAGUAAACUUGCUUACUCCUGUUGCCAACCUGAAGUUGGGGGAGAAUCUCAGCAGCUCUGAUGGCUCUGCAGAAACACUCUGGCCCGGAGAUAUGAACUCUGCUGCCAGUCGGACGAUCUCUGUCGAGUCCUUCUCUAUGUGCUCUAUUCCUAUCGACCAGACCUUGAACGAGGAUUGACCUCGCAUCAAACCCUGGCUCUCUUGGGUCGACUGGGACCCUUCGCUCACCGCUGCGCAAGUGCCUAUCAUCAUAUUGCCGGGGCACAUAUGAUCCGCUCCUCGGAGGGGGCGUAGGAACUCGACGGAGAUCAUCGCGGCCAAGUCGAUGAUCAUACUGCUCGUAAUUCUGACCCAAAUACUGCUCUUGGCGAUGCCCAUGUCCCUCACGCCGCAGGGGCGAUCUUGGGCUAUGAGCCGACUGAACUGUGUCAUCUACCACAGGUCUGCUGUGGAUCCUGUUGCGAGACUGAGAAACAGUUGUGUUUUGCUCUCCUGCUGCCCGGGGCAGUGCCCUGAUCUGCAUCAAACCUCUUCCAGCCUUUGAUUGAGACGGCUGGAUCGACUCCGCUAUUCGGGCCACACCUGUAAGAUUCUGAAUCGGAGUGCGAUAUACCUGAGGUUCAGGCAGGAACAACUGUCGCCGUCGACUGGAUUCAGGAAUCUGCUGCCGAGUGCGCUCGUUGAGUGAAUAUUGAAGGUUCCCCAGUCAUGUGCACUCAGCCAAAGUGGCCAGGCGCACAGCCUCCAAGGCCCGAGCUUCGGCGGUCUCCCCGAUGAUGGGAGUGUCGAGGGCCUCCAUGUUGCGGCGAUGCAGCUCCUCCCUCUGCUGCGAAGUGAGGGCUUUGGGAUGAUAUUCCUCGUGAACACGCGAUGGAUCGCCGCCGCCAUCGCCGCCGUCGCCGCGAUGGAAACCAGGCGGGCUGUGCGGCGUGUUGACCACCAAGACUUGUAUCGUAGGGUUACUAUUGUCACACUUGGACAAGGUCUCGACGGAGCCAUUCGACAGGUCGAACAACCCAUAGAGUGAUUCGCCGAGCUCGAUUGUCGUGACCUGAGGGGUGGCCAACUGACGGGCCACCGCAUGCUUCACCCACCGUUGGAGUCGCGAUCGACCAGACCGCUUGCAGCGAUGAACAGCGGGGAGUGAAGAUGCCACGGGAGCUGACCGAUAUUGGGUCGACGGCUGCCGUAGACGCACGCACGAAAGUGAGUAGCCCCGCGGACGGGAAGCGUCUCGACGUCGAGGGGGGCCACCUGGAGAUAGGCGGAAUCGUCGACGACGAAAACGAGCGCCGAGACGGAUCUCGCGGCCUUCAACCAAUCCACCGCCGGAAACGAUGAUGAUGGGAAUCGGAAAAAUCGCAACCUCGCCGGAAAGUCGCUAAGACACCGGCCCCACGAUGGGCGCCAACUGUCGUGGUUCUAAGUCUGACAGUAGAAUAGGGGGUAUGAAUGGAGAGGCAAGAUCCUAGCUACGAUGAGGUUGUACACGCAAGGUUUACGAGUUCAGGCCCUUCGCGGAGGAAGUAACAGCCCUACAUAUCGGUGCUUGGAAGCUUGGUCGAUUGGAUUAUGCGUGAAGUUACAGGGGGUGCGAACCCUUGUGCCAGUGGAGGGGGUGUCUUAUAUAGAGUGCGCCAGGACCCCAGCCAGCCCAUGUUACAAGAAGGUUCAAUGUACAUAAAGUUGGGGUGUUACUGGUAACGCUAACAAUAAAGGCAUAUAAAUGAUCAUCAAUACUACAGGGUGAACGCCUGUCCGUUGUCAUUCUGAGUGACUUUAGAUCUUCUGUACUCCGAGUGACUUCUGAUGUGGUCGAGUGAGUAUACCCUGGUCGAAUGGAAUUGGGUUAUCCGAGUGGAACGGUUGGUCGAGUGGGUUGCAGUCUGAGGUGUCUUCAGUCGGUAGGUGUUGUUGUGCUUUGAAUGUCUUUGACCGUAGGACAGUGUCCUUGGGAAGGGUGUCUAGGUCAGGCCUAUUACCAUAGCCUAGGUACAUGUCAUCAUCAUUGUACGUGCAUGCGGCCUUGUGGGCGGUCUCGAACAUCCCGAGACCGAGACAUACAUCACCAGAGCGGAUCUUCGCGUAGAACAUGCCAGAGGGGUGGGCGCGGUCGCCACGGAAGUCGGAGCUGCUCCGGGGGCGCGAUGGCAUGUCGGGGGCGGGGGAGAAGGCGUGGUGGCGUCGGGAGAAGGGCACGUUGGCGGCGGCAGGGCGCUAGGUGAGGAAGAAGUGGGCAGCGGGGAAGAAGGAGGCGCUGGAGUGGUACUUGGCAGGCUCACACGCGCGGGUUUCAUAGAGCGCAUCGGACGCCGUGCGCCAAAUCUUCCACGCGCCGGGCCGCGUUUUUCAAGCGCUCGCACAAGUUUUUCCCGUGCCGGAUUCUCCCUCGCCUACUGGAGUGCGCCAAACCGCCCCAUAGCGCUAAAACUUACUUUUUGCCCGCGCGCGCGAUAUCUAGCAUGCCUGUUGGAGAUGCUCUAACAAGUGACAUGGAUCAGAUGAUAUGGAACUAGUGCAAAUUUAUGAAUUUAUAAACAUGAUACAUGGAAAAUUUUAAACAUUUUCUGUACUAUCCACAUGAAAAAAUCAUGUUUUAGAUGGCAAAAUUCUCAUUUUUUUGUGUAUAUGACAUGACUUGUUUUUGGAAAAGAUUAAUAGUUGGAUGAAAAAUUUUACAUAUUUUUUUGUUUUUUAAUAAAAAGUUUAUCUUCUACGCAUGCAAAAAAAUUAGAAUUUUCCUCCUGGUCACAAUUCAAAUUCAUGACAAAAUUUUGGUCUCCUUGUAGUACUCCCAUGAACACAAAUAUGCUCAUGAAAGCAAAUAGGCUCAUCAAACAAAAAAUUAACAUAGAAAAGUCUCAUGAAAACAAAAAUUUCCAAGGGAUAUUCAAAAACCAAAGUUGUCAUGGUGUACAAGCAAAACAAAUUAGAAUGGUUUGUUUCAACAAAUGUGCAAUGUUCCAAAAAUAAUCAACCACGGGGCAAAAAAUGAAUUUUCCAUGGUCCAAAAUAAAUACAAUUGUAAGGGUUCAAAAAUUAAAUUUUCAUGGUUACAUAAGAUUAAAUUUCCCAUCUUGCAAAAAUAUAUUUUUGCACGGCCCAUAAAGUAUAAUUUCGAUGACCCAUAAAAACUAAAUUUGCCAAAGUCACCCAUGGUCCGCAAAGUAAAUUUUGCAUGACCCUUAAAGUAAAUUUUCCAUGUUGGAUAAAUAUAGUGGCAAAAAUUAUGGUUGUCAUUUGCCAUGGUUUGGAUAAGAAUUGUUUUGAAAUUUCCAUGUGACCGUAAGAAAAUAAAUUCAAAAUUGCCAUGUGCUUCGGAUGAAAUUUGUAGAAUUGACAUGAGCAUUAAAAUAUGGUCUAACAAUUGCCAUGAGCAAGCUGUACGGGGCUGGUACAACAUGUCGCCGUCGACAAGUGCCAAGUGGAUGAACCUCCUUGUUGUGAUCGGCUACCGGGUCGUCUUAUAUGUUUUGCUUCGCCUAGAUGUGAGGAGACAUGGGAGGCUUGGCAGGCGCUCUUGCUGGCCCAGCAUCCACACUAGUGCAGCUCAGAGUGAGUUGGCCCUGACCCAUUGGAAGUGGUGUAUACAUGUGUGAUUCCUUCCUAGGUAUGCUAAAAAAGUCAUAUCUGACGCAUGAAAAGUAGAAGAGAAAUAGUUAUGGAGAGAAUUGGAGAGACAGAUGUGCAACAUAUAUACUGUAUGUAUCGUGGUUAAUUGGGAUAUUAGACAAAUGAAUCAUGAUUUGGUUAUGAGCUUUUCUUGUCCAUUUUUUUGGCACUAAUUAUUGCUUCUUUUGCCUUGUUGUCUCUCAAAUGUUUUCUCUUCCUGGUUGUGUCGGAUGAUAUUGACGGUCGACUAGCAAUCCCCUCUUGAAGGUGUUGCCUUCGAGUGUCGUAGAUGAUGGGCCCCGAGCACGUGUGGGGCUGUGCGAAUGUGCAUUUUCUAGGUCAGUAGGUUUAUGGCAUUGCAGAUGAUGCUGAAUGUAGUCAUUCAGGCUAGAGAUGGAGCUUGACAUUAAAACCAUUGCUGCUUCUAAUUUCUGAAUGUAGCUAGAGACAGUGGAUGUUUGAGUCAAGGCAAGAAAAAGGUUCUAACCUUGUAACUGUACAGGCCGGCAACUGUCUCAUUGAGGCCUAGUUUGGUAGCAAGGCCAACAAAACCAGGGCAGCAUACCCCAGUCGGGGGAUUUUCUCCGGAUAGAUGAGAUCCCCUUCCAUCACCUGGGAGAUUUCCCUAAUCUGUGUCACCUCAUUUGGUGGCCAGAGGACGGGGCGCCACGCGUCAGAUCGCUAGGUGUAAGUCGAUCGUGGGAAAGAGAGCGGAGGUGUGGGUUUCCUGCCCGAUCUCUCGAGUCGUGGAUUGAUCUCCCUGGAUCGGGCCAGAAAAUCCCCAGGCGAUGAGCAACCAAAUGACCCAUUGGUUUUCCUCGGGCUGAUUCGUCGCGUGGGUGACGAGCCCUGGAUUUUACCGGGAUACCGGGGGGAUCCCACGUAACCAAAUGAGGCCUGACGGAAAAUCAGUGACAUACACUACAAGCAAUAGAUGAGAAAUUGUUAUCCCAAAUUAAAAAUAUAUAUACAUAUGGACGAUGGUAUACAAGACACUANNNNNNNNNNNNNNNNNNNNNNNNNNNNNNNNNNNNNNNNNNNNNNNNNNNNNNNNNNNNNNNNNNNNNNNNNNNNNNNNNNNNNNNNNNNNNNNNNNNNNNNNNNNNNNNNNNNNNNNNNNNNNNNNNNNNNNNNNNNNNNNNNNNNNNNNNNNNNNNNNNNNNNNNNNNNNNNNNNNNNNNNNNNNNNNNNNNNNNNNNNNNNNNNNNNNNNNNNNNNNNNNNNNNNNNNNNNNNNNNNNNNNNNNNNNNNNNNNNNNNNNNNNNNNNNNNNNNNNNNNNNNNNNNNNNNNNNNNNNNNNNNNNNNNNNNNNNNNNNNNNNNNNNNNNNNNNNNNNNNNNNNNNNNNNNNNNNNNNNNNNNNNNNNNNNNNNNNNNNNNNNNNNNNNNNNNNNNNNNNNNNNNNNNNNNNNNNNNNNNNNNNNNNNNNNNNNNNNNNNNNNNNNNNNNNNNNNNNNNNNNNNNNNNNNNNNNNNACACAACCAUCUGAUAAAGCAAACCCAAGGAUUCAUGAAUUUAUUUUUGAUGUCAAUCCUCACUUAACAUAUACUUUAUUAAUUGAACAUCUAGAACCAGACCAGCUUUGGUGCACAGACAAGUUUUAUCAAGAUCAUGCAGCGUGUCGAAGUAGUGUCCCUUUGUGCGGGUAUGGUGAUCUAAUCGUGUAUGAUGUGAUUCCUAUGCAUAUGCAUGUGUGUUCUAUACUGUUGGGAAAACCCUGGACGGACAAGAAAUAAUUAACAUAUCAUUAUGAUGGUGAAUUUUCUUUUGUACGAAAGGCUCGACUUAUACCACUUGAUUCAUAUACCCUGGAGCGAUACAUGCCAGAUUGCCAAAGGCGUGAUCAUGCUCAGGAAGCAAUUGAUGUGAAGGUACUCAAUGACCAAGAGGAAGCAGACGUGGACAUUCAACAUGCUGAAUUUUUAGCCUCGACAGUUUCUGCGGAUGCAUAUGCUGAGAAGAUAGACUUGAAACCGAGGACGGUUGCGUUUCAAGGGGGAGAGGAUGAUAUGGCCAACACUAGUUCUAUUUGUACCGUCGACAACCAUGACAUACAAGACGCUGGUCUGGUUCAAGUUAAGGCAGUUUUGCUAGUCACUGUUUGCGAUAACGUGAGUCGUCUUGAUCAGAAGAAAACGGAGGUUGAAUUAGAAUCACAAUUUGCUCUUGUGCCAAAAUACACAAUGAAUGCUUGGAUAUUAGAAAAAGAAAAAAGAAAAAUUCUAACACAUACACGUUUGAGCAAGGCAUACGUCAACUAGGUUGUUUCUUUUGGUUGCCACGUCCACAUCAAGAGUAUACAUGGACAAGAUACCUUUUGAUUGAGACUAACAGAAGAAUCCUAAUUGGUUACUAAUUCUCAUGAUCAAGACCAUCGGAGAUUUAUGUGUACGUGAGCUGGUUUAAAUGGUGGGAUUUGCUCUCCUUGAGAAACAAUGGAUAGGGGCUGCUAGGAAAUUAUGUUUAAUUACUUUAAGUAAUUAAAUUUUAAUGAUUACUUGCUAAGUUAAAGCUUGUGCUCAGAUUACUUCGUUAGGUGUUGGUCGAGAGUUAGAGAUAAAGAAGUUUUUGUUUGGUCUGACUUAUUAAGCAAGUUUGAGUCGGCAAGCUGUACUAGUAUAUAUAGUUAUGGUACCCUGUAUGUAAAAGCAGGUUAUAUUUUGGAGUUUAGAUAGCGUCGUGUACCGACCAUGAAGCGGCCAUCUUCGGGUGUCGCUGUUAUUUAUUCUCUAUAAAUUUUCGGUGUGGAAGUUACACUUGGCUCGAGGUCUGUCCUUUCCGACGGGUUGCGUGCUGGUUAAGACCACUUAGGCGGGAGGUUCUCCGUGUGUCGAGGAAUUAUCCGUUGGAUAUCGUUACCCCAUCUUUGGGUUACAUGUAAUGCUCGCGUAAUUGGGAGAUUUUAUUAGCUGAAUUCAGAGGAGUACAUUGUAUCGUGAAAGAUAAGGCCAAAUCAGUAGCACGACAAUGUUGUGCUUUCAUCGGUUGGUAUUUGGAUCAAAGGUUGUCCACGGUAAACUAGUUUUCUUCCCCUAACGAUUGAUAUUUUUCUUUAUCAUGAGGAAAGAUUGUAGUUCGCAAAAAGGUGAUGGCGAUGAAGAGGGAUCCAUUGCGUGCCUUGCCUUGGUAUCAUUGCUUUAUGUGUGUGUGUGUCGAACCAGCUAGUUGUGCCGUGUUAAUGAAUUGCUAUUCCAGUAUGAAUUUGGCGAGUAAGACUAUAAUUGAUGCUUUGAACUUGCCGUUGAUUGAACAUCCAGAACUAUACGAGCUUUGGUGGACGGACAAGUUUGAUUAAGAUCAUGAAUCGUGUCGAAGUAGUUUCCUUUUAUGCAGAUAUGGUGAUUUGUCGUGUGUGAUGUGAUUCCUAUGCAUAUGCAUGGGUGUUCUAUACUGUUGGGAAACCCUGGAUGGAAAGGAGACAAUUAACUUAUCAUUAUGUUGGUGAAUUUUCUUUUGUACGAAAGGCUCAACUUAUACUACUUGACUCAUAUACCCUGGAGCGAUACAUGGCAGAUCGCCAAAGGCGUGAUCAUGCUCAGAAAGAAAUUGAUGUGAAGGUACUCAAUGACCAAGAGGAAGCAGAAGUGGACAUUCAACAUGCUGAAUUUUUGGCCUCGACAGUUUCUGCGGAUGCAUAUGCUGAGAAGAUAGACUUGAAACUGAGGACGGUUUCGUUUCAAGUGGGAGAGGAUGAUGUGGACAACACUAGUUCUAUUCGUACCAUCGACAACCAUGACAUGCAAGACGUUGGUCUGCUUCAAAUUAAGGCAGUUUCGCUCGUCACUGUUUGCGAUAACGUGAGGCGUCUUGAUAAGGAGACAAUGAAGGUUGAAUUAGAAUCAAAAUUUGCUGAUGUGCCAAAAUACACAAUGCAUGCUUGGAUAUUAGAAAAAAAAGAAAAUAAUUCCAACACAUACACGAUUCGAUCAAGGCAUGCGUCAACUAAGUUGUUUCUUUUGGUUGCCACGUCCACAUCAAGAGUAUACAUGGACAAGAUACCUUUUGAUUGAGACUAACAGAAGAAUCCUAAUUGGUUAUUACUUCUCAUGAUCAAGGCCAUCAGAGAUUUAUGUGUACGUGACCUGGUUUAAAUGGUGGGAUUUGCUCUCCUUGAGAAACAUUGGAUGGGUGCUGCCAGGAAAUUAUGUUUAAUUAAUUUAAGUAAUUAAAUUUUAAUGAUUACUUGCUAAGUUAAGGCUUGUGAUCAGAUUUACUUCCUUAGGUUUAGGUUGAGAGUUAGAGAUAAAGAAAUGUUUGUUUAGUCGACUUAUUAGGCAAGUUUAAGUCGGCUAGCUGUACUGUUAUAUAUAGUCAUGGCACCCUCUUUGUAAAAGCAGGUUAUACUUUGGAGUUUAGACAGCGUCGUGCAUCGACCAGGAAGCGGCCGUCUUCGAGUGUCGCUGUUAUUUAUGUUGUAUAAAUUUUCAGUGUGGAAGUUACACUUGGCUUGAGGUCUGUCGUUUCUGACGGGUUGCGUGCUGGUUACGUCUACUUCAGCGGGAGGUUCUUUGUGUGUCGAGGGAUUGUCCGUUGGUUGUCGUUACCCCAUCUUCCGAUUACAUGUACUGCUCACGUAAUUGGGAGAUUUUAUCAUCUGAAUUCAGAGAAGUACAUUGUAUCAUGAAAGAUCGGGCCAAAUCAGUAGCACGAUAAGUUUGUGCUUUCAAUCAGUUGGUAUUUGGAGCAAAGGUUGUCCACCGUAAAAUUGUUUUCUUCCACUUACAAGUGAUAUUUUUGUUUAACAUAAGGAAAGAUUGUAGUUCGCAAAAGGUGAUGGCGAUGGAGAAGGAUCCAUUGUGUGCCUUGCCUUGGUACCAAUGCUUUAUGCGUGUGCGUGUUGGACCAGCUAGUUGUCCCAUCUUAAUGAAUUUCUAUUCCAGUAUGAAUUUGGUGAGUAAGACUGUAGUUGAUGCUUGGAACUUGCCGUUGAUUGAACAUCCAGAACCAUACGAGCUUUGGUGGACAGACAAGUUUUUUCAAGAUCAUGCAUCGCGUCGAAGUAUUUUCCCUUUAUGCGGAUAUGGUGAUCUAGUCGUGUAUGAUGUGAUUCCUAUGCAUAUGCAUGUGUGUUCUAUACUAUUGGGAAAACCCUCGAUGGACACGAGACAAUUAACUUAUCAUUAUGAUGGUGAAUUUUCUUUUGUAUGAAAGGCUCGACGUAUACUACUUAACUCAUAUACCCUGGAAAUAUAUGGCAGAUCGCCAAAGGCGUGAUCAUGCUCAGGAAGCAAUUGAUGUGAAGGUACUCAAUGACCAAGAGGAAGCAGACGUGGACAUUCAAUAUGUUGAAUUUUUGGCCUGGACAGUUUCUGCGGAUGCAUAUGCGGAGAAGAUAGACUUGAAACCGAGGACGGUUUCAUUUCAAGGGGGAGAGGAUGAUAUGGAUAACACUAGUUCUAUUUGUACUGUCGACAACCAUGACUUAUAAGAUGUUGGUCUGGUUCAAGUUAAGGCAGUUUCGCUCGUGAUAACGUGAGGCGUCUUGAUUAGGAGAAAAUGAAGGUUGAAUUAGAAUCAAAAUUUGCUGCUGUGCCAAAAUACACAAUGCAUGCUUGGAUAUUAGAAAAAGAAAUAAAAUAAUUCCAACACAUACACAUUUGAUCAAGGCAUGCGUCAACUAGGUUGUUUUUUUUAGGAAAAGGAAAUCUCAUUAAAACACAUAAGCUGGGUUACAAUCAGAGUUAAUUACAUGCAUCAAACCCUGUGGCACAUCAGCUAGAAUACAAAAAUCACCAUUCACUCUAGCAAAGGAAGCUAGCUCAUGUGCGGCCACAUUGCAUUCUCUGUAGAUUUUGGAUACUGUGCAUGAUUCAAACUCUCUGAACAUUUCCUUCACUUUCACAUAGCAGGCCCACCAACUGGCUCUAUUAGUGUUGCAAUCAUUCACAGCAGUUACUACAGCGGAACAAUCUAAUUCAAAAAUCACAUUGUUCAAAGCUAAUCUGUGUGCAUGGGUGAGGCCAAACAACAAGGCAUGAGCUUCAGCUUCCUCAGCUUCAGUACAUCCAUGAAAGCAGCAGCCCGUUGAGAAGACCACCGCACCCGAACUAUCUCUGCCAAUAGCUCCGAGCGCAGCUAAACCAGAAGCUGGUAUGAAAGAAGCAUCGACGUUAACUUUUAUGUGAUUUCCAGAAGGCUUUGCCCAUCUAAUAGCAUGUCGAGGAUGACUCGUAUGCUGCAUUUGAAUUUCAUGCAUUUUCUGCUUUCCUUUGGCAUCAUUUGCAAUUAGAUUUGGGGCUGAUAAACACUCCCUAUAGCUUUUCAAGAAACUCACUGAAUCCCAAACAGUAGCCUUGCCUUUGUUAUGAAUUACGUCAUCUCUUAGGUGCCAUGCCCUCCACAGCACAAGCAUAAACUUCUCCUUCAUCUCGCCAGGGCAUAAGCUCAAGUUUUGCAAUAGCCAAUCAGGGGAGAAAAGCAAGAGCGACUUAACUUCAGGUAGUUUCCAAAUUUUACACAUUUCCUCUCAAAGUGCUCUCUGUUUUGUGCAUGUUACAGUAGCAUGGUGAGCAUUUUCAACAGCACUUCCAUAAAUAUUGCAGGUACGUACCAUCCAGCUCAAGUGUCCUCUUGUGCUUAUUUUCCUUUGGUUGUUUCUUUUGGUUGUGACGUCCACAACAAGAGUAUACAUGGACAGGAUACUUUUUGAUUGAGACUAAUGGAAGAAGCCUUAUUGGUUACUACUUCUCAUUAUCAAGGCCGCUGGAGAUUUAUGUGUGCGUGAUCAGGUUUAAAUGGUGGGGUUUGCUGCCCUUGAGAAACAUUGGAUCGGGGCGGCCCGCCAGGAAAUCGUGUUUAAUUACUUUAAGUGUUUAAAUUCUAAUGAUUACUUGCUAAGUUAAAGCUUGGGAUCAGAUUUACUUCCUUAGGUGGUGGUCAAGACUUAGAGAUAAAGAAGUUUUUGUUUGGUCGACUUAUUAGGCAAGUUUGAGUCGGCUAGCGGUACUGGUAUAUAUAGUCAUGGUACCCUCUUUGUAAAAGCAGGUUAUAUUUUGAAAUUUGGACAACGUCGUGUUUCGAUCAUGAAGCGGCCGUCUUCAAGUGCCGUUGUUAUUUAUUUUGUAUAAAUUUUCUGUGUGAAAGUUACACUUCGCUAGAGGUCUAUCGUUUCCGACGAGUUGCGUGCUGGCUACGUCUACUUCGACAGCAGGUUCUUCAUGCGUCGAGGGAUUGUCCAUUGGUUGUCGUUACCCCAUCUUCAGAUUAUGUGUACUGCUCGUGUAAUUAGGAGAUUUUAUCAACUGAAUUCAAAGGAGUUCAUCGUACCGUGAAAGAUAAGGCCAAAUCAGUAGCACGACGAGGUUGUGCUUUCAUCAGUCGGUAUUCAGAGCAAAGGUUGUUCACGGUAAAAUUGUUUUUUCCAGAUACCAUUGGUAUUUUUGGCCUCGAUAGUUUAUGCAGAUGCAUAUGCUGGGGAGAUAGACUUGAAACCGAGGACGGUUUCGUUUCAAGGGGGAGAGGAUGAUAUGACCAACACUAGUUCUAUUUGUACCGUCCACCACCAUGACAUACACGACGUUGGUCUGGUUUAAGUUGAGGCAGUUUCGCUCGUCACUGUUUGCGAUAACGUGAGGCGUUUUGAUCAGGAGAAAAUGAAGGUUGAAUUAGAACCACAAUUUUCUUCUGUAUCAAAAUACACAAUGCAUGCUUGGAUAUUAGAGAAGGAAGAAAAUAAUUCCAACACAUACAUGUUCGAUCAAGGCAUGCGUCAACUUGGUUGUAUCUUUUGGUUGCCACGUACACAACAAGACUAUACAUGGAUGUGAUACCUUUUGAUUGAGACUAACGGAAGUAUCCUAGUCGGUUACUACUUCUUACGAUCAAGGCCGCCGGAGAUAUAUGUAUACGUGAGCAGGUUUAAAUGGUGGCAUUUGCUGUCCUUGAGAAACAUUGGAUGGGGCUGCCGGGAAAUUGUGUUUAAUUACUUUAAAUAUAUAAAUUGUAAUGAUUACUUGCUAAGUUAAAGCUUGUGAUCAGAUUUACUUCCUUAGGUGUUGGUCGAGAGUUAGAUAUAAACAAAUUUUUGUUUGGUCUAACUUAUUAGGCAAGUUCGAGUCGGCUAGCUGUACUGGUAUAUAUAGUAAUGGUAGGCUCUUUGUAGAAGGAUGUUAUAUUUUUUGAGUUUAGAUAACGUCGUGUAUCGACCAUGAAGCGGCCGUCUUCGGGUGUCGCUAUUAUUUAUUUUGUAUAAAUUUUCUGUGUGAAAGUUACACUUCGCUCAAGGUUUGUCAUUUCCGAUGGGGUGCGUGCUUGUUACGUCUACUUCAACAGGAGGUUCUUCGUGUGUCAAGAGAUUGUCCAUUGGUUUUCAUUAUCCCAUCUUCCGGUUACCUGUACAACUCGCGUAAUUGGGAUAUUUUACCAGCUGAAUUCAGAGGAGGUCAAUGUAUCUUGAAAGAUCGGGCCAAAUCAGUAGCACGGCGAGGUUGUGCUUUCAUCAGUUGGUAUUCAGAACAAAGGUUGUUCAUGGUAAAGUUAUUUUCUUCCAGUUACGGUAGAUAUUUUUAUUUAUCAUGAGGAAAGAUUGUAGUUCGCAAAUGGAGAUGGCAAUGAAGAAGGAUCCAUUGCGUGCCUUGCCUUUUUACCAAUGCUUUAUGCGUGUGCAUGUCGGAGUUUUAUCAAGAUCAUGCAUCGCGUCGAAGUAGUUUCCCUUUAUGUGGAUAUGAUGAUCUAGUUGUGUGUGAUGUGCUUCCUAUGCACAUGCAUGUGUGUUCUAUAUUGUUGGAAAAAUCAUGGACGGACAGGAGACAAUUAACUUAUCAUUAUGAUGGUGAAUUUUCUUUUGUACAAAAGGGUCGACUUCCCUCGAGGUCUGUCGUUUCUCAUGAGUUGCAUGCUGGUUACGUCUACUUGGGCGGGAGGUUCUUGUGUCGAGGGAUUGUCCAUUGGUUCCCGUUACCCCAUCUUUGGGUUAUGUGUACUGCUCGCGUAAUUGGGAGAUUUUAUCAGCUGAAUUCGGAGGAGUUCAUUGUAUCGUGAAAGAUCGGGCCAAAUUAGUAGCAUGAUGAGGUUGUGCUUUCAUUAGAUGGGGACCAGAGGAGACUUUGGUCGGCUGGUUCAGCCCAACAUCUGCGGCGGCUCUUGAUGUCAUUACCCUCCUUGUAGGCGAAGCCGAGGUCCCUCCUAUCCAGCCCCGACCACCUCCCCGACCAACUCCAUAUUGUCGAGUUGUUAGGUGUAAGUGGUGGCUUCGGAUGACUUGAUGUAUAUUCUUGUCAGAUCUUUGUUGAAUAAUUAAUAAAGAUGACUGUAUGCACCGACUGAUGGAGAGGCCGGGGAUUUAUAUCACCUGUCUGAGUAAAAAAUGUCACUAAUAGAAGGCAAUUUUUGGGAACCUCCAUAGGUUGGCGUGCGCUCCGUGUUCAGCUAUCAGUGUUGGCCAUCUUGACCUUUUUCACAGAAUAUUUUGGACUCAGACAGGCCAUAGUGGGACUAACUUCAAGAGUAACAUCGAUUCGAACUUAGCAAAUUUGCCUAUGUGACAACGAGUUAAUAUGUAGAUGGGUAAAUUGAGUAACUUAGCUAGUUACUGUAACAUUACAUAUCCCAAGACAGUACAAGUCUAUAACCUAAUAAAUGAAGCCUUGCACGACAUCACACAUAUGUUACUACCCAUUAUAGAGGUACUACCUCCGUCCUAGUUUAUUGGUCCCUAUUGUAUUCUUUGCCGAAUUUUGACCAUAAAUUUAACAAACAAAAAAGUUCAUGCAUGUCAUAAAAAAAUAUAUCAUUAAGAACUAUGUUCAGAUACGAAUCGAAUGAUAUAAUUUUUGUUUGACAUGCACUAACAUUUUGCCAGUCAAAUCUUUGAUCAAAAUUUAGUACAAAUUAUUAAAGGAGCCAAUAAACCAGGACAGAGGUAGUAGUAACAUAGCCUAGAAUAGCGUGUAUGUUAUGGCUAGUCUCAUUCAUAGGAGCAGACUUUGCCAUCCAGAUCCAAGAAGGAUGGUGCGCACGCCUAUAAAUACCUAUCUACUCCAGCUAGGAGUUCGAUCUAACACAACCAUCAUAUCCAUAUCCAGCCCAACAAAUGGCGCCUCUCAAGGUGACUGCUGCCGUCUGUGUCGUGCUGGUCCUGAUGAUCCAGCUACAGGUGCCAACGGUCGCGCAGGACAUACCAUGCGACGAGUGUGAGCCGGGAUGCGGCCAGGCUUGCAAUGCGCAGCGCCCCUACUUCUGCAACAGCUUUUGCAACAUCUUUCCCACCCUGUGCAACUACUGCUUCCUCAUCCAAUCCGACUUGUGCGUGCCCGGAUGCACAAACCUCUGCAGGAUCUACUGCGUGUGAUCGACCAUGCAGGAACACAUCGACAUGAGUGGACUCCAGAGUGUCGAUGAGCAUGCCUGCGUUGCCAUUGUUAUAUUUGCUGCUCUAUGUGCAAUAAGUCAAUGCCGGUCAGGCUGCAUGCAUGUAUUGCAUGCGAGUGCCUUGACUUAGCAUUCGAUACUGUGUUUAAUUUGCUACUAUUCCCUUCACUACAGCAUAUUACAUAUUACUACGUUGUGCAUCCAAUGCAUUUAUAUUGUACGCCCACCAUUUGGUUAUGAAUAAGACUCGUUUGGAAUAUCACAUAUCUACCAAAGC